CAAAAAACCGUGUGUCAGAAAAAACUAAACUGCUUCUAAAUUUUGCAGAAGACAUCACUCUGUGGUAAAUGUAAAUAAUGACCUGAAAACAUAUGAGAUGAGGAGAAUGAAGCUGAAUAAGGUGACCGAUAGCUCUCAUUCUUGGUUUCAACUCAAGGUCUUCACGGAACCAAACAUUGUAGGUUAAGAUCUUCAAACAAGAUAGAGAUGUUCCUGAAUCAGAAGCUACCCCUAGGUCCCCCCCUACAAUGAAAAAUUGACAAAAAAAAGUAAAGACUUCUACACUGAGGAACAAUAGAAAGCAACCAUUAACAUUUAUAUAUCAUCAAGCUGAACGAGUAGAAACCUAAAACCUCACACAAGUUAGUAGCAAACAAAAACCAAUAUGAAGCCAAGUUUUGAUGAAACACAACAUCACACAGUAACUGAUAAUCUAAAUUAAGAGCUAUCAACUAAUCCGGGAAUACCAAAAGAUCUAAAACCUUAGGGAGUAGUAAAAAACUGACCUUUGCUUUCAAUUUCUUUGUUUUUCUUCAUAAUACCAGGAACAACAGAACCACUACCAAUCUCAACGACGUCAUCAUCCAUAGCCUUACGCUUGUUGUUACACCGCCGAAGAGGGAAAAAAACAGAGCCGACGGAGGAAUCAGGGUUAUUACUAUCGAGACCCGAAUCAGUCAGUUCGUCGAAGCCCAGUAGAGAAGACGUGGGGGAUCGCGUUCCACAGACGUCGCAGAUUGAGUUCUUGUACGUGUUCAGAAAAGUACAGGCCUUGCAAGCCCACUUUGCUUCAUCGUUCGUGGAGACAGAGAGAGAAGGAGACGGAGAAGGGAUAGAAGCGGGAGUCAAACAGAUCACGCAAUUGAGUUUCUGAGAUGGCGAAUUGAGGAAAGUACAUUUGUUGCAGGACCAAGAUGACGAGGGAGACGAUGACGACAUUGCAAGAGUUGUGAGGAUUCUGAAAAUUUGGGUUUUUAACAUUUACCCUAAUUCCACAUUUCCGAUUACGCUUUUUGUCGCUUAGGUUCCAUUUAACGGCUACAAGCAAAUGAUUCUCAAAUUCAAAGUUUAAAAGGUGAACCGUAAUUAAACCGAAACUAACCGAAUCGAGCCGUAAUUUGAAAGGGGAAGACACAGCAUGUAACAAUGUCAAUAACAUUCAAGGAAGACAGGUUUUAUACAAAAAUUUUAUUCCCACAAACAAGAAUACAAGAGACUAAAAUGGUCUAACAAAUAAAACAACAAAUUACAAAAUUACAAUAUAAUAGAGUGUUUUAAGUCCUAAAAUUGUAACUCUGCCGACACCUUCAUAGGCCAGUGGUGUUGCCACUGUGACCUGGUUUGGUAGUAUGGCAAUGGAGUUCUCUGAGUGACUCAAACUGAGUCCAUUUCCCGUCAUGGGAUUAAAGUGGGGGAUUCAUCAGAGUUAAAGACUUGUCACUCACCGUGGAAAAAUGAUAAAUCACCAGAAGGGAAACAAAAUAGAAGAUGUUACAAGAAUCAUGAUACUGACGUAGAAGCCUCUUGAGAGACUCCUUGAGGUGGUUUCACCUGCGGCCACUUGAGUUGAAUUCACCACUGUCUGUGUCCUAUUUCCGACUUUCUUGCUGCAAAAUAUCUCAUUGAUUAACGGAAGCUUUAUAAAUGUAUCACGUAUAGUAGAAGUAUAGAUAAUGUGUUUUCAAAGGGAGUUGUUAUACACACAAAAAACACUUUCAUACCUUCCCGGGAAAAUGCAGCUUCCAUGACCUGAAAACAUAUGCAGCUUUCUGAUUUAGAACCUUUUAUAGUGAAAGACGUGAUAGAGGAGACAGACUUUAAAUCUAGUUAAUAACAUUUACAAUUUUACACAACAAGGAUAUGAUCUUGACAAAAAAAACUGUUAUAGCCUGCUUAUGAACCAAAUGAUAAACAUAAAGUUGAUAAGAGUUGAAUAGGGAUGAGAAGGUACAAGAAGGCAUAGGCGUUUUCUAAGACCGUAUGGUUGUAGUAGAUAUCUUGAGAUUUCCAAGAAAAAGAACACGCUUUUACUGAAGGUGAUUUCCAAACAAAUUUAGAGAAUCAAGAGCACAAGAACCUUUCUUUGAGGACUAGCUUCUAUGUAUGGAUGCAAAGUUUGGUUAACACUGGUCUAGGACAUGUUAUAUGCAUACAGUGAUUAGGAACCAAACCGAGGAAGGAAAAGCUUCAAAGUCACACAGGUUUUAGCAUAUGAGAAAUUACUAAGACUCUAUUCUGGCACAAGACCAGCUCCUACAGACUUUUCCAACUUAGGAUCUAAACUCUCACCAACUCAGAUGGGGUUUCUUGAUUGUCGUAAGUCUAUUAUUAUAAGAUCUCCAAACACUGAAAAGAAGAAGGAAUAAGCUUACUUGGGUCUGUAGUAGUGAUCAUUGCCACACCUUUGAAGUCACAUGAACCAGAAGCUCUUCCUUCCUUCUGGUAAUAACUAUUAAAGGCAAAUGAAGCAUGGCCCUUCACGUUAUUCGGCUGAUAACAACUCUCUCCAGGUUGAAUCUCACUACAAUUAGAUCUCCCGGGUCCACAAGCCCAAUCCAAUGCAGCUUGAAGGGUCUUAGCAUCCACACCAUCCAUAGCAAUGCAGUAAGUCUGGUUUGUUGUAUCAUUUGCUAAGAAUGUUCCACUUCCAGAUACAUGAAGCAAAUAAACCGGUGUAGAGUUCCCGUAGAAUAAUCCCCAGCUAGCUUCACUAACAGGAGGAGACCUCAAAUCCUCGUUAAACAGCUCAUAAAUGUAGACACUUGGGGUCAUCUCAGGAUGCAUAGGAGUCCCGGUUCUAUCGAAUAUAUGCUUGAUCAAAUUGGAGUUGUAUGUAUCAGCAUUAUCGAUAGUAGCAUAUGGCUCUUUCGAAUCACCUUCUGAAGGCCAACCGCUCUCGGUCACAAGCACAACUACAUCAGACACAUUCAAGUUUUUCAUGGAGACAUAAGCAGCAUCCACCAUAGCAUCAAGCACAUUAGUGUAAUGCAACAAAGUAUUGGGAUCAACCAUUUCUUUAGACGGUGUCAAGGGCUCGAACAAACAGUUAUCAAGCGGAACCACGCCUUUGUUCUGCAUAUAGACAUAGUAAGGAUACAGAUUCAUCAUCAAAGGAGAACCCGUUUUCGACAAGAACUGAAGCAAUGGAACCAUAAUCGAAUGCCAAGUCUGGUUAAAGUAAGCUUGAGAAGGCGGGAAAGUAUCGAGCAUGAUGGAAGCUGCGUGAGGCGUAGAGACCUUGAUUUGAGUGUGGAGAUUGGAAGCAACAAGAGCAUUGUAUAAAGACUCAAUUGCAGGUAACAACAAAGGAGCCGAAGAAGGCACAGUAGUUAAAACCUCAUCUCCAACAGAAAUGGAUGUGAUUAAGGUCUCAGGGUAAUAAGCAACCACAUUCCGACCAAUCCACGAAGCAGCAGUACUGUUGGAGGAUCCAAUUGCGAGAAGCUGAUUGUUUGGUACACUGAUUAUGACCCGUAUCUUGGUUUUAGCAAAAGCUUUGAGCAAUUCCGGAUCAGCAUCGUAUAAACGGACGUGAUUCACUUUCUGAGUUUGUAAGAAUUUGACCAGUUCCGUCGGCGAGAGCAUAUUAGAGACAUCUGUGCCGAUGUUGAAUCCAACAAAUGGAUCUUUGUCUUGUUCCUGAACCUUAAUAUCGUGAGAUAAAGACGACGAACUCGCUGCAUAUAGAAAAGCAAGAAGCUAGUUAAAAAUCGAAACUUGGCAAUGAUUUCUAGCUAAAAACUUAGAAAUCAGUUAAAAAAAGUGUUUUGUCUAGAUUUGGAUUCGAAAGAAAGAAAAAAAGCAAUCUUUAGCCAAGUGUUAACUCAAUAGAAAGCAGAAAAAAAAAACAUUCUUUAUUUUAAAAGUACAUAAAGUUCGUCAAUUUGGGGGAAUUAGAACUGCAAUGUGUGAGUUUUAGGAAACUUACAAGAAAUCAAAAGAAGAGUGAAGAGGAGAAAGAAGAGAACAGGAACGGUGGAAACCAUGUUAGUGACAGCCAUUGAAGAGGAGCUUGAAGUUAUUGCGCAACAACUCUUCCCCUUCAGAUUCAGAGUCAGCUAAAGGUUCUUGCAUUAUCUUCCUAGAGAUUUAUUGAUGUACGGUUGAGAUAAUAACCUAAAGAGAAACGGAGAAGAAGAAGAAGAAGAAGAGAGAUUAGACAACAUAUUAAGGGGUUUUAGGGACGAAAGAAAGAUUUAUGUCUCUGAGCUUCCACGUGAACCGACUCUGCUCGCUCCUCCCCACACAACUGGUUUUUUGCCUCAGACCAAAUAUGAAAUUACUGUAAUACCCUUGAGUUCUGAUAAAGCACCACCAGCUAGACAUCACUUAUGUAAUCUUUUAAAGAUUUUGGUCCAUUUUAAUACUUAAAAUAUAUAUAUAUAUAUAUAUAUAUAUAGGCAUAUAGCUCCCACAAAUUUUGUAAAAAGCAAGAUGAAUUGUUUGUUUAUUGUUUGUAGUUGUAUGUACACAAUACCUCUCAAACUUUUAUAAUCAUAAAAAGGUUAAUUUUCAUUCGUCAUUAUUAACUAUUUUGGUUUUAGUAUUGGCUUGAAAUGUUGGUGUUGACCUCAUGUGGUAAGUGAAAGAAAAUAACAAUGCCCUUUAGUAUAUAUUAUAUAAGUGAUGUUUAGGAGUUUUCUCUAUGUAAUUAUUUGUUUGGUCAUUGAGAUAUAUCCAUCAAAAACAUUGAAUUACAAGUUAAGACAACAUUGGAAUACAGUACAAGAUGACAACCCAUGCUUUGGUUGAAUAGCUUAGAAGACGGUGGUCCAUUUUAUUUAUUUGUUGAUGACACAUUUUUCUCAUCUCAGCAAAUUAAAUAACUAAAUAGAUGUUUCAAGAAGAAAUAUUGAAUGAACGUGGAAAAAAACUUUAAAUUAGAUGUGAGAAUGAAAAUAAUAUUAUGACUUCAUAAGAUCAUGAGUUAUAUACUUAUCAAGUAUAUGCUAAUCAAGUAAUCAUCUCACUCUCAACUAGUUUACAUGCGUCAAUAUUCAACUGUUUUAUAUGAAAAGUUAUCAAAAAGUAUGAAGCCCUCAGAAUUGUAUAAAAAGAUUAAUCAAUCGUGUUAGGCUAAAUCUUUUAGCAUCAACUAAAAUAUGUUAAACUAAAAGAUAAAUCAUGUAGACAAAAUGAAUACAUUUGUCUCUUUUUUUUAUAUAACACUUUUAUAGAGUUUUCUGGUCGAGCAAUGAAAACGACGAAGAAAGAAAAAUAAGCACCCGACAAAAACAUAUUUGUUCAUACAAACAUCUAUCUGCGCAGAAAUCCGUAUGCAACUUUUUUUUUUUUUGAUAAACAAACAAAAACUCAGAGAAAGAGGAAAGAUUUAUGGAGAGUUUAAAAGUGUAAGAUUCCCUCGUUAUAACUUUUAGGCCUUAAAUUACAUAUUUCAAUUUCCUUGAAUCAUGAAAAUUAUAAUAAUCUUUCAAUAAUGUGACUGGAGACAAUAUGAAAAGAAACGAAGACGACUAUACUAUUAACAGAUUCUGAAUUUUUGAAAAUAAAAAAAAGUAAAAAAUCAAUGAACCGUGACACUUUUUUGGCUGUGUCUAGCAAUGAUUAAUUCUACAGUUAUAUUUUUUUUAAAAAUAGAAAAGACAUCAAAUUUAUUAAAAUUCAAUUGUAUAAGAAUAACGUGGCUUUCUAACUCGAUAGGGUAACUAAGUUUUGCGUGUGUGUUGCCUUGCUCUCGUAGCUCGUGUGGCCAGCGACGGUACCAAAGAUGCAACGCUUGACAUGUUCGAUGCUCGAGCAAGGCAGACAGAGAGAGAGAGACAAAACAAAAGAUAAAAUUAAAACAAAACAAAGCUUGCUUUGACAACAUAUGAGGUAUUCUAAAAUAUCUCUUUUUUUUUUUCUUUUUUUUUGCGUGGCUCUUGGCAAAAAUGCCUUUCAAAGAUCACAUGAAACACGAUUCUACUUGAACUUGAUUCCAUCUCUAUGCUGAGUCUGUGGUGUCAUCAACACUGUCUAGUGGACUAGUAGUAACAGAGCAACGUUUUAAAAACACCUGUUUCACGAGGCCACGCGUCGUGCUAUAACAGGGCUGUUAGAUUUUAACCAUAACGGUCGCUCACGAUCUUUUCACAAUAAUGCAUUCAUCCAUCGGUUGUAAUGCGUCCGUGAUCAUCGCACUAUAUCACAGGCAGUAGCAGAAACAUUAUCAGCAACCUGCUAUUAAACUCUAUUUUAUUUCUCUCUGCUGUGUUGUGUCAUCAGUCAUCACCUUCAAACUCUAUUUAAAGUGACGAUCUUUGCCUAAACAUUUCAGUGAAUCGAGUGGUUUAGUUUUUUCGUUCCGUACAUCUUCUUCGCAGGUGAGGUGAGAUUCUUGUUUUUGUUGUUUGCAGAUGAUGAUCUAACAUUUCGAUAAUCAUGUCCUCUCCUCUAAUCGCGUUCAAAAGUUUUGUGAUUUUGAAAUCUGUUUCUUCGAUUCCAUUGAUCCAUUUCGUUCUAUCAAUCCGGUGUUAUCCGGAUCUGAUUUUGAGUAGGAUUCGUGAAUCAAAGUGUUGUUUUUGAUUGAUUUUUGUGUUACGAUGAUCAUUGAGAAAUAAAAAAAUAGUGUGAUUCGUGUUAGUCGAUUCUUGCUCACAUUUCAAUGGGUGCUAUAGAGUAGUUAUAAUAUGCAUGUUUUGGUGAAUCAUGUGGUGUUGAGAUUAAUGAUAUUGGGGUUUAUGUAAAUUUGAGACCUUUUUGGGUUGCAAAUGCAUAUGGUGUUGAGAUUAGUGAUUUGUUUUAUAGGAUUUAACGGUGUUCGUUCACUAAAUUUAUAUCAGGAGAGAGCAUUAGGGAAAAAUGAAUGAGAUUCCUUGCGCCUCCAUGUUGAGGCUGUGUCACUGUUUUAUCUCGAUUUGUAGUGUUCACUUUGUUUCCAUGAUAGCAGCUGAAUCAAGUUUUGUUUUUAGAAACAUGGCUGAGGCUUCUGACUUGUUGGAUUGGCCUAAGAAGGACAACCGUCGUUUUCUCCAUGCUGUCUACCGCGUUGGUGAUCUUGAUCGCACCAUCCAGUAUGUCUCUAUCCCCUUCCACCCUGAUACCCUUGUGAUCUUCAUUUUGAUGUGACAGGAUUUGAUGAUGUUCUUUAUUUCUCACCAGGUUUUACACUGACUGCUUUGGUAUGAAGCUGUUGAGGAAAAGAGAUAUCCCUGAGGAGAAGUAUUCUAAUGCUUUUAUGGGAUUCGGACCCGAAACAUCUAACUUUGUUGUGGAGCUGACAUAUAGUAUGGCCUCUUUCACUCUCUGUUCCCUGUUAGCAUUGAUUCAUAUUUAUAGCUUUCAAAUAUCAACUUAUGUGCUUUUUUCAUUGAUUCAUAUUCAUUUCUUUGUUUUGCAGAUUAUGGAGUUAGCUCAUAUGAUAUUGGAACUGGAUUUGGGCAUUUUGCCAUUUCAACUCAAGAUGUAAGUCGUCCUACUUUGUGUUUGGAUAUCACGAAUCAACAUAUGCGUGUGAAGCCCUGAACUGAGACAUGGAAUAACCCUCUUUUCUUUAGGUUUCCAAAAUUGUUGAGAACGUCCGUGCCAAGGGUGGAAAUGUCACUAGGGAACCUGGUCCAGUCAAAGGUGGAAACAGCAUCAUUGCGUUUGUGAAGGACCCUGAUGGUUACACUUUUGAGCUCAUCCAGAGAGGUCCAACUCCUGAACCACUCUGUCAAGUCAUGCUUCGUGUUGGUGAUCUUGACCGUGCCAUCAAAUUCUAUGAAAAGGUAAUGAGUGAAAAGGUUGUCUUAAUGUUUGAAUAUUCAUUAGUAGUGUUAAACUUCACUUCUAAUUCCCUGCAGGCCCUUGGGAUGAGACUCUUGAGAAAGAUUGAGAGACCUGAAUACAAGGUGAAGUAACCAGUGAUGCAAUGUAGACAAAUACUUUACCUUUUUCAGCUACUUUUGGAUUUAUCUGAGUGUUUUAUAUUUGUUGGAUGAAACAGUACACCAUAGGUAUGAUGGGAUAUGCUGAAGAAUACGAAUCCAUAGUUUUGGAGCUGACAUACAACUACGAUGUGACUGAGUACACAAAGGGCAAUGCGUAUGCACAGGUAUGGGCUCUAGACAUGCCUCUGUUGCUUUAGGUUGUCUUUAAAACCGGUUCGUGUUCAUUCAUUUGAUAAUUAAAUGAUUUAAUGUGAUAAACAGAUUGCAAUAGGUACUGAUGAUGUGUACAAGAGCGGUGAAGUUGUGAAGAUAGCCAACCAAGAGCUAGGAGGAAAGAUCACUAGAGAAGCCGGACCCCUUCCUGGAAUCGGCACCAAGAUUGUCUCAUUCCUCGAUCCAGAUGGCUGGAAAACGGUUAGUAAUCUAUAAAAAUGUUUGGCAGAUUUAGCAAUUUUGGUAUAUAAGAUUCCACUUCUGACAAUGAAACCUUGGAAUUUUUUGAUUAAGUGUUUGAAAGGUUUGGUUGUUAAAAUGACAGGUACUGGUAGACAACAAAGAUUUUCUCAAGGAGCUGGAAUGAGGAGAGCUAUGAUGGUCGAGAUCACGAAACCAUUCUCAGAAAAAAUGUGAUCGUAAAAAUAAAGGAAGCUUCUAGUAUUUGAUCUAAAAUAAGAGGAAUGUGGUUUUAGUUUUGUGUCGUGCUUUGUGUGCUUGUUCCUUUUGUCUUUGAGACUUUGAGCUAAACUCUCUACUAUGAACUUGAAUAAUAAUAUUUCCACCACCUUGAGGCUUUGGUGUGCUCUUUUCGGUUAUGGACGGUUUAGUAGAUAAUCGGUUUACUGGAUAAUUUUACGUACAAAAUCGGUUUACGGGAUAUGGCACGUCAAUGUCCGUGAUCUCUCUAUAAGGUGCAACAGAGAGCGAUAAGGGAAAAAUAAAAUUUCAUUAAAAUUCAACUCUAGUGUACAAAGAGUUGUGUGUUUAUAUACAUUGAUAGAACUUAAACAACCUUCUUAGCCAAUAACACCCAAACAUGGAGUAAAAAAUCAUAGUUUGGAUACAAUAUAUAUGCCUUAAGUAUUCAUGAUUCAACGUAACUAAAAUAUAUAUGUUCAAUAUAUGCAGUCACAUGAAAACACGGCCACUACCGCAAAAAAUAAGAAGAUCUCAGAUUAGUUGGCUAUAUUAAUGGAGUUUGGAUCUACCUACUUUAUACUACAACUAUUAUUCGAAUUUUGAAAGCCAUUUAUAUAUAAAACAUUCCAUACUCACUACGUAACCGGUCGGUUCAAAGUAUUUCUAACCCUAUUAUAGUAUCUUUCUUCUCUCUCAAUACACUUAUACACAUAUAUGCAUGAGCAUGCUGAUGCUUGCAGAAGUUCGAUCAAUUAUAGGAAUAAGCCGGUUAGAAGAGAACCAAUUAAACUUAAACGUCAACCGGUUAAGUUAGGUUAGAGCGGAUGUGAUCUCCAUAGGUGUCUCAAGGAUCAUGUGUGUGUAUGUAAAUUUGAUUUUGGAUUUGGGACCAAAAGUAGCAUAGUGGUAUGUUUCUUUUGGCCUCCCAAUUAAUUUUAUCCAUAGAAAAACGGUUGGGUUGUUGUGGGUCUUUUCAUGUUCGUAUCUAUAACCUAACCAUCACGGCAUCUAAAUUUACACAUUUUUAAGAUCUAUAUAUAUGUUUAUAAUUAAGCUUCGAUAUUUGCAUCUUGCUAGAAAAAAUAUGAAAAGUGAUGAUGACAACAAUAAGAUGAAAUCACUGGACUAGAAAACCAAAUAAAGUGUUUUAAGAAUGUUCGUUUUGUUUAUAUACAAGAGAUGAUGAUCACAUCCAUAUUUUUUAAGAUAUGUUAAUAAUGUAAGAAUUGCUCACGUACGUUAGAUAAAGUUGUCGUUUCCAUGCAUUACGGUUUAUGACGAUUUACUUUACAAGAUUCUAGAAACUAAAAUUGAUGCUAAUUAGUUUAACCUUUUUGUAUAGAUAUACAUUUCGUUGGACAUGUGUAGUAGUAGGCAUGUCAAUCGGGCUAGCCCGGCUCGGCCCGACCCGAAACCCGUAAAGCCUUCAUAUAUGUGAGCCCGGUCCGGUUCGGCCCAAAAAAUUUCCGAGCCUAUAUUUCAAAGCCCGGCCCGGCCCUAACAGGGCUACAGAGCUUUUCGGGCUUUUUUGGGCUUUAUUUACCGAUAAAAAAUCAAUUUCUAAGUUCAUAAUAAUUUUUAAAAACUAUAUUUAAAGGUCUACUAUAAAAAUAAUGCAUCAAAUUUUAAACAACUUAUCAAUAUGCAAUAAAACUAACUUAAUUUAAGAGAAAAAAAUAAAAUCCAAAUAAAUUAUUUACACUUUAACCCAAUAAAACAUGGAACUAAAAUACUUUAAAGUAUAAGAUAGAGUCAAAAUUUAAUAGAUAUUUUGAUGAUUUCAAAAUCAUGAUACUUAUAUAUAUUUAGUUUUAGCUUUGUAUAAAGAUUUUAAAAGUAAUAAGUAAGACUAGUAAGUAAAUUUGAAAACUAUAACAUUAAUCAAAUCUUUUAAUCAAACUAAAAUAUUCAAAAAAUUCACAAUAUAUUUGUAUAAGGGCUUUUCGGACCGGCCCGAGCCCGACCGGGCUAAGCCCAAAAAUUCCUUUAGCCCGAAUGGGCUUAGCCCAAAAGGCCCGGUUUUUUCUGGACAUAUAUAUUUAAGACCGAGCCCGAUGUUUUUCAGGAUCGGGCCAAACUAGCCCGCGGGCUUUAUCCCUAAUUGACAUGCCUAUGUAGUAGACUAAUUUAUAUAGUGUAUAAGCUACAUUGUAAUUCUACUCAUACAAGAUCGUCAUAGAUCCGUAUUCAAUUGCAUUUAUUGCACACAAACAUUACAUAUGUGUGUGUGUAUACAUAACUGCCUAUAUAUGGUCUUGUAACACAACUCAGUAGUUCAACAUAAACAAAAAGAAUUUGAACUAACAAAGCCCAAAACAUGAAAACCACCUUUACUAACUUUCUUGUGCUUCUCCUCAUUGCACUUGUUUGUGCCAAUGUUGGUGCUAGGAAACUUAUGUCCGGAGGUACCCAAUUCAAGGAUGAAAAAUCUUUCCUCGGAGGCGGCGGUAACGGUGGUGGCCUAGGGAUUGGCCUUGGUGGAGGAGCUGGUCUUGGUGGGCUGGGAAUUGGAGCCGGAGCUGGACUAGGGUUAGGUGGAGGUGGAGGCGGCGGUGGUGGAUUUGGUGGGGGUGGUGGACUCCUCGGUGGAGGUGGCUUCGGCGGAGGAGCAGGUGGCGGACUCGGUGGUGUUGGUGGCCUUCCUUGAACGCAUUGUCAAAUGUCAAGUGUGUGUGUGAGAGAUCAUUCUCAGCUUAUUCUACUAAUUAAAAGUCACUUUCAUAUUGUCUUAAUAAAUUACCUUCAAUCUUUGGAUUUCAGCUUUUAUUUAAACUUCAAUAUUUGAAUCAAGAAACGUCUUAGCUACUAGAGUUACGUAACUAGAGGUAAUGCUCGUAAUCGUAUUAUGUGUAACGCUGGUUCAGAUAUGAUAAGUGCAAGAGUGCAACGUUACUUUUUAUACACUGGCAUUACAUUUUUUUUCUUUCUUAAGUACAGCUAAAUAAAUAAAAAGAGAUUAGCUAAAUAAAAAUAAAAACAAAAAAACAAAAAAAAAUCCCAUAAUUUCAUCGAGAACUACAUUAUCACACUAACUACAGCAAGGGGCGGAUCUAGAAAAUUUGUUCAAUGGGGGCAAAAAUAUAGUAAAAAAACUAUCAAAUACUAAAUUAUAAAAGACAUAAAAUUGUCAUGUAAAAACUUUAAAAUAUCUUAGAAAACCACUCAGACGCUCAUUUAACAAUUGAAACCUUUUUACCACAUUUUCAUUUGUGACAGAUUCAAAUAAUUAAAAACAAAAAAACAUGUUAUUAAUUAAAAAUUUUGAAAAUUUUGAAUUUAUAGUAUUUUAAAAUUUAUUAAUUUUAAAAUUUUGAAUUAUGUAACAAACUUUCAUAAAAGCUUAACCAUAGAAUAAACAUAUAAACAAUUAUCACUCCAAAAACUAAUAUAGUCAUGUAUAACAUAAAAACCUAUAUAAUGUUUUCCAAGAAACAUAGUUAUAAGCUUGAACUGAUUAAAUAAAGAGAAUUUUUGAGAAAUACCCCUUUUGGUGUACCCCUUUUUAAAAAUACCCCCUUUAUCUAUCCAUUUUCAAAAAUGCACCUUUUUAAAUAUAAAAAAUUAUAAAGUUUUAUAUAGUUUAUAAGGUACUUCUAUAUAAUAACUACUACUGGGAGAUUCGAUACAAAUAUUUUAAAAUGUUUUAAAUAGUUUUAAAUCAUUUUUAUAAGUUUUAUAAGGUUUUUAAAAGGUUUUUAAAAGGGUUUAUAAGGUUUUUAUAAGGUUUUUAUAAUUUAUUUUUACGCUAUUUAUGAAAAGUGUAUAAAGUUUUCGACACAUAUAAAGGUAAUUUGUGUAUAUAUUUAUAAGCUUACACACAUAUUUGGAUAAAUUUCAACAUUUUUAAUGGGGUUUUUGAUAAAGUUUGAAAAGGGGGUAUUUUUAAAAAGAGGUAUAUGAAAAGGGGUAUUUUUGAAAUUCCCUCUUAAAUUAAACUAACUGACAAAAAAUAAUGCUUAUAUAAUAGAAACGAUUGUAAAAAAGCCGAAAAAUAAACUCACAAAUUGAUAGUUGUUGAUUUGUUGUCACACAAAGAAACCAAAUGACUAAAAAAGAAGAAAAUAACAAAAAAUUAGGUAUAGAUUAGUAAGUCUUUAAUUUAUAUAUUAAUAUAUAUUUUUUUGGUACAUGGAUUAAUGGGCUUUACAAAAAAAGGCUGAAAAGUAGUUUUUUUGGUGGGAACAGAUUUUGUUUUUAAUAAUAUUUAAUAAUAAUUUUUUUUUUUUUUUUUGCUGGUGGCAGCUGCCCCUACCACCUUAUAUGUGGGUCCGCCCCUGACUACAGCAACUAUAAAAUUUGAUUGGAGUAUUGGACACAAGGUUAGACAAUAUGACCAACUAAAGGUUGCAAGAACCAAAUCAAACUAAAGAAAACUGUCAAACUUUAUUAGCUCCCAAUUCAUUUAUAAUUGCAGAUGUGAGAUUCUUACCAAAAACCGUAUAUAACCCAAAGAAAAGUGUUCGAAAUGCCGAUGAUGACAUGAGAUUGAUGGUUGCAGCCUUGCAGGGAACACAAGAUUUGCAAUGAACAUAAUGCUAAGUAACAUAUAAGCAAACAACAAGUAUAAAAGCAGCUUUUGAUUGUAUCACAUCUCCAUAGUAGUUGAAAUGUGUCUUGAAUACAUGAUAACUGAAUCAAUCCAUGACCAAAAGAAGUGUUAUUUUGAAUCCAACCAUAUUCAUAUUAAAACAAGGUCCUCAAUUCCUUCUGCAAUAACAUGGAUACAUAAAAAAACGUCUACAACUCCAAAAUUCUGAUAAGAAAAUACUAACAAGAUCAGGCAUGUUCCUUUGUGUGUUUUAAUUUUCUUUUCAUAUGCAAUACUUUUAUGUUAAUCUUUUUGCUAUUUAAUAAUUUAGAAAACUAAGAAGAUAAAGAUUGAAGAAUACGCUUCAGUGGCAAAGUCUCAAUCUUUGUAAGAUUUCUACGCUACCCAUUUCAGUUUCUUAUGUUUCUUUCCACAGAAUCGUUUAUAGUAGUGUAUCAGGAAUCUGGAAAACGCUCCAGUGGCAAAGUGUCAAUCUUUGAGUUCGAUCUCAUUGCGAUUAUUAUGUUCCCAGAUUGUUUCAGAUGUUAUAUAAUGAAUCUGAAUCUCAUAGUUGAUGAUUUAUGGAUUGAAAAAUGUUAUCUUUUAUUGUUGUCUAGAGAUUGUAUUGCUUUGAUAUGAAUCUCCUUUCUUCUUCCAUGGGUUAAGAGUUUAUCAAUGUCAAUUCACUGAAUCCAGUUGAAUUUGAAAAAUGUAUUUGUGGUAUUUGAUUUUGAGUAUUCUUGGAUCAAAAUCUUAUGUAGCUUAAGGAGAAGAUGAGAGGUGGUAGUCUAUGGCAGCUAGGGCAAUCCAUAACACGUCGUCUUGCUCAAUCUGACAAGAAGGUUGUGUCACGCCGUUACUUCGCGUCUGAAGCCGACCUGAAAAAGACCGCUCUUUACGACUUCCAUGUCGCCCAUGGCGGAAAGAUGGUUCCUUUUGCUGGUUGGAGUAUGCCAAUUCAGUACAAAGAUUCUAUCAUGGACUCAACGGUUAACUGUAGGCAGAAUGGGAGUUUGUUUGAUGUUGCUCAUAUGUGUGGUUUGAGCCUUAAGGGCAAAGACUGCGUUUCUUUUCUUGAGACACUUGUGGUUGCUGAUGUGGCUGGUUUGGCUCCUGGAACCGGGAGCUUGACUGUGUUCACAAAUGAGAAAGGCGGUGCAAUUGAUGACUCGGUGAUUACCAAAGUGACAGAUGAACAUAUCUAUUUGGUAGUGAAUGCUGGUUGUAGGGAUAAGGAUUUGGCUCACAUUGAAGAACACAUGAAAGCUUUCAAAUCCAAAGGAGGUGAUGUCUCGUGGCAUAUCCAUGACGAGAGAUCUCUUCUCGCCCUUCAGGUUUGGCUAUUACUUUUGAACCAAAAGAUUGUUCCAUUUGCUGUUCUGUUAUUGCUGUAUACUCAUAGAUACAGUACAUUGCAAUCUUAUACCUUGUGAUGUAGGGUCCUUUGGCUGCUCCGGUGCUUCAACAUCUGACUAAGGAAGACUUGAGCAAGCUUUACUUUGGGCAGUUCCAGAUUCUGGACAUUAAUGGUUCUACAUGUUUCCUUACUAGGACCGGGUAUAAUGUCAUGUUUCAUUAUCGUUUUGAGUCAGAUGCUAUAACACAUAUCUGUUUUUUGGUUCAAGUAGACAGUAGCUCAAUAGAAAGAGUUCUGAAGAUCACGUAGGUAAUGAUUGUGUCUGUUUGUGGAUUUCAGGUAUACCGGGGAAGAUGGGUUUGAGAUUUCAGUUCCAUCUGAGCAUGCAGUGGAUCUAGCGAAAGCAAUCUUGGAGAAAUCCGAGGGUAAGGUAAGGCUUACAGGUCUAGGAGCAAGAGACAGUCUCAGGUUAGAAGCAGGACUUUGUCUAUAUGGAAACGACAUGGAGCAACACAUUUCUCCUGUUGAAGCUGGGCUCACAUGGGCAAUAGGGAAGCGUAGAAGAGCCGAAGGUGGAUUUCUUGGCGCGGAUGUGAUUCUCCAACAGCUUAAAGACGGACCUACAAUCAGAAGGGUCGGUUUUUUCUCCUCAGGACCACCUGCAAGGUCGCAUAGCGAGGUUCAUGAUGAGAGUGGGAACAAGAUUGGAGAGAUCACAAGUGGAGGGUUCAGCCCGAACCUGAAGAAGAACAUAGCCAUGGGGUAUGUGAAGUCAGGCCAGCACAAGAACGGGACUAAAAUGAAGAUCUUGGUACGUGGGAAACCAUAUGAAGGCAACAUCACAAAGAUGCCGUUCGUGGCCACCAAAUACUACAAGCCAACAUGAUAUGUGUGUCUUCUUCAUCCAUGACUUUCUCUUGCUUUUGUUAAAUGACUUAUGUUUUUCCUUUGUUCUGAUUUGGCAUGAAAAUGUACGAUAUAUUGCCUCAAGGGCCGCAUUACCUAUUUCAUUUUUAUCGAAAUAAACUUAACACAUGUAAGACCAAGUUAUGAAUGUGUUCACAGAUUUGAACAUCUUCAAGUUCUUAGUUGAUCAUGGAAGGAUUCAGGUUUAAACAAAUGAUCCAACAAAAACUUCCUAAACGGUGCGUUUUGCGUAGAAAAUACUGUACUAAGGAAACAGUAGUACGAAUCAAUAAGCAACACGUGUCAAGUCAAACAGGGUAACCAGUUGACCUUCGUUUAGCCUAUUAACACAGAACAGUUGCCCAAAACAUCUCCGUUGACACGUCACCCCGCCGCCGUGCCAUCACCGUGAAAUUUGUUUUUCACUGUACUGUUUCGAAUUUUACUCACAGAUCAAAACGACAGCGUUUCAAUUGUAAUCCGCGAAGAUAAUAAAUUUGGGAACUUGGGACCUUCUUUGUCAGCAGAGAACCUCCGGCGAUGGGUUUACACAAAUUGAGACUCGCCGCAGCGGUUCCGAUAACCUUCUCCACAUUCUCUUCUCGCCUCUUCCUCAAGCCAUUUCCCAAUACUCUUACCCUAGGUUUGUUUUCCCGCCAUCUUCAACCCCGUAAGCCUCUCUUGGUCAGAGCUUUCUCAGCUUCCGCCGCCGUUCAAAAUAUUCCGGCCAGACAGACCUCUGAUUCAUCUGGUAUUCCAGUUUCACUCUCUGACCUCGUCAAAAUUCGUCAUUGCUUUUGAAUGUAUCUGAUUCGUUCUGAGUUUGCGAGUUUUAGUUGCAAAGCCUCAGUGGAAGGCGUCGAUUGAUUUCAAAUGGAUAAGAGAUAAUAAGGAAGCAGUUGAAAUCAACAUCAAGAACAGGAAUUCGAAUGCUAGUUUGGAUGCUGUGCUUGAGCUUUACGAGAACAUGGUCAAUGUCCAAAAGGUUAUCUAAUCUUCUACUCUGCCGUGUUAGAAAUUAGCUCAAUUCGAAUUUUGGAUUCUUAGUACUGGAAACAUGUGAAGUCUGCUACUUUGAGGAAAAAUAUUUACGAAACUCCAAAGAAACAUGUUAAAGUAGCUAAAGCUUGUUGUUUUGUUAGUUUCUGGAUAGGUUAAUUAUGGAGUCUUGGUGACAAACACUAGUUUUAGUCUCUGGCUAGAUUUGAGGGAUUGCAUUGGAUUUUUGUUUUUCAUUCUCUCGGUUCAGCUAAUGAACGAUUGGAGAUAGCAGGAAGUUGAGAGGCUUCGCGAGGAAAGAAACAACGUUGCAAAGAAGAGGAAAGGGAAGCUGGAGCCAUCUGAACGUAAGAGACUCGUAGAAGAAGGUAAAUGAAGAAUCCCUUUUGUUUGUCAGUCUGUCUUCUUUACUGAAAUAUAAUAGAGCAUUUUCGCCUUCAGGUAAAAAUCUUAAGGGAAGUCUUGUAACUCUGGAAGAACUCCUCGUGAAGCUUAAAGAUGAGCUGCAACAUGUAGCACAGUCUAUACCGAAUAUGACUCACCCUGAUGUUCCUAUUGGAGGAGAGGAUUCGUCAGCAAUUAGAAAAGAGGUAGUUAGUGUGGUCAUAACUCCCUGAAUUUUUCCGUUGGCUAUGGCAUUUUGCUGUCGAAGGGCUUUCCAGAAACAUUUUUAUAAUGUUUUUGUAGGUUGGUAGUCCACGUGAGUUUAGUUUUCCAAUCAAGGAUCAUCUUCAGCUUGGGAAGGAUCUUGAUCUCAUUGAUUUUGACUCUGCUGCUGAGGUAUACCCUUCCUUAAUCAUUAGGUACCAAAGCGCAUUUAUGGGUUUUCAGAUCACCGUUACCAUGUGCUUAGCUGCUGGUUUUCUUUUUAUAUGUGCGGGGGAUAUUUAGACAGAAGUUUUUAUUAGUUCAUGUUAUGGAGUUCACUUGAGUGGGUGAAUGAUCACCUCCUUCUAUAAAGCAUUAUAUUGAUGUCUAAUUUAUUUGGUCUUCCUGUACAUUUAAUCAAGGAGAUGAGGUGAAGUAACUUCUUUUUUAUUUAACUCGUGCAGGUAAGUGGUUCAAAGUUUUUCUAUUUGAAGAAUGAGGCAGUUCUAUUGGAGAUGGCCCUUCUUAAUUGGACAUUAUCGCAAGUCAUGAAGAAGGGUUAUACUCCCCUAACGACCCCUGAAAUUGUGAGAUCUUCUAUUGUUGAGAAAUGCGGUUUCCAACCUCGUGGAGAUAAUACUCAGGUUUUUGCAAUACUAGUGUGUUUGCUCUGUUUAAUUAGUCAACGUUUUUUGUUUGUUGCCCAUCAUGCUUCCAUUCUUCUGAAUAGGUCUAUUUGAUAGAUGGAACUGACCAAUGUCUCAUUGGUACCGCUGAAAUUCCCGUAGGAGGAAUACACAUGGAUUCUAUUCUUCUUGAAUCAGUAUUACCUUUGAAAUAUAUAGCAUUCUCUCAUUGCUUCCGUACUGAAGCGGGUGCUGCUGGUGCCGCCACAAAGUAAGUUAGACAAAAGGGUUUAGUCCUUGUAGCAUCCGCGUGUUCUUGACUUCUUCAACACACAGGUUUUACUAAAACAUCCUACUUUCUCGAUUUCGAGCAGAGGUCUUUACCGAGUUCAUCAGUUCAGCAAAGCAGAGAUGUUCGUCAUAUGCAAACCUGAAGAUAGUGAAUUUUUCCACCAAGAACUCAUUCAGAUCGAAGAAGAUUUGUUCACUUCUCUAGGAUUACACUUCAAGUAAGAAACUUUUAGACUUGAUUUCUUCUUACCAGAUAUUAUUUCUUCCUAAAUCUAAACUUUUUCUUUGCAGAACAUUGGAUAUGGCCACAGCGGAUUUAGGCGCACCAGCUUAUCGCAAGUUUGACAUUGAGGCAUGGAUGCCCGGUUUAGGACGAUUUGGCGAGGUAACAAACUGUUAUUCAUUUUUGUCGGACCACUAGAAUGGAAUUUUAGUUUCUACUUUGAGCAUGCUGUUUGAACUUCUGAAUCAGAUAUCAAGUGCAUCAAACUGCACGGAUUACCAAAGUCGGAGGCUGGGAAUUCGUUACCGACCAUCUGAACCGCCUCAAACGGGUGCUAAGAAAGGCAAAACGAAUCUUCCGGCUACUAAGUUUGUGCACACUUUAAACGCAACAGCAUGUGCAGUCCCGAGGAUGAUGGUGUGUUUGCUAGAGAAUUACCAGCAAGAAGACGGAUCCGUGGUGAUACCUGAACCACUUAGGCCUUUCAUGGGAGGCAUUGAACUCAUCAAACCCAAGCUGAAGUAGUUUUUAUGGUUAAACUCUUGCUGUUAUUCCUCUUGUAUUUGAAAUUUGUGCAUUAUAUACAGUUCACAGGCGCUGAAUUUUGUCGUUUCUUUUUCAUUUUAUAUUAUCAUAGAUACAAUCCUUGAUCUUUUUUUAAUUCAAUUAUAUUGAAAAGGAAAUAUACACUUAACAGUUUCUGCAAUUCAUACAUAUGUUUGCUUUUUCUUAGAUCGUUGUAUUCUUCUUUGGCUUGGGAAGUGUUAUGAAUUCUAGUUUGAUUAUAAACGAAUUAGAAUGCUUGUUUAAUCAAAUUAGAAUUCAUAACAAUUGAAUUAUAAGUUAUAACUUAUCUUUCAUAAACAAAAAAAUAUUGAACUAAGAUAUUGUAGGGCUUUACCCCGAAGGGAGCCCUUCCAGAAAUUCUCGAAGGCCCAAGACAAGCUUAGGCCUAGGAGGGGGUUUGGAAAUAGUUUUCAACCAGCAAUAGACGCGCCUCGGUUAAGACCUCAUUAGCUGCGUCAUUGCCCCAAGCGCAAAGAUGCUUUUCUACAACGCAAAGCCUCUUUGUUUUAUAAUCACACAAUAUCGAUCAACUUGAUAACCCUUCCGAUGUGGGACUCUGUUCUAUAACAACAAAACUGAUAUAUUCGUCCACGAAAUUUCAGUUGUGCUGACAAAGAAUUUAAUCAUUUUUUUUUUUCGAAAAAGUUAAUACUUCUAAUCUCCUUAAAAAAUGAUGAAGAUUUAAGACUAAAAUGGUAGGGGCUGCGCGAACGCAAACCCCCUCUGCCACAAAUAAUGACGUAGGCUCUUCCUCAUGGGAAGACCUUAAGCUAAGCACCCCUCCGUAAUGUGCAAUGGAGGUCACUAGCCUAGGCCACUCGUCUUCUUGAUCACGAGUUGACCCCGUCCAGGUAAGUAAUUUGCUAGUUCCAGGCAUAUCUCUCUUUAUACACUUGCAAUCCCAGUCAUUGUUUCUUGUCCAACCGAUGUGGGAUGUUAUUACUUACACACACCGCGCCGUUUGAAGCCUCUCGUUUACGACGACGUGCUGGUCUCUCACAAGCUUAAAACGGUAUGAGUUUUUUUUUUUUUGUCUUAAACACACAUCUACUAUGACAGUGGACACUCUAGGCCUAAUAGGCUGUUUUUUUUUCUUUUUUACUUUGGCCCAAUAGGCUGUUAUAAACAAGAAUCUUUGAGCAUUUUGAAAUCAAAGAAUCAAAAUAUGAGUGUAUUUCAUGGGUCAAACAAGUUUUUACAGCAGUCGCCUCAAUGGCAAUUCUUUUACAAAACAGCCAAAAGAACAUAUCAAUGUCUUGCCAAAUGAGAUCACAAUGAGCACUGAGCACAGCAAAAAAUUAAUACUAAUUGGCUAAAAUCCUGCAGAAACAACAAAACCGGUUGGUUCUCUACAUGUACAUGACUUGAGAUGAAGCCGGUAAUUUUUUCGUUGGGAAAGUUAAACCCACAUAUCGUUACUCUGAUAAAACACCAAACUGCUGACAAAACCAUGAAUUCAAGUGAAGGGAUAGAAAUUUGAGAAGAGCAAGGUACCAAGAAGGAUAUAGGCUGCACAAUAUGACCGUAUCAAGUAUCCCCAUUUAUUAUGUUUUGGAGAUGCAAUCAGAUUCGAUGCAAACCAGUAAAGAGGUGGGCUUGCUGACAAGAACCGUGUUGCAACCUGUAAUAACCACAACACACACGUGAGGCCAGUCUCAGUGAAACCUUAAUCUCAUCUAAAAUUCUGUUUAUGCCACUGAGGAUUGUAACCUGAACAUGCAUGAUGAAGAAAGCAGUGGUUGUCAUUAAACCCAAGUGUACGAUAAACGGGAAAACAUCAGCUGAAAAGUAUCCUGAUUUUUCUGGAGAGCUGGAUUCUGAAGCCGCUUUGGUCACAGUGACAUCCUUCUUACUAGGUUUCCGCUGCCUAAUGUCACGAUUUCCUACUCACGGAAAUAGAGAGGAUCCAUCAACGUUUUAAGUUUGGAAUUAUUAUACAACAUAACGAAGAAAAUGAUACCUUCAUUUGUUGAAGAUAACGAAGAAAAUUAUACCUUCAUUUGUUGAAGAUUUAACACUUGUUUCAACUGCAUCAUUCAGAGAAUAAAGCCUUGCAGCAGAUCUCUUUUCUUUCUCGGUAGCUUGAAACCCCAGUGAAAUGAAAAGUUCAGGCCGAGACUUCAUGUAACUCAUAAUUGAACACACAGCUAAAGAGAGAAUUGGGGAUGCAAGCAGAAAGUUUGGGAGCUGUUUAAACUGAAAGUAUUUAAGGAAACCUACUCCCCUGUCAGGAAAAAGGAGAUAACUGCUCAAAAUCAAAUAUAAGAAAGAAAACUUGCAUAUGUCUUUGUUGAGAGUACUUACCAAUAAUGACUUUGAAUGAAGUUGUAUAGCAAAGGUAUCCUUCCUUUGCACCAAGGCCUCAUUUCAUCAAGCGUAUGUCCAUGACAAAUGUUAUAGUAUCCAUAUGCUUGAAACGCGACAAAAGGAAGACAAAUGCAAACGCAUCUAAGAAAUCCAGCAACCAAAACCUGUAUAGCCAACUGGGUAGCGAGACAAAUCAUUCAGAGAUUACAUGAUUAACCAAGCAGCUGCUCUUUAAGAGAUACUAAAUCAAGAAAAUUUUCCAUUGCAGCCUUAAACUAAAGAGGAUAUCAAUAGAACAGUAAAGUCAGAAUCCAUAUCAAUAGAACAGUAAAGUCAGAAUCCAUUAAAAAUGUAUGAAUAACCUAAAAAGAUUGUUCUAGUUUAUCUUUUUCUAUCUGGAAGGAUCUAAAAUGUAAGAAACAGAAUGAUCCAGACAAAGCAUGCUACCAACAAAGUCCGAUGUCGUAAUAUCUGAAAGCUGAAUGAAAUAUGUAUAACUUACAUAAAUGCGCCUUUUCUGAUAUAAAGCUUCAUAUGCUUGAUGCAUCGUCUGGAAACAGAUAUAACCAGCAUUAAGAACUCCAUUGGACCUUGCACAGCCAGAGAGUGCAAACCAGAGAACGGCUACAUUGCUGGUACCAGAUAACAAGUGAUACACGCCUCCAAUAGAAAAAAGAGCAUACAGACUUUCUGUAUAUCUGGAAGUCACAAAGCAACAGUUUGGUCUUUAGUUACCAAUUAUUAUUCUGAUAAGACUGAACAUUCUCACUUUCAGGAAUCGAACUUAAGAGAUCAUUGCUUAAAUACAUUACAUUGCCGAAUAAAAUAUGGACGCUGGGUUGAAACAGAAGAUAAUUGAAGCUCUGAAUGAUGCCUCAGUGUCCUUCAAGAUAAUAACUGAAACCCUGUUAGCAACGACUGGUGUAAGAUAUUUCUAAAUCGAGGAUAGCAAAGACAAGUACUUACCAAUAAGACUAAGAGAAACUCGGACACCAAUUACAAAAAGUACAGUUGAUUGCCUCUUAUACACAAAAUGUUAAGCUUGUAGAGCUCAAAGGACUCAUGACUCAGACUCAUUUCCAGACACAAUAAUCGAUUUUGGAUGAAUGUCAAAGAAGUACCUAAAUAGAUAGAUAGCAGCAAAUACGAAGGCCAAGUUGCUGACAAUGUAACCAGACAGCACCAUCACAGCUCGAAGACCAAUCAAUGGAACCAAAGGCGCAAAAACUGAAUCCAAAAAGAAUCAGAAACUAUGGUAAAAAAUACAAGAAAAAAACAGGGAAUCAAGUGGGUAGAUCUAAAUUCCAAAACCUGUUCGAGAGAGAAUCGAGAUGAAGAAAGGGAGCAGAGGCAAAAAGGCGUAAGUCUGCUCAUACUCAUACCCACACUCCGUGAUUCGGAGAAAAUACACGCUGUCCCAAACAAUGCUGUUUUCAAGGGAUCUCGAAGCUGCAUUGGCUACUAGAAGGGGAGGAGGAUCUUCUUUGUGAUACAAGCAUGGAGGAUUGAGUGCAGCAGAUGUAUCGUACGGCUGGAGUAAGCUCCGCCAUAAAAGAGUUAAGAGCAGAACCAGGAGCCGUGAGAAGAUGGCGUAUUUGAUCAAAAUGCUUUCUUUCCUUGAUUUUGAUUCCAUGGUAUUCACCAUUGAUUACGAGCUCUUCUCCGAGGAUAAAAGGGCUCGUCUUUGCUAAACACGAGCUGAAAUUGAAGACGAAUCAAUCUGAAUAAACAAAUUUAAAAUUACGAUUUCUCAUCCAAGGAAGAAACUAGAGGCAUAGAUAUGCUUCUCGAUGGCACAAUCCAGUGACAAAACAGCUGAUGAUUUGUGUUGUUGAGCUGAGCAGAGAAGAGAAGGAAACUGAAGAAGUGAGGGAAGGCUCGUCGGAGAAGGAGGUCGGAUUUGAUCAAAAUUCGAACCUUCUAACUCAUGUAGAGAGUUUUGAUUAGUCAGAGCCCAGAGGGGCAAGUCGCCAGUUUCAAAACGCCAAACGUGAGAGGAGACCAAACGCGCCGCGUCAUCAGGACAUGUCAACAAAACGCGUCACGAGGCCAAUCACGUGCGGCCGGGUAACGCAGAACAUAGAUCGUCAUAAAUGGUAAAUUCGAAAGACAAAAAAAAUAGAAUAAUAAUAAUAAAUAAUUGAUCCCAUUGAUAAACCCUUUAAUUAAAAAUUUUACUUCUUCUUUCCUUCGAUCAUCGUCUUCCUCUGGUUCUCAGAUCUUUCAAUAGAGAAGAACCAAUUUGAAUGCUCGUAACAGGUUCGUUCAAUCCAUGUUCAAUUGUAAUCCUCCGUUGUAUAUGUAUAUAGUAUGGAGAAUUUUUGUUUCAAUUUUGCUAUUUUAUGAGAUUUGCUUCCGUUUGGGAUCGAAGCUAUAGGACGUUCUGAAGAUUUUACCUGGGUGUAUAGCUCUUGGAUCAAUUUCGUUUGCAAUCUGUAAACGAUUUUGUUCUGAGAUCUUCGAUGUCUCUUUCGAAUUUAAUCUUCGAUUUAUAAUUUGUCAAACAUAGAUUCGAAUGUGGAAACAUAGGAAAUUUUGUGAUGGAAUUUUGAAUUUGAUUUUCACUGAAACUUGAUGUGUUUGUUUGGAAUUGGAUAAGAUGAUAUAAUAUCUUUGUGGUGAAUUGUCACAUUGUGAAAUUUGUAAGCUUUUGAAUUUUGUUGUAUUACUCAAGUUUGAGUUUCUUUGAGGUUGACGUUCUCUGCUGGAAUUCUCAUCUCACGUUUGACUAGUUCAAUAUCUGAUUUUCAAAUAAAGAUAAGCUAGUUUGAACACUCGUUGUUGAAAAAAAUCAAGAUUUUUCUAUCUUCUGUGCUGUUGUGUGUGUUUACAGACCCAAAGUCUUAGGCAUCUGUGGUUAAGUUACCUGCCUUACAUCUCCAGUGUUAAUAAUAAUGAUUGGUCUUUUGUUUCUAGUGAGUUGCAGGAUUCUUAUUCUUGUUUUGGAAUUUGUGACUAUUGCAGUGGAUUUACUAUAGGAAAAGGAGCAAAGCAAAGAUGGUGAAAAUGACUUUGAUAGCUCGUGUUACUGAUGGGUUGCCUCUAGCAGAGGGACUCGAUGAUGGACGCGACUUACCAGAUUCAGAUAUGUAUAAGCAACAGGUCAAGGCUCUGUUUAAGAAUCUUUCCAGAGGUCAUAAUGAGGCUUCCAGAAUGUCCGUUGAAACUGGCCCCUAUGUUUUCCAGUAUCCUUAACAUCUGCUUUUUUCCUCAUUCCUUAUUAGUUCAUUUUCUGCUUGCAAAAGUUUGUUGAUUGGUAGAUAUAUUCCCCCUGUAAAGAAACUUGGUAGGUUAUUUACAUCAUUAGAAAGUUUACUUAGAUUUUGCCUGCAUAUAAUUUUGCAAAGUUUUUCAUUCACACUUAUGACAGCCUUGUACAUCAGGUUCUGUCUUAUGACACGUUUUAAUCCUCUUGCAUCAUGUUUACAUCUUCUUUUUUUAUAUUUGUAUGCUUUUACUUUAGAACUAAGGUGAAAGAGAGAACCAAUUAUGUAUGCUUCCUUAACCAGAAUACUUUAGUUACAUCAUAGAAGGACGUGUUUGCUACUUGACAAUGUGUGACCGCUCUUACCCAAAGAAGCUUGCUUUCCAGUACUUGGAAGAUCUCAAGAAUGAAUUUGAACGUGUCAAUGGGCCUAACAUUGAAACAGCUGCUCGGCCUUAUGCCUUUAUUAAAUUUGGUAUGUGCAGUGUAGAUUUUCUUCUGUAUUCAUUCAGUAUAUUGGAAACAUACCUUCCUGAAUUCACUCUUUCUCCCCUUUACUUUUUUUUUUUUUGUAGAUACAUUCAUACAGAAAACCAAGAAACUGUACCAAGACACCCGCACACAACGAAAUAUCUCUAAGUUGAAUGAUGAGCUCUAUGAGGUUCAUCAAAUAAUGUCGCGGAAUGUGCAAGAAGUCUUAGGUGUUGGUGAAAAGCUAGACCGUAAGUCCCAUCCAUUACUUUUCCUAUGAUCAUCAAUUAAGCUUUUAGAAUAAGGAGAAAUGGAACGAUAGUUUUGCGUUCAUUAUAAUCAGCUGAGCAAUAUUCUUAUCAUAUACCAUCUCAUCUUCUUUUCUUUCUUAAUACAGAGGUCAGCGAGAUGUCGAGCAGGUUAACAUCUGAAUCUCGUAUAUAUGCGGAUAAGGCUAAAGAUUUGAACCGUCAGGUGAGUUUGCUUGUGUAUACCUUUUAUUACACAAUGCAACAUUGAUCACACGGUUAUGAGAUGCUCUCAUUUCUUGUGAUCAUGAUAUAUUAUAGCUCAAAUAGUUUGCAUUUAACUCUAAAACAUUGGAUUUGGUUAACCAGGCUUUGAUCCGGAAAUGGGCACCAGUAGCAAUUGUGUUUGGUGUAGUUUUCCUUCUUUUCUGGGUCAAGACCAAGCUAUGGUAAAAAGGAGGAAACAAAGGCUAUUUUCGUAAUUUAGCAGACUUCUCCAGACAUAUAUCGACCUCCCAACCGCGGACUCAAAUCUCAGAUGCCAGCACCAAAAUAUCUUUUUCUUUCAAAGAGAAACUUUGACACAUUUUGUACUUUUGUAGUAUGCAGACUUUAUGAGACUGGUCUUAUUUCCAUCAAUUAUACUCUUCAAACCUUCAUUGUCAGUUUCUCAGGCUUCUAUAAAUUGAAUUAGAUCCAUAACUAAACUAUAACAAAUUGUGUUUGAUUUCAUAAAUAUUUCUAACACAAUCUAAACAGUUUAAACAGGCUAUAUUUUAGUGUUUGUGUGACCGCAAGUGUCUCUUGAAAUCUAGUGGACCUGCCAAAUCUGAUGAAGAAGUGUUCUUCAACUCAUCUGAAAGCUGCAACGCCCUCUGAAAAUCUCCUGACUUCUUCAGACAAUCAAUUAGUGCUCGGUAGACAUAAACUGAUGCUCGAAUUUGUCUUUGUUUCAUCUCAUCGAAAAGCCUCAACGAUUCCUUUAUGUUCCCAGACCGACCCAAACUGUCUAUCACCGCAGUAUAGCUAAGCAAAUCAGGCUUUAUACCAAACUGAACCAUUUCGUUGUAUAUCACCAAACACAUAUCAAAUCUACACGCUUUCCUCAUCCCGUUCAGUACCGUGUUGUAUGUAAUGAUGUCUACGGAUACAUUGCAAUCUUCCUUCAUGGAUGACAAUACACCCAGCAUCUCAUUCACUAGUCCAGCUCGUCCCAAGAUAUCCAAAACCGAGUUGUAUGUGAUCACAUCUGGUUUACAUUCCCACUCUUUCAUCUGCUGAAGUAUCAUAAGAACCUUAUCGAUCUGUCUAGAUUCAGCAAGUGCAAGAAUAAUUCUGUUCAGUACUAUCAGCCUACAUGGGAGAGAAGACUCGGAUAUUUCUUUGAGAAGAGUCAUCAAAUGCAUGCAAUCAUCCGUGUUAAUGAAUGCUCUAGCGAGGUUGAGAUAACAAUCUGAACUCACUGGUUCCUUACCUGGCGAGACCAGUAGCUCUCUGAAAAUUCUACAAGAAAGCCUGAUAUCGUUCUGCUCACCUGAUGCUGCAAGAAGGUUCUUGAAAACCGAAAUAGGCAAGCAUAUGUUCUUGUCUCGUAAGGACUGCAAUAAGUCAUAUGCAGCAGAGACAUUUCCAUCUCUUGUAUACUUCUCAACAAGAUCCAUAUAAUCGAUUUUGCUGAUGAUCUUCGAACCACUUUCACUAUGGCCAACCAUCUUCUUCAAGAGUUCUUGUUCAUCUUCUUCUCCUGUGUUUACCGAGGAGUGCAUACCGGAGAGCGAGCAGCUCCUGCUCAAAUCAACUGGAGCUAACACCAUAUGUUUCUGCAAUGCCAAAACACAAAGAAUCAAAAAUUGCAAUAACAGAAACAUCUGGUCUUUUAAUCAUCACCAACUUCCAUAUACAGCUAUGAACAAUGUGAAUCGAAUUCAUCCACUGAAUGAUGAUAUAUGACUUGGAAAAAGAAAUGACUUUCUAAGUUCCACAGAUGACAACGAAAACUAACUUCGUAAUCUAACACAAGCUAAAGCGUGGAAGCUCCAAAACUACAAAACGAUCAGACUCGGAAGAACAGCAGUGAUUCACAAUUUCAUAUCUUUAUCGAAUCAAACCAAACGUUCGUAGAGCUUUAACAAUCAACAGAGUGAAUCAUCGAAAUAUCGAAUCGAACAAAAUAUGAAUUACGAAAAGGGUUGGGGAAUAUUUGGUAUCCAUACCAUAGAAGUAAAUGAGCCUCCAUAGAUGGGGAUUCUCUUAACAAUCGACCACUUCAUCAUCUUCUUCCGUAUCAUUCUCCAGAGAGCUUGCAACACUUUCAGGUUUUGAUUUUUUUAAUCGAAUUGUUUGGGUUAAGAUUACUCAUUAAUAAAUAUCGAGCUAUUUUGUAAAUAAGCUUAAACUUACGGGGCUAAUGAGAGAAAUCAGCAAAUUUUCAAAAGCAAAAUGUAAUUUGACAGCUUAUUUCCUCGCAACUUCAACUUUCCUUCUUCGUAUUUUCCGACGAGAAAAUUUCUCAAAAUCCCUGGUUGGAAUUUUUAUUUCUCGGAGAGAUUUUCAAAACCCUAGACGCUCACAUUCGCUACGAGAUCAACCACGAUGCAGCAAUUACUCUUCGCUGUUGUGCUCUUCGAGGUUGUUGUGAUAAUGGCGCUUUCGUUCAAGACGCCGAUUCGGAAGCUGCUGAUCAUGAGCUUAGAUCGUGCCAAGCGUGGCCGUGGACCUGUGGUGAUUCAGACUGUUUCGGCGACGGUUAUCGUACUUCUGGUGGCGAGCGUGUACAAUAUGAUGGGGAUCCAGAAGCGUUGGAUCGAGGACGGUGCGGUGAAUCCUACAGAUGAGGUUAUAAUGGCUAAGCAUCUCCUUGAAUCGACUCUCAUGGGUAUGCUCUUUCGUUUCUUUUCUUAGAUCCGGUUCCCUCUAAGAAGUCUGAACCAAAAUUACUGUAUCUAGUACUGAAUUGGAGAUCCAUAUAUUGUUUUAGAAACUCUUCAAUGUUUUUGAUCAUUGUGCUGGAUCUUCUUACUCGUGUCGCUUGAUACUUGUACCAGGAGUUGCUAAAUUUGUUGGUUUAGCUAUUGAUAUUUCGAUUAGAUUGAUACUCAGUAUCUGGAGUUGCUAGAGUGUGGUUUAACUCUUGAAUUUUCGAUUAGAUUGAUGAUACUCAUAUCUGGAGUUGGUUGAGUGUCGGUUGGUUUAUCAAAUUGGCUUGAGAGGGAUCCAUAUAGUCGCAGAAGCUUUUAUUAUUGAAAUUCAGCUUUUCGGGUUUCAAUUCGAGCCUUGGAACUAUGUGUCUUUUGCUUUGCUGGUAAACUUUGGUUGCUAGUGUGAUUGUUUAUCUCUUUCUACUCCUUUGAUUCAACCUUGUACAUUCAAAUUUGCUCUGAAGGGAUCGAUAUAGUCCCAUAAGGUUUCGAUAUAUGGAUUUUGGCUUUUCCAAUUUCAGUUUGGUUUCUUAUGUGCAUUGGAAGUUUCUCUUCUGCUUUUGGUAAACCUCAGUUGGUGUUUUCUUCCAGGUGGUUUGCUAUUCCUUGGACUAAUGAUAGACAGGCUACAUCAUUACAUGAGAGAACUACGCAUAAGAAGGAAGACUAUGGAAGUUAUAAAGAAGGAAGGAGCGUUAUUGGAAGGUGUAAAGGCCAGAGGUUUAGAUGAAAUUAAAACCUUGAAAGAAGAAAUAAUGUCGCUUCGGAAGAGGCAAGAGCAGCUGGACUCUGAGCUGGAAGCAAAGUCUAAAGAAAUCCGUACAGAGAAAACCAGUGCAGUUGCUCUCCAAAAGCAAUCUGAAGGGUUUCUUAUUGAGUUUAACCGGUUGCUUGAGGAAAACCAGGAUCUUCGAGAGCAAUUGCACACUGUGGAUUCAAAACUUUCGCGUUCAAGCAGCAAAAAGAAUACUUAAGAGACUCUACUGCAACAUUUUAGAAUCUGUGUGAUGCUGCCAGUUGAAUAUAUUUGUUGAGUUUGAUAUCGGAAGCUUGGGGUUUGGUGUUAUUGCAUCUUGUUAACAUGGAAAGAUGAUGGGGAAAGAUCAGAAAAUACAAAACAAUGAUAGGUUUGCUUCUUAUUUGAGUGUUAGUCAAAGUAGAAAUGAUCAAUUCUUCUACACUAGGAAAAUGUAACUGGUUCGUUUUACAACAAAAACUAUUCGAAUUGGUUUUUAUUUCCUACCAUAUAGAUAGAUAGGUAUACAGUCGCUGCAAAGUAAAUUUUUAUACAAAUUCUCUCAAGUUCAAUGACUUAUUCAUUCAGACAUUUGUCUUGAUUCCGAGAUUUCCCGAGAUUGCAAGCUUCUUAUCUGUGGAUUUAGGGUCAUCACUAUAAAGACAGAACAUUUCUCAUUUUACGACACACCAAUUCUCAUUCUCAAUUGUUCAUAUGCUAUUACGUUUUAAGUUUUUUUUCGAAAAUACAAAUGAGAUAUACCAAAUCAUUUAAUUACGUAUGAUAAUAUUACGAGGCAUAAACAAAGGAGGCAGGCUUUUUAUUAAAGUUUUCACCAUCGAACUUACUUAGCAGAAGGUAUUUACAAAGCCAAUGCCUUCAAAACUACAAAGGCCUUUUUUCGUUAGGAAAGCAUUAAAGAUAAAGGACCUGCGCCACCAUUUCUUCUACUACGACUCAAAGUCUUCAACUCCAGAAAACAUACAAACAACACUUGAGACACAGAUUGUUCAUACUAAAACGAUACCCGAAACCAACCCGACCGUGUUUAGACUGCCUCUGCAAAUCCGACCUGUUCGUUACCGAAGUCAAAAACAGUGUGGUAUUUGCCCAUGAACACAUCUCCCAAGAUCCUGUCACAUUUUUAUUGCCGUCCACUAGGUUAGAAAAAAGAAAGAAAGAAACAACAAAUUGUACAGCGUGUAAUAAAGCAAGGGGUUUACCAGAGAGGUCCGCGAGGUGGAGCAACGUCAAGUGCAAUAAAUCCACUGAUGCACUGUGCAGCCGGUCCCUCGCCAACUUUCAGAACAUACUGCUCACACAAUACCAACCAGUACCAACAGAUUAGUAGAUGGGGAUUAUGUUCACUACAUAAAUGAAUAAUUUCCAAAACUGUUCAACAUCAUACCUCCUCUGGAGAAAGAUCAAAGACUUUGCCUCCUAUGGUUAGUGAAACAGUAGGCAUUGUUGAGAGUUGUGCACAAUCCACUGCAGACUCUCCCAUUGGGCUGGGAAGGCGUUCACAUAGCUGUUAAGAAUACGCAAAGAUUAGAUUAAUCAGUAAUCAACACGAUAGUAACUAUUGUUUGACAGAAGUAUUGAAAUGGACAUUUAAUGGUUUACCUCAUUGAUGUAGUUCAAUAUGCGCUCUUGAGUCAUGUUCUGCCUCAACUGGCUCUGUAUCCACACAACUGCCAUCUCACAAGCAGAACAUGCAGCAUCUCCAACACCAUUAGACAAUUUGGCGUUUUCUUUGUCCACCACAGACUCAAUGCCCAUACUAAACAAUUUAAAGGUCAUACCAAAUAUCAGCAGAUCACAAGGGGAAAAAAUCAUUCCAGGAUGAAGAUAUUGACUUAAUUGCAAUGUCUACAUAUUAGAACUCUCUAUAACAUUAAUGAGACCAUCGGAACUUUACCUGACACCACGGGUACCAUCGAAAGUACACAAACCAAUCUGUGAGCAGAUUUUCUUCGGCUGGGUCUGCAACGUGCAAGGAGAUUGAAUGGUAAACGAAAUGAUUUGUGCAAAUUUUGAUUUGUCACACAGAUUUUGUUAGCUAGUCCAAUAUUAAGCACACUGACCUCAGACAAAAGUAAAUCCAAAAUGGUCUCCCCGUAUUGAUCUACAACAGUCUUGCACUGCUGGCUAACAACUCCAGCAGCUCCAAUAGCAUGGUUUAUCAUGGUGAUAAUAGGCUACACAGAGAAAAACAAAAACAGAAGUAUUACUACAAAUACUAUUUGACGAACCAUAAUUAUAAGGCUAAAGCCACUUCAUUCUUUCUUACCGUUGGACCUGCAAGCAAAGAUGUACCAGAAUCUGCUAUCGCUGAACAGCCAUUUUCACAGAACCCUGUAUAACAACAGUAACUCAAAGUUUAGAGCCAGCUGACACCAGCAAACAUAAAUAGCAAAACUUUCUGAAUAUGUUAAGAAAAGCUAUAUAUAGUAUAAAGGAUGAGGCAUGAAUGUUACACAUACCAGUGGGUGCGCUGCCAAUGAGAACAUCACCCAUGUCAAACUAUAACAAAAUAUAUAUAUAUAUAUAUAUAUAUAUAUAUAUAUAUAUAUGUAUUGCUUGAGUUAGAACAACACUGGAAAACUUCAAAGAAAACCAAGUCAAGAAAGUGAUGUAUAACAAACCUGCCAGUAACCCUUUUGUGUCACAGGAACAUAUGUAUGCUUGCCCUUGAAAUGAUUUGGAUCAACGCCUCCAAAUACAAGUUCACCACCUUCUUCAUCAUCAGCAUUACGGUUAAGCCAAAAUGAAAAAACUGGCUCCUUGAUAAGGCCUUGUUUAAGCAUGUUGUACCUGUAAAAGUAAACAAGGCAUCUUGGCAUUAGAUUAAUACUACAGGAGUGUAAGAAACUCAACUUAAUCUAAAGAAGAAAAUGUUGGCAUACCAAACAGGAGCAGCAUUUCCAACAGAGAUCUCUCGGAAUCCAAGACCAAGGAUACCAUCAAAUUUAGCUAAAACAAAUGUUAUACCAGGCUCCUUAGUUGCCUCGAUAAACUCCUGAUAUGAGAUAGACAAAUGUUAAGAAGGAAGGUCAACCAUAUAGAAUAAAUGUGAGGUAAGAGUGCUGAGUAAGGUAAGAUAGAUAGUUUACCUGAUCCUUGACAACUAAAUCGCCAACUGUGACAGCAUCGUUACUAAAAAAACCAGAAAUGGCACCAGUGCCAUAAUGAAUUGCGGCAGAUUUUCCUGCAACAAAUACCAGCGAGUUAGUUAUAACUUCACAGCAUAGAUCAGCAGUGCUGUUGCAUCUUUUAACAAUGGUGGCAAAGAUUCCCUGCAAAUUAACAUGAAUUCUAGAGGAUACAUUAAGUGCAGAGAGUUUCAAAUAAAGAGAGAACAUACCAUUCUUCUCAUAUGUGCUUGAGCGUGACGACUUGUAUUUGGGAUGCAAGAGACAAGCAAUCUACACAAGGGACACAUAACAUUUAGUUUUCGUCUAAAAAGUAUCUCAACCACAGCUACCAAUUAAAGACCAAAUGUUGCUUACUGAAAAAUAGCAUUUUGAUGAUGGCACCCAGAGGUUAGAGCUUCCAGUGUCGAAAACCACAGUGAACUUCUGAGGUGGAGUACCAAUAGCGAUCUCACCGUAGUACUGAGCAUCUAAGUAAUUCUUCAGCGCAACAACAUCAGCAUCUCCAGAAUCUCCGCUGUAACCUCUCAGGGGCUUAUCUUGCUUUGAACCAACACGUGCUGCAAGACGGUUUUUGGAAUCCAACUUAAGCUUUUUCAGGCCAACUCUGACGGUACCGUCACUGCGCUCGGAAAAGGCAGAGAAAAACAGCAGGAAUGACACAACGAGCAAAACAGCAACCGUUGUAGAGUAUAUCUUCAUUUUACCUAUUCAUUGACACCAAGGAUCAACAACAUAUUAGAAUCAAGCUGAAAAGCAGAGUAGCUUCAAUACCCACACAAAUCAACUAUAACUGUCCAUUUUGGAGCUGAAACAUAAACUAAAAUGUAAAAAGUCUAAGUGACUAAAAAUAGGUUUACUCAAUCCUCCUACAACAGACAACGAAGGACAAUGAUACACGCAGAAAAAAUUGUACAAAUCAUUUAAUUUACUUGGUCUCCCACAAUUAGCCAAGAAGCGACAAUGUUACACGCAAUAAAACUUGUACAAAUUAUUAAAUUUAUUUUGGUCUCCCUUAAUGAGCCACGAAGCACUAGCGUGGAAGAAAAAAAAAAAAGUUUAUACCCUGAUUACAACAAAACCUCUAGAAACUUACAUCCCCAAAAACCUUAAACCAUUUCAACCAGCAUCACAUGCAGAGCACUGAAGUAUCAAACGAAAAAAAAUAGCAUACAACUUCUCUUCUUAAACAGUGAAACACCAUCAAGACUAGAAUCGAGAAUACUUCAAUUAAAACAAACAGUCUGAUUACAUAAUCAAACUAACCUAAAAGACCAAACAUAUUCAAACCAACGAUGAAAUGACUAGUGAAACCAAAAUUAGCCACAAAAAAUACAAGAAUCACCGAGAAAAGUCAAAUUUAAGCGAAUCAACGACACAGAUCGUCCAAAAAUAGAACUAUUGGGAUUCGGUGCAACAAAAACCUCAUCUAACUGUUCAGAGAACGAUAAAUGAACAAGAUCAACAAAAGAGACUAAAAAGGUAUAAAAAGAAUCUACGACAAGCAAUUGAAGGAGCGAUGAGUUUUAACAAAAGAAGAGAGCUCACCAAAGCUAAGCACCAGAUUCUCAGAGAAAUGAGGGAGAGAGGUGGAUUGUUGAAGAAAACGAGAAAGAGAGAUGGUUAAAUUUAUGGUGGUGACUGUGAGGAAGAGGAGGAUGCUAAACUAACAGCGCUGUCUCCCAUAAAUGACAAUUACAGGUGGGUCCCACUGUAUAAUCCCGUCAAAAGAAAAAGAGAUAUAUUUCGUGUGGGCUAAUCUUUCGUUUUUAACCGUUGGAUUUUACUAUAAUGAACGGUUUACAUGUUGCGUUGACGAAUGGAUAGGAAGGCCGAACGUAUCAUGUUUUAUAUUUAGUGAACAAUCACGUGUUUACGAAGUUAGAGUGGAUUACGUGCUCUUUUGAGAUAUUAACCGUUGGAUGAAGAUGACUUAAAUUGCACGGUGUCGAUUUGAAGAGUUUAGUUUCCUACCACAUUGGUCUUGGAUCAUGAUCAUCAAUGUACUGCUUAUAUUGGGCCUAUUCGAAGCCCACUUAAAUAUGAAAAUGAAAAAAAACCAAAGCUUAGUAGAUAGAGCAAGAGGAGUGUUCUUGACUUCUUGGACAUGUUUCGAAAGAAGAAUCAAGAAACUACCACACCGUUGCAAUAGUAGAUACAGAAUCUAUUUUCAUAUAAUAUAGUUUUAAAAGAAAAUAUUUGGAUACCUUGGAAGAUCUCAAGCUAUAUAUAUAUACUCGCCUGCUCCUUCGCGAGUGUAAUUACAACAAACAUGCUUCACGUACAUAUCUCUAUACUAAUAUUCGUCAUUACUCUCUCCGAUCCUCAAAGAAUUGAUCAUUCAACAUUGGUUAAUCACGAUGGAUUUGCUCGAAAAAAAAACAAAAAAAGAAGAGACUAUUUGGACUUCUUAGCCUCUAUUGCCUGAUAAUAUAUUCAAAAAUGCUCAAAUCCACUAAUGUCUUUCCGACAACAAGAUGAUAACAAAAAAUAAUAAAGGUCAACUAUACGUACAACCAAUACAGUAACAGAUACAUUAACUAGCUAGUUUAGUGUCUGCGCAAUAUGAUAACCUUUUUAUAUAAUUCGAAUUGCAUCUCAAGUAAAAUGUUAUUUCUCUUCGUUAGUGUAAGCACUUCUUCACUAAGCUUCUGAUUCUCCACUUGUAAUGUAGCCAACUGCAAAAAAAAAAAAUUAAAAAUUAAAAAAAAAAAACGAAAUAGUUACGUAUUAUCAUGAAACUUAAAUUCGCCAAUAUAGCAACAGUAAAUAUAUUAGUUAAUAUAGUUAGCCUAAUGAUCUAACUCUUCCUGCGACUGAUGAUUACUGUUACCUGUAAUUCGGCGUUAAUCGCAAGUGAAGUUUGAUUCUUUCGGGUUAGUGUAAGCAUUUCGUUAAGAAGCUUCUCAUUCUCCAAUGUUAAAAACUUUAAAUCCGCCAUCUGAAAAAUAAAAACACAAUAGUACUAUAUAAUAUUGAAAAGAGUUACGAAUCAAUAGAUAUUUAGGAUCAAGAAAAUUUUGUUCUAAGUGAAAUUACCUUCUUGGCUUCCAUCUUGGAGUUGUGGUAUGAUCACGGCUGGAUCACUAUUCCUAGUGUCAUCAAGUUUUUUAUAUUCAAAAAAAUCUCUUUAUAUAUAAUAUUGACAUGGAGAAAUUUAGUAAACCCUAAAAAAAAGUUAAAUUAGUAAAACAAUUAAUGGAUAAUAAAUUCUCUUCGAUUGCUUUCUAUCACUAAAUCUCAUUAAGUUUAUUUCUCAUAAUAUCUUAGCCAUUUUUUUUAGAAAAUAAUAAAUAUAAAAUCUGUUGUUGUUGAUUUUUGUAUAGAAUUUGGUUUCUAGCUAAGUUUUACCUUUAAAAUAAAAGCAAGUGAAAUUACUCUGUAUAUUUGAGGUUCUGGUACGAAAUAGUUUUUUAAAUGGUUUUCACUUUUGUAUGGAUAAGUUUUCAGAUAACAUGUUAUAAAACAAUUUUUAAUUUAUUUAUUUUUGACAAAAUUGUAUCAUACGUACAGAUCAAGAAAAAAAGGAAAGUUGUAUGUAAAUAUUUCAAAGACUCUGAAAAUAGUCAUAAAAUACAAAAUUACAACACAUGAAGAUAGCCAACAACGUUGGCUUUUUUAUUCACUUCGAUUACAAAGUUCACAAACUCAUAUCAGGAAGACAAAAGCUUUGAACCAAGAAAGUAGUCAAAUCCUAAUUGGACUGAACCGGUUUAGGUUCUUUGGGGCCGUUAUUCUCGAACCUCCAUGUCCAUAUAUCGUGACGCUCGACUUCACGUCCCACUGAACCGGCAAAACCGGUGAACAAUUUAUUAUGAAGUACCGUAGAGAGAUCGAUUUGGGUUUCCAUCAACGGCUUCUUCGGUUUGCUAAGAUAAGCCGGUGCAAUCGUCACGAUGAUCGAUUUUUUUACAAGAUAAAAUUUGUUCUUUAUGUUAUAGUUGCAAUAUUAAUAACCGUUUUAAAAACAAAACCACGAUUCCUCUUGAAUAUACUUUAUACUAAAAAGAAAGAAGACAUAUGUAUUUAUUUUCUUUAAACAGAAACCUAAAGUAACUAUGUUAACAAAGCACAUGACGAGAUUGAUUCUUAAACUCCUUAACAAGACAUUCUAAGCUUACUCAACACUUCACACCAACAAAUUAUAAUGUCAUAACUAAGACAUGCCCAAAAUAAUCAACUCAAAACUCCUAAUUUUGGACUAUGUCUCCACUUCACUCUUACUCGUUCUUCUUCUUCCUUCUCAUGGCCAUCCUUCUUCAAUCAACAACAACAUCAUCCCAAUCAAGUCUCUGCAGAUCUUCUUGCGGCAACAUUCCGAUAAAUUACCCUUUUUCCAUCGACGACGGCUGUGGUAGCCCUUAUUACAGACACAUGCUCAUUUGCUCCGACAACAACACCAAGCUCGAACUUAGAACACCAUCUGGUAAAUACCCUGUUAAGUCCAUAAGCUACUCUGAUCCUCAUCUUCUUGUCUCCGAUCCCUUCAUGUGGAACUGUCAAGACCGAGACAAUUUUCGUCCCACUAGAUCGUUCAGCAUCGAUUCAAGCACACACUUCACUGUCUCCCCUCAAAACGACUACUUGUUCUUCAACUGUAACGCCGAGAAAGUGAUCGUCGAGCCGAAACCGCUCUUCUGCGAAAGGUUUCCCGAUAGAUGUGACUCGUCUUGCGAUAGUUCAAGCUAUCUAUGCAGGCACUUGCCCGAGUGCGGCUCUGCUUUGGGAUCUAGGGUUUCUUGUUGUUCGUAUUACCCGAAAGCCACUCAGUCUCUUAGGCUAAUGCUGGAUAACUGCGCAACAUAUACAAGCGUGUAUUGGAGGAGUACGGGCGUGGAGAAUGCACCGUAUGAUCAGUUUCCAGAGUACGGGAUUAGGGUUGAUUUCGAAUUUCCAGUGACUAUGAAGUGCCUUCUUUGUCAAGAAACGACUAAAGGUGGUGGAGUUUGUGGGUUUAAUACGAGGACUCAAGAUUUCUUGUGUCUUUGCAAACAAGGCAACGCCACUACUUAUUGCAAAGGUAUAAUGCUUCUUUUCUUAUAUUUUUGCGUUAUAAGUUAUAACUAUAAUUAAUCUGUUAACGAAUAAUGAUAUUAAUGAAAAAUAUGGAAUUACCAACUAUUACGUACUAUUAGACAUUAUUAUGAGUUCUUUAGAUUAUAAAAAGAAUGUGAUUUGAAUUAGACACUACUAAUUAAUAAUUAUACGUAUAUUCAAUCAUUUUGAUAUAUUUUGCAGAUCCAAGCCUUGUAAAGCAUAAACACGUUGGAGCUAUCGCAGGUAACUAAGCAAGUUUUUACUAUAUGGAAUUUUUUGGUCAUCUUAUUAACAUAUGACUCUAUUAUAAUACUUGUAAGUUGUGAUCACCUGAUUUGAACCGGAAAUUUGUGUCGCUAACAGGAACAGUGACGGCGGUUUCAGCGGCUGGAGCAAUUGGCGUUGCCGGUGGAGUGUACUGGUACGUGAGGAAAGUGAGAGCCAAAGCUCCAGUCACUUGUGGAGUUCAAAGCAAUGAGAACAGAAUGUUCUAAAAGUACUAAUGAAAUCAUAGUUAUACAAAGACAAAAGCAUUGUCUCCCUCUUCUUUCUUCUGUUUUGUUCUCUUUUUCUUUUCCUUUUUGUCUUUGAUUUUGUGUAUACUACAAGUUCGGGAUAAAUAUUUUUGUAUAUCUUACAUAUAUACUAGUUACUUUUUCGUUUUGGUCGAUAUGUGAACUGUCAAUAUAGAAAUCUUUUGGUAGGCACCAAGCUAAAUUUUUGCAAUCAUAUGAAUUUCAUAUCAAAAUACUAUACUCUUCACAUAGUCGCAACUUCAAAUGUUUUAAAUUUUAUACAAGUCUUUAUAAAAAAAAAUCUUGAAAGAAAACAAAAAAAUAUAAAUCCUUCAAGAUAUAUAGUAAUAUGAAUUCCGUCCCGGGUACUGAAGAAUUCACAAAACGCACCUCAGAUACGGGAACUCCGCCUCGUCGUUUCAAAGGAAUGAAAAGAAAAAUUAACAAAACGUUACAUAUAAAACAUUAUAUAUACUCACAUAUGUGUAUAUAUAAAAGUGGUUAGCAAAUCCUUCCAGAGUAGCAACGGAGAGGACCGGCGGAAGAAGUAAGAGAUGGGACUAGAGAGCCGUGGGACACCGGAAACCACUCCGCUCUUUUGUACAACGGCGUGACGGUUCCGUAUCCAGACGGCACGAAGUAAGCUCCGUUCUUGAAAACGUCUUUGGACGUUCUCCAUUUCCAUCUCCUCCAAUCAUAUCCACUAUCUAUUCUCUUUGUCACCUAUAUACAUAUACAAAGAAUAUUGUAAUGAUUUUUAAUAAUGUAUUCAACAAAAUGUUUAAUAACAAUAUUAUAGUUUUCAAUGAAGAUACCUGUUUUUUGCUAGAGUCAUCAGGAGCAACGAAGUAAUUGCCUUCACUAAAGAUGGUUGGAUCAGCACUUCCUCCGAUCGCAUACAUUUGCCAUUUUUCGUACCUAUUGUUAGCUACGUGCGCAUACCCUCUCCUCACCCUGCCACGUCAUCAAGACAUCAACCGUACAUAUCCAUGUCAACAUAUUUUUUCCAACUUUGGUUCAAAUAAACUAAGUAACAAAGUAUAUAUACUUACCUUGGCAUCCUCUCAAUGAGACCUGGACCAAAAUGGUUGAAUGCAAUUGUAACUCUCAUGAUCUUAUCCUCCACAUUAUUGUCAUUAUGUCCGAGUAACAUCACCUUCAUAAUAACAUACCAAAUUAUCAUCAAGUAUAUUAUUAAAACGUUACAAUUAUGUAUAUAUAAAAACUUACUUUAUCAUGCUGCGUGAAGUAGUUAUUAGAAAUAGUGACGGCCGUAGAAGCAUGAAGCACAUCGAUCAAACCAUCUUGACACCGAGAAAAGUGACAAUGAUCAAUCCAAAUAUGUGAAGAAUCAAAAAUGGCUAUUGCGUCACCAUCCGAUCCUUUCCGGUUGCCAAUAUGAGUGGGGCUGCUCCGCACCCGACCCGACUUACCCGGUUUACAAUCAUGGAUACUUAUCCCAUGUAUAAUGACAUGACUUACAUGCUGGAUCGUUAUGCAUGGCCCAUAAGCAAUUUCCACUUUUGCUCCUCUUCCAUCAAUCGUCUUGUAGCUGUUCAUGAUGAGUUCGUUUUGCAAUACUAUGACCAUGUCACGUGCGAACGUGAUCCAUAGUGGUUUGGCUUGGAUCACCGCGUGUCUAAGAGUUCCGGGUCUGGGGUUUUCAGGGUCGUCUGUUGGGUUUGUAACCACGUAAACCGACCCGUAUUUCCCCCCGACCGCAGCUUUCCCAAACCCUACCGCGCAAUCCGCAAGGGCUCGACGGUUAUACGCCCAACCAGGGUUUCUACGCCAGCAAGAAUCGAUGGGAUUUAGUGAUAGUUUGGGAAUGGUGUAAGUGUAACCAUUACUGUAGGCAGCCUCUACAAGAGAAGAAGAGAAAGCUGCCAAUAGAAGUGAAACUGUUAAGAAAAGAGAAGCCAUUUGCUUGAAGAUGAAAGGCUUGAAUUUCGAACUAUGUGUGUGAAAAAAAAAAUAUAUAUAUAUAUAUAUAUACACGAGAAUACAUAGCAUUUAUCUAUUAUAAAUUUGAAUUAAGUAUCCAAUUUAUGUAUAUAUGUGAAAGAUGAGAAGGUGGGACACACGGAUGGUGCUGACUAAUGAUAUGAAACUAUAUUAACAAUGCUCUUUGUUAUAGAUAGACGUGGUUGCACGAGCUUAAGAUGACGAUGGAUUGGUUUGACUUUGAGUUUUUAUUUUGUAUUUGUUUAGUAAUCUCACAAGUUUCGGAUCUAUAUUAUAAGUUUAAUUAUAUGUUAAACAUAAAGUUUAGAGAAGAACUAGUGAUUACUAGUCCUAUAAUAUUGAACAUAAGUUAGUCGGUAGUCUAUGAUUCGUGAAAGUUUGGUAUACAAAGACACUGCAUUUUGACAUGCAUGGUAUCGGCCGACGCCUAUAUAUACAACAUGGUGCCAAUUAUAAGAUUUAAUUUAAUGGUUAAUACUUCAACUUGUUUAAUAUAAUGACGCUUUUAUUUUAAGACGACGACUGAGAACGAGUAAUAAUAUUUAAGAAUACUAUAUAGUUUACCAUUUGAGACGGCAAUUAAAAAAUCGCAUAUCAACAUUUUUCGAAUUGGUACUAAAGUCAACUUCUGUCAAAUCCGUACAUUUGAUAUAUCACGUUUGACGUUUCUAUUGGUAUUACAAGUAGAGAUGGAUGUGAUUAGGGUAAUUUUAGAUUUAAAGGGGAAAAAUAUGAUUAGUAGGACUAUAAAAUUGAUCUUAAGUAGUCAGUGUUAGGUAGAAAUACGAGUCUUAUAAAGUGUUUCGUGUUAACGACUUGCGACUAAACUUUCUAAUUAAUUUGUAUUACUUAAAAAAUGUAAAUGUAAUAAUAAAUUCAAAUUUUAUUCAAUAAUAAUACAUUGGAUUGUUACAUGUAUGAGCCAUGAGACAUGGGCAUAAAAAUAAAAUUAACAGUAUAAUAUUGAUGACAAACUUUUACAAUACUUUCUAUCUUUAAUAGCAAGUACUCGACCGUUAUUUAAUCUAGCUAUAUAAUCUUUGAAUUUUGAUCUGUAUGUAUAACAUGAAUGUAAUCCAAUUUAUAAACCAACAAAUUAAAAUUCUUUUUUGUAAUGACCUUUAUACCACAAUGUUUCUUUAUGCAUAGCUGCACAUGCCAUAGGCACACGAUCUCCCUUUCUUGCACUUCUUAAAGCAACCUCCACAGUGUCUCCUAUCGAACAUCGGGUUUACACAAUAUCCAUUGCAGCAAACCUCAGAGUACUGACAGCUUUUUCCACAUCUCCCGCAGUUCAGUUUGUUGGUUCUCAGGUCGACGCACUUCUUACGACAACAAUCACGACCUGGACUGCCUUUGAGACGACAGACUUUGGAGCUUUUGUCACAUGUCAGUGCUGCACCUAUACGUUUCCUACCCUUGUUGCUUGCAUUAGCGGCUAUCACCCGACCAUAGUUGCCAUGAUGUUUCGCCUCGACCUUUAGCGGUUCGCUAAAUGUUAUAGCAAUGGCUAAGACCAUUAUGAGUACCAUAAUGAAAUAUGAUAUCCUGAACGUAUUCAUGAUUCUUGUUUGGUGUGGUGUCUUCUUUUAAGUAAUUAAAGAAGAGAAAUUGCAAACAAAAUCUUUAGAAUGAGAUGUAUUUGCGUGUGUUUGUAUGUGUAUGAAUGUUUUUAGGUGAAGAGUAAGGAACGGCGUGAAUGGGUAUUUAUAGACGAGAGAAUGAUGCAUAGGUCAAAGAAAAAGUUUGUUAAAAAAUUAGGUGUCUUAAGAAAACUAUUUGACUUUUUAAGACUCUUUUUAGUGGAGUGGUCAAUUAAAUUCGAAGAGUUUAUAUUUCAUAAGUAUAAACGAGUUAGGCUCGCGUUGAAGGAACAAACAAACUGUAUAAUUUUCUAAAAUUAGGCAGAACAUAAGUCGAACAUAUGAAAUUCAUUUUCGCAUUUGGGAAUUGUAUAGUUUAAAUAAUUAUAUCAUUUACAUAUCUCCAAAAUAUAUGUUAUCAUCUUUUUAAUAUCAACGAUAUUUUGGAGCCAAUAAUUUCAAGAGACAAGCUAGGGAUUAAAUAUUUAUUUAAUAAAAAUGAGGAAAUAUCUAGAUAUUUUAUUGAAAGGAUCAAACCAUGAGAUAUAUAUAUAUCCAAGUGUUUAUUAUUAUUAUCUAGAGAUAAAAUAAAGAAAUAAUAAUUUUAGCUAAAAGUUUAAUCCAACUAUUAUUGUAACGUCUCGAUCGAGCUCCGUUAGUGAAUUUGAUAACUUCCUGAUCCUGACAACUCGAUCAGUUCGUUUCAAAAGCUCAAAGGACUUAUCUUUAUCUACUAAUUUUUUUUAUAGAAAACCAAUAACUAUUUUGUUAAUUAAUUCAAUUACAAACUAUAAUGUUUUCUGUUUUCAUAUAGAGAAAUAUCUAAUAUAGAUAGAAAAAAACAUAUUAGAUAAACAUAGAAGUAUGUAAAUGUAGAUAUUUAGUAAGAUAUGUUUUCUAAAGUGCAUAUGGAACUCCACUAUCCAAGUCAUUCGUCUUUUUGUUGUACACACUUUCGCCUUUAGGUGCCAUGUUUACGAAACUUCCUGUCUAUUUUUUUUUCUCUCUCAUUUUCUUGUCAAAAGGUUGAAACAUUAACAUAAACUACAUCAAUCAUAAAUAUAAUAUGAAGCAAAUAAAUAGAUUUAGAAGUAAACGAAUACGGUGGGAAAAUGGUAUGCGUGGAAUACAAGAUUUGCGUAAUAUACGCUACAUGAAUCAACUUGUUCAAAGUUGAACAAAAUCGGUUAUGAGAGCACUCGAGAGUAGGCGUUGACACUUUAGACACUUGGUGUUAUAAUAUAAUUUCGAUGAAUAAUAUAUAUUCGUAUCUAAGACAAGUACAAAUGAGUCCCAUUCAAGGACAUUACUGCAAUAGAAAGUUCGGACUGUGACAUUGUAGCACAACUAAGUUAACCUAGAAAUACAUGAAAAAAGACAAUGCAUGGUUGAAUUUUAGUGGUACAUGUGUGACCCUUAUCGUUCUUAUCGAACCACUUUGUUUCAUUUGCUCUCUAUGUGAUUGUAGUUUCUGUCUCAAAAUAUCUCAUGACACUUAUCUACAAAUAUUUACUGUUGUAUCUAAUAAUAGCUGUAAUACACGAAACGUAAGUCUCUUUAUUCAAAUUAAAGCCGUUAUAAGAGCACUCGAGUACCAAGGGAUUGACUCUUGGUCAGUUGCUCUUCCAUGGAUUAACUAGUUAAAUUCAGUAACAUAUUUUAAUUAUAAUUUUUUCUAAUGAAUUUUGUGAAUGAAUGUAUAUAUAUACGCGACCGAAGCUUAGAAAUUUUAGCCACAGAAAAAAUAAUAUUUAAUAUCCAAAAUAAUAAUAAUAAGAGUACCACAAAGAAAAUGAUACUAUAUGUUUGUAAUAUUUCAAAAACUCACAGAAUUUAUAUAUGUUAAACACCAUUACGGCACAUCAAGAUAGUUUACAUCGAUGAUUGUAAUAGUAAUUAAUGUAACUAAUAUAUACAAACUAUAACAUGAAUCACAAAACGUUUGUUUUAUUAGAAACUUCUCAUGGUAUAUGUUAUUUGGUUCCACAUAGUGAUGAAGUCUUCAUUAAGAUAUUUAAUAAUAAUUUCAGUAUUGUAUUCAAGAUAACCAUAAUUGAUUUUCUCUAAAAUCUUUUUGAAAAUGGGAAGUAAUUUUUUUUGUUCUUACCAUCAUUUAAUCAAAAGCUACAAUAGUUUACAUCAAAAACAAUUUCAAAAAAAUGCUUAAAUAGUGAAUGGAAUGUACCGCCACAAUAAUACGCUAAUAAAUACAAUGACCAAAAAAUGUAAAAUAGAAAAUUAGGCACCUAGUGAUCAGAAAAAAAAUCUCUCUCAUACAAAAGUAAACUUGAAAAAGGCCUUUCUCACAUCUUCAGAGCCUCAUGUGAUCUACAACAAUAACAAAAAUUGAUUAAUAAAAAAAUCCACUUUAAGAAUUUGAAGAAUUAACUAAAAUUCUAACAUGCAUAAUUUUGGCAUGCUUAAUUCGGGAUAGUGAGAUGUUGACAUCCAAUGUUUUCUUCAUAUGAUCCAGAACGCCAUCUUCAAAAAUAUCCCUAUUCAGUCUUAUAAGGUAACUCUUUUCAGGUCUUUCACACAGAUACAAUCACGCCAUAUUUGCAAUAAUUUCAAUAGUGGAAGACUCUCCAUAAUUCAUACUAUAGUAUAAAUACUAUUUUUAUUUUUUGUACAUUAAAUCCAAACAUGCAUGUUAACAUCAUUUGAGUUUUAAUUGAAAUACAAAUCGGCAUGCGCUAAGAUUAUCUUCAAUGGUGUUCCAGUUCCAUUCAAAUACAUAAAUUUCAUUACAUUCUAAGUAGCAUUUGUGAAUUUCAUAUUUAUUUUUAUUUGAACAUUAAUUUCAUUUUAUUCUACAUACAAUAAUAUUAUAUAUAUAUAUAUACAGUAUAUUUUAUAACUGAUCAAAUGUAUUCGCUAAUAAUACUUAAUAGUUUUAAAUUUUCAACUAUGUUAAAUUAAAUUUACUUAAAUAAUACAUACCACCUACAAUAAAAAUAUCACCAAUCAAUAAUUCUAGUAAAAUUAGGAAAUCAUAUUUGUACAACUAUUCUAUACAUCAAAUUGCUAUUUGUACCACAAUUAGAUCAAAAUAUAAUAUUUACUGCAAGUCAAGUUCAAUAACUCGCAUGUUAUCAAUCUGAGCCUUGAUAUUUCUCGUCAAAGACCACUUAACAAGAUGUUAUAUCAAAACAAAAUUCAGAUUGUCAAAAUUUUAAUUGUGGCAUAAUGGUUAAGUUUUUCCUUCGAAAUAAUGAUGUCCCGUGUUCGAACCCAGCUGUCCCCUUUUAUUUCCUUUUUAUCGAUGAAGGAUCUAGAACGACAAAGGGAAGCCCAACAACGAAGCGAACGUGGAAUCUGCUAUGUCGGCGGCGGCGAUUGAUGGCGUGUCGGCUUUGAGAUCGGUGUUUCAGCGGGUAAACCAGGCGGCGGAGAAAGCGGGUCGUGGAUCAGAUGGGAUACGGGUCGUAGCGGUGAGCAAGACGAAACCUGUUUCUGUGAUUCGCCAAGUCUACGACGCUGGUCAUAGAUCUUUUGGAGAGAACUAUGUGCAAGAGAUCAUUGAGAAGGCACCUCAGGUUCUCUGCUUGCGAAAUUUCUACUAAUCCUUGAAAAAUUUGAACUUUUUUUUAUUUGGUACUUAUUGGAUUGAAAGAGUCUGAAUUUGAUUUGAAAUUGCAGCUUCCAGAAGAUAUAGAGUGGCAUUUCAUUGGGAAUUUGCAGAGCAACAAAGUGAAGCCUUUGCUAUGUAAUUGAUUUUGCCAUUUCAAAGUUCUUUCAUGCAUCACUCUUUUUUCUAUCCGACUUGACUUUUAUAUUGAGUUUCUUAAUUGGGUGCAAAACUCCACACUUGAGUUCUGCAAUUCGCUGAUACUUAAUCUCUGUUGAGUGUGAUUCCGAGUUUUUAUUUGAGUCUUUGGUAUGUUCUGUUCUUAAUUCUUUGAUUUGGUUGCAUGAUUGAUCAGCUGGAGUGCCUAACCUUGUGAUGGUGGAAAGUGUUGAUGAUGAAAAGGUAAAAAAUUAUCUUUUCGUAUAUUGAAAAAGAAGAGGUUUGGUUUUGUAAAUGUUCUAUAGCUCUUUCGAGGUGUUGGAUAACAAAAACAUCAGGAUCUUUGGGUAAUAAUACUGCAGACUGUGAAGUCUACCAAAUAUUUGUUGAACUUUUGUUGGUAUUGAACUGUAAAUGCUGAUGUAAUGACAAGUAAAGAUGCAUGGAGAGUUUGAUUAGAUCAAACACAUAGUAAUUUGAGGAAUAUGCUUGAGACAAUACUGCUUUUCUCUAAUUACAUUGGCUUCAUAGAUUGCAAAUAUGCUUGAUCGUGUGGUUGGAAACAUCGGUAGAAAGCCCUUGAAGGUUUUGAUCCAAGUGAAUACCAGCGGUGAAGAGUGUAAGAACCUGAAAAUCUGGAUUUUUUUUCUUUAACAUCCAUCUCAAAUGUUUUCCCACUUUCACCUUUCUUAAUGAUAUCUUACAUGAUCAUCUUAACUGAAACUUCCAGCUAAAUUCGGCGUGGAACCCUCAGGAUGCAUAGGACUGGCGAAACACGUGAAGGAAGCUUGCUCGAAUCUCGAGUUUUCUGGGUUAAUGACAAUAGGGAUGGCCGAUUACACGUCAACCCCAGAGAAUUUCAAGGUUAUAUAAUAUGGUUUGGACCUAAAAUGUUGUUUGGCAAUAUGAUGGGACACUAGAAGGAUCUCACUUUCGUUUCUUAUUAUAUGUGUAGUUGCUUGCAAAAUGCAGAAGUGAAGUGUGUAAGGAGCUCGGAAUACCGGAGGAGCAGUGUGAGCUAUCAAUGGGGAUGUCUGGUGACUUUGAGUUAGCCGUAAGUUGUUGUGAUUGUUGAUUCAAGAUUUCAAGUGACAAAAUUCUGAGAUCAGCUCAAAAUGAUAAAGAGUUUUGGCUAUGGUUUUGGGAGUUGCAGAUUGAACUGGGAAGCACAAAUGUGAGAAUAGGGUCUACAAUUUUUGGGGCGAGAGAGUAUCCUUUGAAGAAAUGAAGUAAACAACUGGGUGAUGAGAUCGAUUUGAAGUUGUAACAUCAAAACCAGUUUCGAGGAAGAACAAGAGCUGUGGGUUUUAAAUUAAGGGUGGAAUGAUUUGUAUACGCAUUGUAUUUGCUCUGCUUUUGCUUGUAACUACAUUUCAUAGAUAUAAUAAUAAAGACGUAAAGUAAACAACAUCUUGUCCUUGCACGGAUGAAUAAAGUAAACAUGCUACGAUAUUAGUGAGAAGUUGUUAGAAGGUUGUCACAAGAUCGCAUCGUAAACCAAAAGAAGUCACAUUACUAAUUAAGCUUUGAGAGCUCUGCUAACUACGAUCGCAAUAUGUACUUCUUAGUAUACCUAGGAAGGGGCAACACAUAAUCAUUUUAUCAGCUCAAAAUGAUAAAGAGAUUUAGCUAUGGUUAUGGGAACUUUCAGAUUGCUACCUUUUCUACCUUUCAGGCAUAUAUACAUAUGAAACUUUAACACCCAAACAAGAUUCCAAAGUAAGAAAAUUCAUGAAGAAGGAUCUUAGUUUGUACUGAGCGUCAUAUAUAAAAUCAAUUAAGUAAUACUCAUGAGAGAUUUCUGUAAUGUAUCAAUGCUAUUCCCUACUUUAUGUAUACUCUCUGUUGCUUUACCUACAUGAUAGGUUUCCUUUCUCAGUUUGUACCCUAAAAAUUUGCUUACACUGUUGCUGUGUUAUAAUAAGGUUCUGUUGGUUGAUGAUCCUACUAAUCCUUCGCUCACAAUGCGCAUAGCAGCUUCAUUCGUGAACUUCCUUGCAAAAAGAAAGCACGGGACUGGUUUUGAAUCCGCCUUGCACCAUUCAGUUCGAGAUUCAGACUCGUAAUAGACAUGGUCUAUUUUCUGUUCAAGAAAAGAACAAGAACGACAAAUUACUCAAAAGAUCCAUUAGGUUGUGACUAUGAUCACCGGUAAAGAACAAUUAUAUAGUACCUUUACUUCUUUAAUUUCCUCAGGCCCAGAAUUUUCAACUGUGAAAGUGACGGGAUGCCAAGAUUUGGCUUCAUAUUUUGUAGCCGAAACGUUCCAUACAGUAUAUGUCACCGUUCUACGUUCCAUUUCACUCUCUAGUCCUCGCAUCUGAAAAGAUCAGUUUCGAAUACAUUACCAACAUGGAAAUUUUUAGAUGGAAACAAAAUUGGGAGAGAUUUUGAUCAGAUAGGAUUACCGUAAGCAAUGUUUGCACAUAGUGUUCAUCGGGGAUGCAGUUGCGCCGGUUCUGUUUCUGAGUUCACAUCAAACGUAAAAAAAAUUCCACCAUUUGAUUAAGAAAGAAAGAGGUAAAUCAAUGAAGAGAAGUGUUCAUAGACUACAGAAUAGACAGUGCUGAGAUUGUUUUGAAACCAACACUAUGAAUCAACAUAAUCGAUUCAGGCUGCUAUAAAAUGAAAAAUCCCAACUUCCAAGUAUAACUUACAAGAAACAACCAUGCCUCAUUGGUACCUAAAGGUGGACAUCUCUGCAAUUAAAAGAGAAUCAUCAUAUAAAUAUCCUUGUUUCUUCAGCAAAAAUAAUAAUCAAGAUUGACAUUAUGACAACAAGAACUGAGGUUUUCCUUAAUGGUGGAACUGGUUUCUACAAAUUUACCUUGCAGAAUUCCUUGAAAACCGGGAAUACGAUAUCAUCAUUUACAAUGACCUCUGCAUGACUUCUGAUCAAAGCUAUCCACUGCAAUAGAUCAAACUAGGAUGCAAUUAAAAACUUUAUGAACUUCAAAGAAACCUCUUGUCCCUCUGAACCUGAUGCUUAAAUAUCCAGAAGACACUCAGGUUUCAAAAUUGUUGGUAAGCAAUCAAAUUCAGGAAUGUUGGUUUCAUAAGCAAGGGCAUUGAAGAUACCUGGGAUCCUUUCCGCCAUUUCUCUUCAGGUAUGACAGGAGACAUUUUCACACUGUACCGUGUCUCUUUAGUAUGAAGAAAACUGCAAAUAGAAAGCAAUAAUUUUUGUAUCAUCAUCAUCAUCAUCUAAAUAACUCCUCUUAUACUAGACCAGUUAUCAAUCAGGCCAUCAUAAAUUCAGACUUGCAAUCUACCUAUCCACAAAACUCCUCGGCGAAGAGAUAAGAUAUCUGUAUAUAUAGCCAAAGUCAUAUAAUGGAGCACAUCUGCAAAACAGAAAGAAGAUCAUUGGAAAGGGAUAUCAAAUCAAGGAAAUGUAUGCAAAAAAUGCAAAAUUCAGCAAGCCAUGAGUAAUGCUGAAAGAAGCACCACACCUGUCAGAGAGAAGAACAAAUCUUUGAUUGGACUGAUCCUCUAAAGCAGAUGCAAGCAACAAUCUUUCUGCUGCAAUCAUGCUUGAUUCUCCCCAUACUACCUAUACCCACAAACACUCAUCCUAAGUUGUAAUUCAUCCACUAUAUAAUCCCUUAGGGAACAGUCCAAAACGAACACUCACCUUAAUGCUAUUGUUCAAUUGGCGAUUAUAGAAAUACUGAGAUCGCGUAGUGUCUUCAUUGAACACGAAACCAGGUAAUGAAUGUACAUAAAUUGAAAAAUUCGCAUGAUCCACACCCUACACCAGAAUCAGCAAUUUUUAUUCCAAAUUUGAAAAAAAUAAAAUAAAGAGCUUAAUUUUAAAAGAGUUGGGUUUGACCUUGAAGAAUCUAUCCCACAUAAAAUCAAGUGGGAGAUCACGGCGAGCUAAGAAAAGGAAAGCGAGCUUGGGACGACGAUCGCCGGAGUAUUCACGGAGCAGAGUGUGAGAUCUCGCAACGGAGAGCGGCGACGGCAAUGUCGCGACGGAAUGGUACUGUAGUUGAAUCCUGAGGAGAGCGAGAAGACAAAGCGCGGCGGAGAAAGCGAUAACGAGCUUCCAUCCAAGCCAAACGAAGCCGCGACGUGACAAUGGGGGCUGAAUCUGCGGCUGCGGUUUCCUCGUCAUUGUGAUACCUCGGAGAAAUCGCGAUCAAACAUUCGAGUCUCAAAAAAAGCUUCUUUAGGAUUUUGUGAAGUCAACAGAAAAGUUGAGAAGAAAAGGAAACUUAAUAACUGGAAUUAAAACAUUUUUGGAUUUGAGAGAAGAGAAGAACUGAAGAAAGAAAGGUAGACGAAGAUGGUAGUUAGACUUCUUCAAACGACGUCGUAAGCCACCUACAUGUUUAAGUUAGGUGGGGUCUACUUUCAUACAAAAACAAUAAUUUGUUGUCCGAAAUUUAAAUUCAACUAUGAAUAUGUUAUAAAAUGGUAUGUUUUUUUUUUGACAAUUUGACUAAGAAUAUUAAUUAUUCAAAUGUAGUUAAUUAUUUUCUUUCUAAAUAAAUACAGUUUUUUACUUUUAUUCCUUUAUUACAAAUUAAACAAUGGUGUCAUCACCAAGUUCUCACAAGUCAAACAGAGUCCUUAGAAAGAGUCUAGGCCUACACAUUAUAAGAUUUACAAUAUAUGUCAACCUUUUUUCAUUUGCUCACCAAAUGGUGCUAGAUACAAAACAAUGCAAAAGAAGAUUACACAUCAAAUUCAUUCAUCUGCCAAAAAAAAGGAAUUAAUGGCCUCCUCCAAUUUCAAAAAGUUACAUUAAAAUUCCCAUUUUUGAAAAAAAGGAAUCAUUGUUUUCAAGAGACACAUGUCUCUUUUUUUACAUAUAUAUAUUACACAACAGCAAAAGCCAACUACAAAUAGCCAUUGGCUUUACAUUCCUACAAAAUCUGCUGUCACUCCUACAACAACAACAAGGCAAUAUAGAAGUUUUUAGCUGAGAUCUGCCAAUAAUGUCUCCACUUCUUUCAGUGCUUGUUCCACUGCGUAUAUCACCAUCUUCUUUAUCUGUUUUCACAUGGCAAAGAUUAAACAAAAAAAACGAAAGUUAGCAAAGUAUCACCUCACUUACAGAUUAAACAACAAUCCUAAGUUAGCAAAGGAUCACCUCAAGUUUGUCUUCUCUAGCUUUGUGGUUCUUUGGGAGCUGUCGGAACUCAUCAGUCAAACGGAGACACUCAUCGAUGUUCUCUGGGGAAACAAAAUCAACAGCUACCUUUGUACACGACUGUUUCAAAUCCACAUUUAAAAUCAUUUUAUAUAUGCUAAGGGCAAUGAGAAGAAGUUAUAAUUUAUAAGACAAAAAUCAUUCAAACAAUAACCUUAAGAUUCCGAACUUGAUGAGGACAACCAGCGGGAAUAAACACUGCUUCUCCUAGCUUUUGCACAAAUGUCCAUGGCUCAAUCCCUUAUAUUCAUAUAACACAAAAACAUAUGAAACAUAUGAAUAUAAUAAUGUGGGAAGUCACAGUUAUUACAGUUACCAGUAAACCAUACCAAAUUCCGCCUUGAGUUUUCUUUUAUGCUCCACGGUCAAGAAACAAGAUUGGUCAUGUAUCGGAUGAUACACCUAACAAAAGAAUCCUAUCAGCCAAAAUAGCCUCGAGACUCAUGUAAUGAAAACGUUUUGCAGAUGUUUCUUUUCUUACCUUUGUCACAGGAGAGCAAAAAGUAUGUCUGAAUUCUUUGCAAUGCUUCCUUAGAUACUCUUCAAGCUUAGGAACAUCUUCUCUUCUAAAUAUGUCCCAGAGUGCACCACCCGUAUCAUCAUGAUACCCAUUCUCAUAACUCACAAUCUCUUUUCCCUCUGAACCAUUUUGCUCCUGAAGCUCUUUCUCAUUCUGUAGCUUGUGUUUCUGUUUCAGAGCUUCGAUUGCAACCCGUUGCUCCUCAGUUAAGGUUACUUCAGCCGUAUGCAUCAGGAUGUUCACCUACAAACAAGACACCGUUAUAUACUUGACAAACUACAUUUUGUAUUCAUUAGUAUUGUGUAAGAAUUCUGGAACUUACUGCAUCUGACAUAUCACAAUGAAGCUUAGUGACUGAAUCGCCUCUACCAAGCUCAUCUGAAGUCCCAUAUGCAAUGUAGGUUUUUGGACCAAGAUCUGGUUUAAGAAGUCCUUCAGGAAGUUUUGCAGCAAUGUUGAGAAUUCCGGAUCUAGGAUCACUAUAUUCUUGGAAUGGUAAUGCGGAAAUAAACUCAUCGCAGUGACGAGGUAAAAGGUUUUCAAACUUGUCUGAAGGAGGCCAAUCCUUCAGCUUCAGCAUCUCAGGCCAGAAGUUAGCAUAUCUUCUCCCUUUGCUGUAUCCUUCAAAGAAACAUCGAGUAUUGAUCUUCACCUGAAAUCAUAAGAAACAAGAUGAGCUAUAGAACCUCUAUCCCACCUCUAAAAACGUUAUAAGAAAUGAGUUUCUACCUCACAAUUAGCUAAACAAUCGAUAGCUUUGACAUCAGCCAUAUCAGUGCUAGUUGGUGAAUCAACAUUCUCACAUAAAGCCCGCCACAUCACCAUUGGCUCCCAGCUUAAACCAGCUGUGUUGUUAAGAGCGUUUCGAACAAUCACUGGUUCACCUUUGGACCAAUGCUCUUGGAAAUGUAGAAGCUCUUCUUGCUUCAGGACAUCAAAAGAAUCAGGAGAGUAGAGGUAAUUGUCACUGGAUCCGUCCCUUGAAGCUGCCUUCCUCUUCAUACUCGCCUCCAAAUCAGAAGAACAUCCACAAUAUGACAAUGUUGGAUUGAUAACAUAAGAGGCUAAGAAUGUCUCUGCCUUAUGCUCCAAAUCUGAUAUCAAAGUCACCGGUAGGAUUCGCUUAAGCUCCAACACAGAUUCACCGCAACCGCCUAGCUCUUUUAGCGCACAUGGUAUGUUUCCAUUUUCAUCAGCAUUCCACUUAAUGUAUGUAGUUUUAGUUUCAUCCUCAGAAACAGAAGAAGAGCUCGGUUCUGCAUCUUCGCCAUGUAUAUAUCGGGUCCCUUUAUUCUCGAAUUGUAGAUUGAAUUCCGGGCGUUCUGAAAGCCAUCCUCCACGGAUCUCUUGGCAACAAUUCAGACAAAGCUCAUAAGAGCACUUUGUACAGCUUCGAUGCAGGUCGACAAUUGAGGUUGCACAGUGGUUACUACAGCAAAAGAUGAUAAGUCAGUAAUAUAUGAAAUAGAUACAAUGUCAAUGUAACUCUUCAAACCAAUGCAAAAUCGGGUGAUACUUACCAGAAGACGCGCUCUUCAUUUGAGCAUAGAGACUCGGAUAUAUCAACUUGAGAAGGCACUACUCCUAUAUAGAACAAAUCAAUUUCAUUUAUCUUGUAGCAAGAAAAAAACCUCGUGUUAAUAGUAGAGAAGAUUGCUUUAUACCUUGAAUUUUUCCCUCGGAUUCGAUUUCUUGAUCUUGUGCUUCGCAUAGCUUUUUCAGGAAAGGAAGCAUUGACACAAUCAAGUAUCGAAGAUGAUAAAAUCUUUCGUAAUUACUGAGCUUUCUCUUUGAUGUCUGCAAGACAAACAGAUACAUUAUGGGGACACACUCAUGAUUGUUCUUCACAUUACUUCAAAAAGCAAUCAUAUUCAUUCUCAACAUGAAUCUUUUGGCAAGAAUACAAUCAUACCUCGAUUAAUCCACUCGAAUGCAAACAUGAGCAGCAAUUGCAAGUUCCACGGCAAAAGGGACAUUUGUCUAUGACAUCAUCCUUGGUCAUAUGGGGAUACCUGUGACAGACCACAAGAUUAGUUAAGGAUACUAAAACAUAUAGCCAAAAGAAAGUUAGUAAAGAAACUUCAGGACAAAGACUAACCAUUUCUUUAUACAUGGAAGACAAUACAACCUCUCUUCACAAAAGGUACAAAUGAAGAGAUAUCUUCUUUCCCCUUUAGAGCAUUGAUGGCAAAUUGCAAGAUCUCCCAAAUCAGCCUGUGGAGAGAAGCAAAAAGAAACAUGAUUUCAGAAAAAAGUAUUUGAGUAAAGUUUCAUCGCAUCAUGUGUUCUUGUUGUGUAUAAGAACAAUUGUUUACCUUUAAGUUCCUUGUCAUGAUUCUGCAGUCACUAAAAUUCUCGCUUUUCAGAUGAAAAUCCGGGAGUUCAGACUCAGAACGUGAACUAGAAGCGCUAACAUCAAUAUCGUUUCCAGGAAACCAAACAUCCCCACUGUCUGAAUUCUUGCUCCUGCUGCGAGAUGUUGGCUUGGUGAAAGAAACGAGUUGGAGUUCUUGUUCCCAGUUCUUGUCAUCAUCAACAACUUCUUCUUCUUCUUUAGCUCUCCUUUUGACAGAGCUCCUCUGCUUCUUCUCUACUUCCUCACAUUUGCUUUCAACACCACCAAUCCCAUCUCGCUUCUUCUUUCUUGAAGGUUUAGCUUUAAUCUCAUCAGCUUUAGAGCGUUUCCGUCUUUUAUUAGAGACUCGCUUCACACAUUCCACGCUACUCUCUUCUUCUAUGUCUGAUGAGCCACUGCUAAGACUCGUCGCCACAAGCAGUUUCUUCUUCUCCGGCCAACAAGUUCCUUUUGAACCCUCCUUCCCACCCUUAUGUUUAAGAUUCACUCCAUUAGCAGUUACUACAACACCUUCCAUAUCCUCAACUUCACCUGCCAAAAAAAAAAAACAAUGUCAAUACUCAAAUUUCGCCAAUCCUUAUCAAAGAGGCACAUUGUUGAUACAAUUGAGUAAUUCAAACUACGAUUUUAAGCGUCUUCCUAGAAACUUCCGGAACCGGGGACAGAGGUAUUUAGCAUUGAAAUCCACCGGAAAAGGAUUCUACACCGGAGUCUAUAGUAAUCUUAGGUCUCUCACACAUUACGAAAUGGAUUAUCAAAUGAGUACACAGUUUCAGAACCCUAACAGUCACAGAAACAAAACAAAAUAGAGAGAUUAAGCCGAGUUCAGAGAACAGUCUGAACAAGGAUAAUAGGAAAAAACAAAACAGAACUUGACGAAUCCGAAACAAUACAUAACUGAUUGAAGACGAAAAGAAAUGAGAAUUUCAGACGAGAGAAACCAACAAAUAUAUAGAAUAUCGGAAACAGGGACAGAGAGUAGAGUAGCAUCAUCACCUUUUUAACUGUUACAAAGGCUUCAAAAACAAGAGUAGACGAUAUUUUCAGAUUGCUUUCCCGGUGGAGGAGAACCACUCCUAGAGAUUCAUCUUCUCAAUUCAGUUGACAUAAACGAAAGGCGCUCAAAUAUCAAAAUAAUUUCAUGAACACGAGAAGAAAGAUAUGUUCGAAAAUGUUUAUGAGUUAUUAAAAAAAGAAAAAAACAAAAGAAAGAAAGAGAGGAGAGAAGAAAAAUGUAACAGUCAAAGAAGAAGCUAUUUAAGAGGCGCUUCUAAAGUUAGUAGUACCCUAGUGACUGACUGACUGAUUCAUUCGUACGUCCGGUGGAACCACGCGCGCGCGUGCGUCUCUAUUUUUAUGAACCGAAGAGACCGCCGAUUCGCUCUCCGUCACAUCCACCGAAGCUUUUUGUAAAUUAAAUAAAAAAACAAUUUAUUACUAAAUCCCUCGUCUUUACUUUAUCACUACAAAAAGAAAGCAAUUAUUCUUUUCACCCAUAAUUACGCAUCGAAAUACACAAUAAUAUGGAUACAAUCUUCUUAUGCGUAAAUGCAGAUUAUGAUUACAGACCAAUUUCAUUAUCAGACGUUUAAAAAUCUUUUGAGUUUCUCUAUUUUUGUAAAUAAUACGCAGAUUUGUCAGUAUAUUUUGAAAAUUAAGAAAUAUAUCUCUAAUUGAUAUUUUUGGUCAACAAAUUGACAAAAUUGUAACUUUUAUUUUCUUUUUAAGUAGAUAUGUACAACUCACCAUUACUUUAUUUUGCAUUUACUAUUAUGGUGGUCAAUUUUUUUUUAUUGUUAGCAUUUAAGGAGAUAUACUAUAACAUUUUUUGCUAAAAAUACUACAAUAAAGUGUUGACUUAUCCUUUUUUGACAACAAAGUGUUGACUUAUCCAAAGAAUUCAACUUUCUUUUAACUUCUCUCAUAUUUUUUUGACAACAAAACGGUACUCGAUCCGUAUAUAUCAAAAAGAAAAAAAAAAAAAAAAAAAAAAAAAAAAAACCACGCAUAGAUUUGGGACUGUGGGAGUAGUUAAUAUACGAAAAAGGGAAACUGAUUUGGAAGCUGUUCCGUAUCGAGUAAUUGACAGAUGUUUGAUUUUUCUAUGGUUGAAUCGUUUGAGCAAUUAUAAGAAGAGAGAUUCCUUAGACCUUGGCACUGAUUUUUGUUUUUCCUCAACAAUUGUUGUCACAAUGGGAUUUCAAACAUGUAAACAAAUUCUAAAAAAUAUUCUCAUAAUAUACAAAUAUCUGACUACGUAAGAAAAGAACCAAAAAAAAACUAAUAACAACUAAAUUUCCCAACAUGUUUGUUUACAUCUGUUUUUUUCUUCUAUAUACUGUAUUCCCCCGGUUAAAGUGUAUCAAUGGGUCUCUUCUAUCAUUUUGACGGUGGUGACCACGAAGAACCACGGCUAGCAUGGCUAGGCGCCGGAGUAUUUUUCCGGGACUGACGUUUGGUUGGCACAGUAACACAGUCUUCAUCCGAAUCCUCUGCGCGAUAACUCGAUAUCUCAUCAAACCGACUAUCCUCAAAGUGGUCGUCUCUGAAAACCGGAUGAAUAUAUGCUUUCUGAAGAUAUGGUUUCAGAUUAAAGUAGGGAUCUCUAGCUUUUUCCAAUGUAUCUUUGACCAUAGCUUCCUGUAAACCAGGCCAUUGGAUAUAUAUCGUAAACAUACAAUCAAAUAGAGUUUCUUUUAACUGAUGACCAAACCUUGGCUUGAGUAAUAAUAGUGAGAGACUUUUGCUACUAACCUUCAAGGGGUGUCGGAGGAAUGCUGGUUCAUAGCGGCCUUUGCAGAACCGGUGAAAGAAAAAUGUGAGGAUCGGUAAGACGAGGAGGAAAGGCGUGGACUGAGCGGCUCCUUUAGUGCUCAUUAGUCCCAUCAAAAGGACUUGCGAGAUCAUCAAUGCUGAUAUUAUACGUCCAUGAACAUCUGGCCAGAACCUAGCCCCGCUUUCAUAUUCCUGAUUGUACACAUUUAUGAUCUGCCAAAACGCUUAAUCAGCAAAACAAGAAAGUUCAACAAGUAGACAAGUAUCUGUAUGAUUCUGUUAAGCUCUCUUGAUAACCAAAAGAUCAAAAACCAACAUUUUUAAACACCUUAUCCGGGUUUGGUUGAUACAACCAAGGAAAAUCUUAGGUUCAAACAAAACUUGGAAAUCUUGACUAUGGAAAAUAAUCUUGAAGAUGUUAUAAGAAGAAACAGAGUUAGGUUUGCUAACCUGAUGACGAAAUACCAGGUAGGCCAAUGCGAAGAAGAUAAUAAUAAAUGGGAGUAGAACCGGAGUCACAGGGGCAUAGACAAGACCAAGUAGGAAGUAGAGUUGAAUCCGAGGCUCUGUCGCAUGAUAAUUGAUCUGUCCCGGGUUCAUUGCGUCUUCUCUAUCCUUUUCUGUUUUCACCAAGAAGAAGUUCUUUAUAUGGAAAAAGAUCAGAGGUUUCAGCCUCAGUAUCUCCCCUGCAAUACCCGCCCAACCGUCCACCAUUAUAUAUGUGAUAAAAAAUGUUGCUUUUAUCGGUAUCGCUACUCCAACUGUCCUAGGAAUCCUAUAACAAAUGACAAGUGCAAACAAUACAUAAGCUCGACGACAUACAGUUCUAAUAGAGACAGGGACAAAGAAAUAGGAACUUACUGAUUUGCAGAUUGUUUGAGGAAAGAAUCAAGCUGUUCAAAUGCAGAGCCGGUAAUUAUGCUUCCGAGGAAAACAUUGACGAGGUUAAAGACAUAAUACCGAGCAGCUGCUCUUCUCUCUAACGAUGAUAACGAUACAAACCCUUCAAACUUCGACAUUACCAUCAAAAUGCUUGGCAGAAAUAUUAGAAAGAGCUUUAACACAAUACCCGGUAGGAAACCUUGGAUAACCGAUUUAACAAGCUUCCUGCAAAACAUAGCAUAUUUAAACAUCUAGACAAAAAAUGUAGAGAGACAGACAGACAGACAGAGUCACAGAGGGAAACAUACUUAUCAAUGAUGGAUUUGAGGAAAGGAGCGGAUUUCUCGAUGCCUUCGAUGCUUGCUAGGGAUUGAACAAAGGCUAUCGGAAUCAUGAAGAAGAAAGUGAGGAAGAAGAAUGCAAUGUGCAUUAUAAGUCUUCUAACUGUUAAAGAGACAUAAGGUAUGGCGAGGUUCGACCAAAACACUUCUCGUGCCUCGGGAGCCCAUUCAGUUAACCAUUCAGUCGGAUCGCUUGACUGUUGAGUCUGUGCACAAACCGCAGCACCCCAUCGUGUUUUAAAUGAGACAAAAGCUGCUGGCAUUAUACUCGAGUCAUCUUUCUUUACUUUCUUCCUCUCCUCUAAUAUCUAAUCAAGAAACCAAAAAGAUAAGUCAUGUUUGAUUAUUUCGAACGGAGAAAGGUGUUGUUGCAAGAAAUGAGAAGACAAACGAUACUCACUUGCUCAUUUAAUUUCUCGAUUUCAGCUAUAUAAUGAUCGAUUGCGUCAACAUUUUUCCCCCAUAGCCCGAGAAAACCCGUCUAGUUUCCAAAAGAAGACAACAUAAGACAGAUUAGAGACAAGAGAAGCUUCUUUAAGUUUGUGUCUAAGACCACUCAGUUACCUUUAUCCUUGGCCUUUGUUCCUGAUUUCUUGUAUACUUCAAUUGGUAAUAGUCAAGCCAAUUCUGCGUGCUCUUCUUCUGCUCUACUAGUGCUUCCAAAUCGUUUGCAUUAUACACAACCUGGACAAAUCAAGUUGUAGGAUUUAAACACAACCACGGAAAAAAGACCGAUCCUUUCUAAGCGAUGAAUGAGCAAAUAACCUGAUGUGUAAGAUAAUGGUCCGGAUGGUUAACUAGGAAGAAAUGUUCCACACUCUCACUAAUGGACUCGUCUGCAUCCGCUGGUACGUUCCUAACCAAAACCUGUAAAAGCAAACAGGGUCAGUCCAAGGUUAUAACAUCAGGAAACAAAACUGAUCAUAGAUAAUAGCUUUACCGUGAACUGAUCAGGGCGACGUUGCUCGUUCUGGAGAAAUGCCAAACGCAUAGCAGCUACUUUCUCAUACUCUUUCAUUAGAACAUAGCAAGUCCAGAAUGUAAAGGCGUAAGCCAUCACCAGGUGAGUCCAAAACCUUCAAAAAAACACAAACUUUUUUAAGACACAGGUGGAAGAAUAAAAACAUAUAUGAGAUUUUUUUUUUUUUUUUGGAUGAUUUGCAAACCUGUCUGAUCCACGUUGGAUAUUCGAGAUCGAUAACUUAUCAAUAUCACUAGAUGUUACAUUACGAAGCUUUGCUAGUUGCAGACCAUCACUAGUCCAAUUGACAGGUACAAGAAUCGACCAAGCAAGUAAAGCUACAGGGACAAAGAUCUUAAGCCUGAAACAAAAAAAAAAAAACAGAGAAACAACAAUAAGUCUUAAAGAUGAAACCAUGCUAAAGCAACAAUCUUUCACAAGCAAAAUUACAAAAAAAAUGAGUACCCUGUCAAGUAAAUCCUCAAGUAGACCGCAGAAUCCAAUCCAGCAUGGUCAAUAAGCUCGGGCUCGGGCAUCUUAAGAGCGGCGGGCAUCCAGUUCAAGAACCGUAGGUAGGAGCCUAAGUCCACAUUGACAAACUUGCUGACAAGAGCACCUGAAUGCAAAGGGCUGCUUCUAAUACCUUUGAGAUACCAUUUAGGAAAAUAAACCCUGUCGUUGAAAGGUUGAAUCCUCAAGAUUGCAAAUGCCAAAAGGAAGAUGAUGGCUGUGAGUAUGUUGAUACUUGCUGCUACUCCAAUAUCUUCUAGUGUUGCCAUCUCUCUUUAGCUCAAAAUCUAAUAAUCCCCUUUCAAAAUCAAAAGCUUCGUUACCUGCAAAAAUCGAUUCAAACAAACCCUUUUGUAAUCACAAAAAAAUUGCUUUCACUUACAAAAUAGAUUCAUCCCUAAAUUCAUUCAAAUGGCGUGUUGUGAAAUUUUUUAAGCAGGAAGAAGUAAUUAAUAUGGAGAUUAAUAUAUCUAAAGAUUUAUUAAAAAAAAAAUCUUUCUGAGAAAGGAAAUAGAUAUGGAGGAAUUGGAAAGAGGACAUAUUCACAGCAUUUCUAAAAAGAUAGAACAUAUAUAAUCUCUCUACAUUUUAACAUCAUCAGUCAAUAAUAAAAAAAAUGACAUAAGAGUUCAAAGAGUAAAUUAAAACUUUUAAUUGAGAAACUAGUACAUUUAAGAAGUGAUUUGAAUCAAAAUCUCUAAAGAGAAACCCAAAACCCAGAAAAUUGUGUGUGUUUUAUUAAUUUUCGGGAGUUAACGUCUCUUUCCGACAACAAAAUACACUUUUCCUAAAAAUUCUGUAUAAGCAAUCUAAACUAUAAGUUAACUCCAAUAGCACCAAAUGGAAGGAGAAAAAUGUAAAAGAAAAAAACUAAAAAAACCAAAUUAAACAAGUAAAGGAUACAUACCUUUGGAUUUGUCACUCUUAUUAACAGCAGCUUGAGAAAUGUAACCACCAACUCUUCAGAGAUCGGAGAAGAUCGACCUUAUUCUUUGCACACAAACAAAAAGGGUAAGAAAAAUAGAGGCGUUGUGUCGUUUCUUUAGCUGUUGUAAAACGCUGAAUAAACACGGAAUAAGGAAUGGUAUAUAAAGUGAGGACGAGGAAGAUGAAGAACCUUUUUCUUUUUUUUCUUUUUUUUUUCGAUUUUUGUUUCUUGUUGUUGAGCAUUUGGGUGUAUUAAUAUAUAUAGAAAAGGUGAUGUUGGUGCGCGUAUAGUCAGAGUCUCUGGCUCUGUCUUCAAAGUUAAUUUCGUCAUUGUAAAGUUUUAAGAAAAUAAUCCAGUAGAUUUGUAAGUAAUUAAUUGUCAAUUAAUUAAUUAAUGCAUGGUUUAUUAGAUUUGAUCACGAAAUCAGCUAAGCUGCCACGUGGGGGCGGCAACGGUUGUAUUACUGUACUUGCCACGUGUGUUUCCCUAUAGAACGAGAGAACUUGUUGAUAACCUCACGCGCCGAACUUUGAGCUUGACCACACGUUCCAAUAAAACAUCAGAUGUAUACAAGUUACUGUCGUUUGAAGUCUGUGGAAGCGGGGAAUGCUGAAACGACAGCGUUUUAGCCGCAAGAGAAGAAGGUGUUGUUGUGAUGUGUGAUUAUGAACACUUGACCAACCAUAAAUCUUAAACCUAGUAUUCUUCUAUUUCAAACUCAGUUUAAGUGGUAAAACUUAAACCUAGUAUUCUUCUAUUUCUUGAUAAUAUCUUAAAAUACAACUCAACUCGAACGUUUUAAUUCAAAUACAAGAUGAUACAAAAAAUGGAUAAAAUGGGUUAAAUCAUCAAAAAAAAAAAAAGACCGAAAUUGUUGAUCGGUUACUUUUAAAAGUUGAAAAGUUUUUAACCAUCUCAAUAAACGGAAUGGCAAAAAAACCAUUAAAUUUUAUUUUUAGUACAAUCAUGAUGAAUCAUGGAUCAUGCAUGGCACAUACAUUCUUUACAUCUUGGGUAACGGUAAACGCUACGUCCAGUAGGUCUAGCAGACACAUGUUUUGUUUGUCUAAUCGCUUUUCUUACUCUUUGCUCAAACACGUUCCACUCUAUCGUACUGUUCCUCAUCAGUAUGUCCGAAAGUCUCCGUUUGUUCGGUCUUAUCGUCGGCAUUUUCCCGCCUCCGUAAUAUAUCCGAUAUCCCGAUACUAGAGACGACAACUGACUCCCUGGAUCCGUCAUCGCAAACGCGUCUGCCGCAGCACAAGCUAUGAAAUCUAAAGCCGCUAGCUACACCAAACGUAAACAAAACAUAAUAAUCUCUAACCGGUUUGAAACCUUUGUUGAGGUCUUAAGCGGAACAAAUUAGUAAAGCUAAAGGGAAAAGUUUCGUUUUUUUUCUUGUGUUAACCUGAGAUGAAAAGUUCUUGAAUGGUUGUAGCUCGGAUUGUGUUAGUAACUUCUCUUUGGUGACUAGGUUCGGGUAUAAGCUCGUUAACACGGCUAACCGUUUUGAUCCUCCAUAUAUAUUUGCGCCAGCUACAAAGACUCGGGUUUCACGGUUGAAGCCGAGAGCAGCGAGCAUAAGCACCGCUUCUUCGGGUGUUAACGGACAAAGUCCUUCCGUCCUCAAAACAUCAGCAGAUGGGAACCUUGAUUACAAAAGAAUCCGAAACAGAGUAAUUUAGGUUUAGCAUCGGAAACAAGUAAGAGAGGAAGCUUGGGUCUGAAGUAAGAGGAACAAACUUUUUUUUUUUGGUUAGAGUUAAGAGAGAAGGGAAGUGUUUUUGGCGAUAAGAAUCCAACUCUUUCUGUUCUGUUUUGCCUCCUCCAAAAUAACAUAGAGAGUGAGCCACCAUGUCGAUUUCAAACCGUAGAUGGAGAGCAAGGUACUUAGAAGAGGAAGUCGCCUCAUGCUGCACUAGUGGAGGAUUAGAUUCAUUUCCCAAGAUUAAGGAAGCGAAUUUAGGACCAAGGAGAUGCUGAUCAAGUGGUGCAACGUAAGAUCUGCUGUCUCGUAGUCUCCUCAUCAGCAAAGCCGCAGUUUCUUGUAUUCUUGGGACAAAGUGUAGCGCGUGAAAGUUACAUCUGCACCGAAGCCUCUACUACCAAAAAAGUUUAGCACAAAGAAGCUAGCUAAUUAGAGAUAGAAAUGCAGAGGACUCAAGAAUUAUAUAUCUACCUGUAACUCAGACGGAAUUGGAUCAAAGGCUAAACGAUUUCCGAAUCCAACAAAGUGGACUACUCCGUUCUUGACUAGUAUAGGGAGAGUAUGUUGCAUAUAGAAGUCUGGUUUGGCUUCCUUCAUCACUUCUGAAUCUGUCACCUUAAGAGAUAAAAGUGACAAAACAUAAAACAAACAAACAAACAAAAAAAAAGAGAAAGAAAGAUGAGACUCGUCUACAUCAAGAUUUGGGAAAACUCACGACACUGCCGAUUGCUUCAAGAUCCAAAGAUUGAAGGUUUUUUGGUAGUUCCUUUACUAUCCGAAUAUCAGGUGACAAAUACUUUAUAAAAUGUUCCACUUGGUAGAUAUCUCCAAAAUGACUAUGAAGUAGCAAAGUUCAAUAAAUCCGUUACAAAUGUAAAAACAAUUCUUCUGUAUGAUUUGAAAACGGUAAGACAGUGUGAGACAGAGGACGGAGAGCUUACAAUAGUUACCUUGCAUCUGUCCAAACGUCACUUAACAUGAACUUGGGAAUGACGAGAGACGCAUUGAGCAAUCGGGCUACAACAACAAUGUUACAUACCUGUGAAGACAUCCAAUGGUUGUAAUCUACUAGAGAAAUUUUAAAGAUAAAUUGUAGGACAAGGAGAAGAAAACUUACAGCAACUCUUUGUUGAUUAAUCCCUCCGUUUGCAGUUACCAUUAUAUAUCCAUUUUUGCCAUCUAUAAAAUCAGGUAAAGUAAAACUCCAUAGGAAACAAGCUUCAACCCAAUGUUAAAGAGAGAUAAAAAAGGACUAAAAGAGAGACCGUCAGGGGUCCAAGAACGUUGAUCAGCGCAAGGCUUCCAUGCCGAGGCUUGUUCCCUUGGCUCCUGCCAUAACUCUUUUGGCUCAAGUUUGUUCUGAUCAAAAUCGAACACCAUUUCCAUGCAAAUUAGAAAUCGAUCGAAGUAGCAAAACAGUGUUACGGAGAAAGGAAGAUAAGAUUGGUUUUUGAAGAAUACAUGAUUUACCUCUGCCAAAGCAUGAGCAGCCAAACUCAACAUCCUACCAUAUGUUCCAUUAUAUUUCCUCUUUGUUUUUUCAAACUUCUUACGUUCUUCAUUCUGAUUCACACACCAAAGAAAAGUUAGAUAAAAAAAACUUUAAGUACAGGAAAAAAAAGCACAAUGUGAAAAGAGUGUAACACAAGAAACGUAAGUAAUUAAAGGAAACAAGUCAUUGACCUGUGAAAAAACUAGUUUUGAGUUCCGGUUAGGGUUCUUAGAGAGUCCUCUUCGGAGCCAGACACGACCUUCGUGAAGGCGAGAGAGCAUGAACCAAUUAACGAGACAAAAGAAACCCAAAAUCGCGAUAACGCCUAUGGCUGUUUUAGCCGUUCUUCUCUCGGAACAAGCGGAACAAGCUCGUAUUCUCUUCCUCUUCCCUCGCUUUAUCGAUUGUUUUGGAUUCAGGUCGCCGGCUAAUGUAGAGAUCCGGGUCGGGCCUAGACGCGCACCACCGUAGACGUAAAGAUCACGUGACUCGGGUCUCUCUUCGUCGUCCAGUCUCUCUUGUCCCAUGAUCAACGAAAGACUCCUUUUCUUUGUAUCCCUCCCCCUCUCUGUGUCCGAAUCGACAAAAGGGGAGAGAGAGAGAGACUAAACUAAAGGAUGUAAGAAAUUGCCAUAAAUAAGUAAGCGAAAGAUUUGCCGAAUCUAACGAUGAUAGUGAGAGUAUUUUCUUCGUUCGAAACAUCGAACAUCAUUAACGUUUGAUCUUAGUUUAAUUUUCGACCCAUAUAUAUAUGCAUGCACGUUAAAUUAUCACGUUUUCUGAAUACAGUUUUAAGCUAUAUGAACAUUGAACAGAAAAUAUACUAUACCCUUUGGUAUUUUUUCUGAAAUUAAAUCUUGAAUUUCUAAAUCACAACUACUUUGAUUAUUUAUCACCAACAAAAAGUAAAUAAUACAACUACAUCAUGCAAGAUGCAACCGGAAAAAAAAAAAAAUCGACUAGCAAGGCUAGGUAAUGGAAUCUAUAAACUUUUUUACUAUAUACACAAAGUAAAGUCAUAUGUGAUAUUUCGCUUUCGAAUUAGCAAAUCUAGUAGAAUACAACCCAUUAACAAACCAAUCUACCAGUAGAGAGUUAUUUAAAAUUAAUCAAUUAUGGGACCAUGAUGUAUCUUUAGAACCUACCAUGCAUUUGGUAUAUCUUUUAAUGGGCUUAAAGAAGAGUUGGCUAUAUAUCACAUCUAUAUUUUAGAAAUUUAGACUCCAUCUUUAGAACUUAAAGUAAAUUUAGAAGCCUGAUCUUGAUGUAUCAUCUUUAAAGCCUAUCAUCAUUAGCUAUGCUUAAACAAAACUUGGGGUUUACCGUUUACAAUACAUUUCGAUUCAACAAUAUAGUUAAAAUCUCCGAAGCCAUCAUUUGUUGAUCCAUAGCUUAAAUUUUUUCGAAUAGAACCACGAAGAAUUUUGAAUUGGUCACUCAGAUUUAAGAACUUUGUAUUAAAUUUAGACUAUGUCUUCCAUAUUAUAAUUAUCUUAUAUAUUGAAGAAAAGCAAGAGAGAAAUAAACACAACCGAAACGGUACGGGUACGUAGGUAACAAAUAUAGAAAGAGACCAAAUGUGAAAUUCUAGGGAAAACAGAAAAGCAAGGGAAUGGUUGCUGAUCAAGAGAAGACUAUUGAGCCCCGAGCUCGAGAAGUAGCGUGUGGCUGAGAGCAUCUGAACCUGGUCCUGUGAAUUGGAUCGGACCUGCAAUAAUAUUUCCACAGAGGGUACACUAAGAAUCCAAAGACAACACGUGUUUUGCUUUAAGACAAAACAAAACUGCAACGAACCUGGGCUGAUGUAUCGGUUCUUCAAUGCCCAUUCCUCACGCAGCGAUGCAAAUUUCUUAAAAGGUGCACCUGCGGAUUCCAAAAAGUCACUUAGCAAGACCAUUAAACCGCAGGGACAAAAACUAUAAAAAGAGAAGGGAAUCGAAGGGUCACCUUCAAGUUCCACCAUUGCUUUCUUGAUCACAGGCUUGAACUUACCUACAAGUUGAUAUUCAACACAGAUUGUUUAAUAUCCAUAUUUCAAAUCUGAGUAGACUCUUAUUGAUUUAUUUUCUUACCGUGUCUCCUCUCGACAUCCAUCAAGGCAGUGAGAGCAGUCCCACCUACAGUCCAGUCUUCCACAGGAGCAGCCAAGUUCCCAACCUGCGCCAAUAAAGUACUAAUCUCAAUUUAAGCAUAAACUAGUUAACCAAAAGGCAGUUUCGAUCAACAGAUACAUGAGAAACAGAGAAAAACUGAUUCGAAUGGAAAUAGUGGAGUACAAACCGAAGAAAUCAGUCCCGUUUUCCCACUGUUGAGGAGUACUCCAGCGCCAUAACCAAGUGCAUAACAGUAUGUAGCAUCAAAGUUUGUAGGCAAGCCGCAUCUUCCUUCAUACCUGUUUCAAAUCAAUAAAUUGAGUUUGUUUCCCUCACAUAGAUAGAUAAGUUAUGUAUUAUGCAGCCAUAUAUAGGAACUUAGUUCACUGAAAGAAAAAAAACGAGAGAAAGUACCCGAAGAAAUGAGACUGUCCCAUAAAAUUUCCCUUGUAUGCACCAGCUUGCUUUCUUUUCUCCAAUUCAGUUUCAACCAUUUGAAUAAGCAUCUUCUCAGUCUCAAUCUUGGCCACCUAUCAAGAUGUACGAAAAAUAUCUAUAAAUAAUCUAUGAGAUAUGAAGCUAGUGGAAAUUUAAUAUGAGGUGACAAGACUAUUAUCAAUUACCUGGACAUUUCCAUGUGGGUCUCUCUCAAGCAUCAGCUGCUCCUGAAUCGCUGCAGGUAGAAGAUCAAACAGCUUCAAGGAUUGCUCUGUGAGCUUCUUCUUCCACAGCCCAUCUUCAUCAACAACCUCAUUUGCCAAAAUCUCAUUCAGUUCUGCGAUCAGCUCUUGGACCUAAGAAGUCAUAAAUUACAGAACACAUCAGAUAAGAACACAAUCAUAUUAAUAGGCUUGAAAGUGGUAUAUUCUAAUAUCAGACACAAAAACACACCUCGGGGAUAAAAUCGAUCAGGCCUUCUGGAAUCAGUAUGACACCAUAGUUGAAACCAAGUUCAGCACGUUUGCAGAUAACAUCUACCAUGUAGUCCGUCACAUUCUUCAAAGUCUGCUUCUGGGCGGACACCUGCAAAAGAGUUUUUCCAGAUCAAAGCUAAGUAAAUGUAGACUGAUUGCUACUGAGACUUGUGUGAGGUCUCUCUGAAACAUUAAUUCCGAUAUUAAUAUAGAUUAUUGGCUUCAAGGAAGUGUCGUCAAAAUGAAUCUGAUAUGCAGUUUAAUUUUAACAUCAAUAAGACUCAAAUAUUUAGGGCAUUUUGAAGUCAAACAAGAGUGUACCUCUUCUCCAAUAAUUGUUAUGUUAGGGUGAGUUUGUAAAGCACACUCAAGUGUAAUGUGGGAAGCAGCACGACCCAUAAGUCGUACAACUGCAAUGAAAAUGUGAUACGACAUUGUAAGCAUCAGUAACAAAUAGGGCUUGUCAGAAAUAAAGCAACUAUAAGAAUUAUGCAACUAUAAGAAUUUCUGUUAACCAUUACUUACAAUGAUAGUACUUUCCAGUUGACCUUGCAUCAAUCAUGACAUUUCCAAUCAUUUCAGAGUAGAUCUGCAUAAGCAAUAAAAUGUUUCAAUAGGCUUCUUUUUCAAACUAUUCUUCUGGUAGAACAAACAAACAAUUAGAUUCUUGACAAGGAAUAAAAUCAAAAGCACACAAUUAGUUAUGUAACAAUUAGUAUAGGGAAAGCAAGGAAAGUCCAGAUAAAAACUGAUCCAAACGGUAUCUCACCUUGCAAGCUGUAUCAAACCCAAAACUAGUAGGAACCUCUUUACAUUUCAAAUCACCAUCAAUGGUCUUGGGGCAACCAAUGACUCGGGUUUUCAAGUUCUUACUCCUAAUAAUACAAGUAAAAAGCAAGUCAAAAUGCUGAAUCAAUAAAGCAUUAAAGAUUCUGUUCACAUGAAUCUUCAAGACCAACAACUUUGGACUAGGAUAAAUAAACAGACAUGAAACAAAUAUGACUCUGCCAGUAUUACCUGAAGUUUUCAGCAAGGAGGCAAGCAUUGGUGUUGGAGUCAUCUCCACCGAUAACCACCAAUCCAUCCAAAUCUAGCUUCUUUGCUGUUUCUUCAGCUUGUUUAAACUGCACAUGUGAGCCAUUUAUAAUUACUCACUGCAUGGAAUAGAGACUUUGGAAGCAGUAACAAUUCUUUUUAAACCACGAAAAAUAUUCAACCUGAUCAGGUGUUUCAAUCUUGUCUCUUCCACUGCAGAUCAUGUCAAAACCACCCUGUUGAGACCAAAAGAGAAUUAUAACCACAUCGACAUAAAAAGACAAGCAUAUCCAACCAAAAGGACUUAUGCUCCACUAAAUGUGGAUCAUCAUAGUGUAAAUGAUGAUUGCUUUGACUUAAAGUGAAUUAAAAAUGAUGCUGUAAGUUCUAACAUCCCAAAUCAAUCACAAAGCUCGUGAGAAGGAUCUAUAAAGUAAACAAGCCAAGUACCUGGUUUCUGUACGGGUGAAUAUAUUCAGCAUUCAACUCAACAUAUUUGCAUUUCAUGAUACCAGCUGGACCACCCUUGAAGCCGUAAAAUGUGCUUCCUUUGGCACGCUCUUGCAAGUAAUCUAAGAGCGGAAACAAAAUUACAAAUCAGGACAAUGUCAGCUAGAAUUCGACGAAAAUCAUCAUUACACACACAAAAUUAUGUCUUUGAAACCCUUACCAAACAGUCCAGAAAUGACAUUGUGCCCACCAGGUGCCUGACCACCGGACAAGACAACACCGAUCUUCAAUUUCUGUGCAGAAGAAGGUGCACUCUGAUCUGGGACCACUGCUACAGAUGGCUGGCCAUAUAGACCCGGAAACAACUUCGCUAUCUCAUCUGCAGUCAUAUCAAAGCAACUCUAAAUCCUCCAGAACACUCUAAUAAGUCUAUAAACCACAGAUCUGUAAGAAAUUUCUCAGACUCCUCUUGAGCCAUUGCAUAAUCAUAAGCCAUUAAGUUUCACCAAAAUCAUACAGUUAAUCAAUUCUCUCACCAAACUAACAAGAUCUAGAUCAAGCAAACGACACACAAAUCGAAAAAAAAAAAAUCAUCAGAUCAGACUGAUAAAAUAAUUCAAUCUCCGAUCUCUCACCUGGAUUCCCGGCUGCGGUACUAGCGGGACCUUCGACGAUUUUGAAAGCUCCUUUAAGUACAGAAGGCAAAGGGAGAGCGUUGUUAAUACGGCUUGAUUGAACUUCGCUGUAAACCGAAGCACGUCCUUUCGCCGGAGCAUUAUCCGGAGAGCCGACGGCGGCGGUGAGAUCUCGGGAUACGGCAAGAGCAGGGGCCAUUGCUGUGGGGUUUCUAUCGUUUUUCACCUAACUCACUUUGUAUUGUUUCGAACCUAAACUUUAACUUCCCUCCUUUCCUUCACUUCAGCGUCAAUGGAGUUCACUUCGAGGUCUCCGCAUUGGGGUUGGUGUGAAUUUAUACUCUGACUCAAGGGUAUAACGGUCAAUUCAAAAAUCAUUCUACUCAUUCUACAAGGCAAAGGGUAUUUUAGGGAUAUAUCGUUAGCGGCAUGUUUUACUAUGUUCAUAUCUUAAGGCCCAAUAAAUUAUAUGGGCUUUUCAGCCUUAAUAUUUAUAUCUUAUUUCAAUGUUUUGCAAUUUCAGAAUUAAAUGCAUACUCAAUUACUCAUACCGCAUGAUUCAUUUCAUACGACGAGCACACACAUGCGUAGACACGCAAACACAAUUAACCAAGAACGAUGUAUUUUAUUUGUUUACGAAAUCAUCAUAGAAUAUGAAUGUGAUUUCAUUAGCUUAUAUAAAAGCAGUAACAGUUGACAUUGAUCGUCGAUUAAUGUGUUUCCUCCUAAAAAGGAUUCAAUCAGCUCUAAAUGCACUUUUCUCUGUAGAAAUUUCUUAACCACAUUUACCACCUUUUGACUUUGUUGGUUAACUUCUUUCUUUUUAUAAAUAAAAGAAAAAUAUACGAAUGUGUGUAAUGUUUGAUAUGGAUCUCUCCAUAUUCAAAGAAAAUAAGUAAUGUUAAUAUAUAAGAGCAACAUUAUAGGUAGUAUGUUAAUUAGGGUAUCUUACAUUAAUUUAGUAUUAAAUUUGAAAAAGUAGAAUUUAGGAGUUUUAAUUUUGUUUUUAGUUUUGAGAAGUGUUUAUAGGUAGGAUCUUAAGUUGGGUAUCUUAGAAAAAAAUUAUUUUUUAAAAAAUUAAAUAAAUUUAUAAUUUGUAAUUUAAGAAAAUCUUAUAAUUAUUGCAAAUUUAGAAUUUGAUACAUACAAAAGAGAUAAAUUAUAAGAUAGAAAUUAUAACAUAAAGUACAGUAAAAAUUUAAACUUGAUUGCGAGAAAAUUUAGAGUGCUCGAUCAAAUCGUUCUUCAAUUGUUCAUGCUUAGCUCGAUCUCGAAGUCGAGUUCUAGCGGCCAUCAGAUUGACGAGAUUUGAAGGCAUAUAUUUGGUUUCAGUUCUUUGGGAAAAGUGUGUAUUAAGAUUUAAGAUACAACAAUUAUAUAAAAUAAAUAAANNNNNNNNNNNNNNNNNNNNNNNNNNNNNNNNNNNNNNNNNNNNNNNNNNNNNNNNNNNNNNNNNNNNNNNNNNNNNNNNNNNNNNNNNNNNNNNNNNNNUUGAAUCAUGACAUAAAAAUGAAUAUAUUUGAAAAAUGAGAAAAGUUAAAUCCUUAUAAUAUAGGAGUAUAACAUAGCUUUGGAAUUUGAAAUAGAUGUGACAACAUAAAUUCAAAAUUUACUAUGAUAACAAUUGUAAUAUUGAUUUACUUAACUAAACUUUUAAUUAAAAAAAAACUAAUAAAGUAUACUCUUAGUGAUUUAGUAAAUAUAAUAUAAGAAAUAUUUUACGCUGAAUAUUCAGUUNNNNNNNNNNNNNNNNNNNNNNNNNNNNNNNNNNNNNNNNNNNNNNNNNNNNNNNNNNNNNNNNNNNNNNNNNNNNNNNNNNNNNNNNNNNNNNNNNNNNGAAAAAAAAUUUUAGGGUUAAAUUAUUAAUUUAUAGAUAUUAUUAAUUUAUAGACGAUUAUUAAUUUAUCGAAUAUUAAUUUAUAGAGGUUUUACUGUAUUUGUAUCAUACGAGAAAUCCAUUCGUGUACUUUUGGCAGUUUCCGCUUGUUGAAAUUCAGUGACAUCAAACUGAGUAUACAUAUCUCGUUCAUCUUCAUCUGAGUAAAAUUUGUUUCUCACAUUAAAUAUUUAUCAUCUUAGUCAAUCAAGACUUUACAAUAAAAAAAAAAAAAAAAUAUCAAUCAAUCAGAGUCUGCCACGUAGGCGUCUCUUAACCCACCAAUGGUAUCUUCUCCAACAUACUCCAACAUAGGUAUCUUAAUAUUUAUUAUAUUUUUUGAUUAAAAUUUAAAUACUAUUAAUACUAAGAUACCCCUUAAAUCCUGCUGAUAAUGCAUAAUUGUAGUAUGAUGGUGUGAACAUAUUGUAAACAUAAAAUCUGAUUAGAAAACAAAAACGUUACAAUUGAGAAAGUACGUGAUUUGGAUAGAUAAACUAAAAUUUGAGAAAUUUGCUAAUCAGGUUAAUAAAACAAACAACUCCCUUGCAUGGAAGCUACGAUCAUCAAAGGAGAAGUAGGUGGCUAUAGCCACCGACUGAAGUUUUUUCUUUCUCAUUUUUUUGUCGUCAGUAUAGUUCAGAAGACACGAGAAAGAUAAAGAUUGAUUUAUUCUCUUUGUUACAAGAUAUUUGUUUGGCACGCUUACUAUAAUUAACGUAGGCUAUUACAACUUGGAAUUAAAUAAUCACAUCUCGUGCUAUUUUUGUUACGAAAAGAGAAAGUACUAUCAUUUCAAACUUAUUUUUAUUUUAUGUUCACUUCUUAGUGAGUUGUAUACUUUUCUUACCAAACAAUUGAAUUGUUAAAACAAUGUGGAAUCUUGUUCCUCUAUUAUGGACGGAUCCAAAGAUAACAUAUUGUAAAUUAGUUGUGGCCAAGGUUUAGCUAAACCUAUAUUAUCGAAAAAGCAACCUCAUAAAUGAUAAAGUUUGACAAAAACAAUGAUCAAGUUAAUUUGACAGAAAGAUUAACAUGUUUGUAUACUUUCUUCCCAAAAGAAACUAAAGUUACUGAUAAUUCAAAAGGACCAAAUCGUAAAACGUUCAAGUAUGUAUGGUUGGUAUGAAUUAGAGUACUAAAAUGAUUUGACGUUUCUGCAAAGUUAAAACUUUAAUUCCACAACUUUUUAUGAAGAAACAUUAAAACACCUCAUCGUACAACAUAUUUUCAGACAAGUUAAAACUAAAUUUAUCAUUUCAGUCACUAAAACCUAUUUUUAUAUUUGUGUGUACGCAUUUUACAAUGAUACGUUAGUAUAGCUAGAUAAUCAAAUAAAUAUAUAUUGCUAUUUAUCCAGAUCGAUCGUAUACUACACACUAUCCCUAGCCUUUCUUUUGCAUAUACAAUGACUCCACAAAGCACCAGUAGAUAAGAAUCUUCGAGCCUUUCUCAAUUUCCCUUACUUGUACGAACCUUAUAAACAAUUUAUUCACGUUAAUCAAGAAGCAAAAGAAAUUAACCAAUAGAAUUGCGCAAUUAGAGAUACAAAUGGAAAGCAUCAAAGUUUUUUCUAUCUCAAAAGCAGGAGAGCAGCUAGGCUCCCACCAAUUAUGUUGCACACAAUCAUAUACAACUUCCACAAACUCCUUUAACAAGAAAGAAAAAUUAAUUUUAUAUUUACCAACUUUAUUCUGAAUGACACAAUUAUAUGAUCAUACGACUCUAUGAUACUUAUCUAUCGUUUUCAUUAUUUUAUUUUAUUUUUUAAAUGAAAUAUUUGUUUUAGUUUAUUACGCCUAUAAAUAACGACCCUCUAUCAACCCUUCAACUCACACAUUUAGCAUCAUCAAGUAUCAGAAACUCAAGUUGUCAGUAAAAUACAGAGAGUUUACAGAGAGAGAGAGAGAGAGAGAGAUGGAGAAGAACAUUAAGUUUCCAGUUAUAAACUUGUCUAAGCUCAAUGGUGAAGAGAGAGACCAAACCAUGGCUUUGAUCGACGAUGCUUGUCAAAACUGGGGCUUCUUUGAGGUUCGUUUUUCUCUUUUAUUGUCCUUCUUAGUUAGAACUCCUUUGGUAUUGUCGUAUAUAUAAAACUUACUAUAUAAAACAAUAUAUCAAAUCAUUUUUCUCUUUUUGGGACGUUAUAAUUCUAAAGUCUUGUAACUAUUUCAGCUGGUGAACCAUGGACUACCAUAUGAUCUAAUGGACAACGUUGAGAGGAUGACAAAGGAACACUACAAGAAACAUAUGGAACAAAAGUUCAAAGAAAUGCUUCGAUCCAAAGGUUUAGAUACUCUUGAGACCGAAGUCGAAGAUGUUGAUUGGGAAAGCACUUUCUACCUCCGUCAUCUCCCUCAAUCUAAUCUCUACGACAUCCCUGAUAUGUCAAACGAAUACAGGUACACAAAAAAUAUAUAGAUUUAGCCUUAAAAUCACAGCUCACAUGCAUGAAAAGAAAAACUAAACCAUUCGUUUGUUUUCGAUGUUUCUUUAACAGAACGGCGAUGAAGGACUUUGGGAAGAGGGUGGAGAAUCUAGCAGAAGAGCUGUUGGAUUUGUUGUGUGAGAAUCUUGGAUUGGAGAAAGGGUACUUGAAGAAGGUGUUUCAUGGGACAAAGGGUCCAACUUUUGGGACAAAGGUUAGCAACUAUCCACCAUGUCCUAAACCAGAGAUGAUCAAAGGGCUUAGGGCUCACACGGAUGCAGGAGGCCUCAUUUUGCUAUUUCAAGAUGAUAAGGUCAGUGGUCUCCAGCUUCUCAAAGACAAUGAUUGGCUUGAUGUUCCUCCUCUCAAGCAUUCCAUUGUCAUCAACCUUGGUGACCAACUUGAGGUACAUAAAUUAUCAUCCGGUUAUUUAUUGCUCUUUUAAUAUGGUUUAAUCCCGGUUAACCACUUAUCUUAUUCAUAAAAUUGUGACUAGGUGAUAACAAACGGGAAGUACAAGAGUGUAAUGCACCGUGUGAUGACACAAAAAGAAGGAAACAGGAUGUCUAUCGCGUCGUUCUACAACCCAGGAAGCGAUGCCGAGAUCUCUCCUGCACCAUCUCUUGUGGUGGAUGACAAAGACUCAAAGUACCCGAGCUUUGUGUUUGACGACUACAUGAAACUCUAUGCGGGACUCAAGUUUCAGCCCAAGGAACCAAGGUUCGAGGCGAUGAAGAAUGCUGCAGUAGCCGCGGAGUUAAAUCCCGUGGCAGCCGUCGAAACAUUCUGAACUGGAUGUGGGAUACUCUUAUGAAGGCUACAAAGAUAUGAAGAUAACAAAAAUAUGGGUUUGAUAUGGUGUGGUAUUAGUAAUUUCAAUAAGUGAAAAAGAGUGUUUAAGGAUUGAUAAUGUUAGUAAAAUCUAGUGUGUGUUAACUAACCAUUAAGCAAGCGUGGGAGUGCUUUUUUUUGUAUGCAAUAAUUGUGUGGUUUAAAUAUCGAAGAUGAAUGAAACUAAGAGGGUUACAUACAGUAGGCCUAUAUAUAUAAAUGUUCGGCCCAAAGGCCCAACCCAAUAACAUUGUCUUCGAGAGUUGUUUUCUAGGGCAUCAUCACUCACUCUGUAUCAUACACUAUAAAUACCUCCCUGCAGACCUAGAGCCUAACUAUCACACGAUUUCUGUAGGGUUGUGAAUGUUGUUAAUUAGUUUUUUCUCUAGAUUAGAUCUGGAUUUUAAAAGUCUUAUUGGUUUGAUUUUGUAAAGAAAGAAACCUCGGGGUUGAUAAAAACGGGCAAGAGAGAGUAACGGUGUCUCUGUGUCCUUAAAGAACCGGCGAGGGAAACUAAUCUGGCCGAGAUAUAUCGUUUCUGUCGUUCUUUUUUCUGGUUAACGAUCUGAUUGUUACUCGUCCACAUCUGAGUUUUUAAAAACUUGUUUUUCGUUAUAAUCGUUUUGCUCAAAAAUAUUGAAUGCGAAUGAAGAAUUUUAUUAUUUUCUUCACUUUGAUCCGAUUGGAUAAUUUUUAUUAUCUCUGUGGACAAAUGAUUCAGAUUGACUGACGCAUUCAUCUUUUUGAUUGAUCGUGUAUUAUAUAUUCUUAGGUUCUCGUUUUUUUUAUUUAUCUUUUUUGUUAGUUUUGAAUUGAAAUUUCUUAAUCGAGAUUUGGAUUUUCGACAAAUCAGUUUUAAGACCAUGAUGUGAAUAAGCAAACUAAUAAGAGUUAUAUACAAAAAAAAAAACAAAAUAUCCUAAAAUUAGUGAAGACUUCAGUCAGUAAUUUACAAUGAACAAAAUGAUCAAAACAGUGUUUACUGAUGGAAUUAGUUUGUAGUUUUGAUCUUACAAAAACUAAUUUGAUUUCCAAGAUUGAAUUAGUGACUUCAUUUGGACAAACUAGUGCAGCUAUGGAUAAAACCCAGUAAAAUGAGAAUAAUGCAGCGAAAUCUUAUGUAACAGUAAUAAUCCAAUAAAAAUUAAAAGAAAAAAGAUUGAAUAAAGUAAAGUUUGUAAAAUGUUAAUCUUGAAGAUCAUAGUCAAUAUUUCAAAAUGUAUAUGUAAACCAUUGAGGAACUCGGGUGUUGUCUCACAGCUAAAUUACAAUGGUACACAAUUUAGUUGGAUCUUUUGAUAUAUUGAAGGCCCUAUCAAAAUCAGAGAUUGGACCCUUGACCGGCCCAUCUAGAGAUCCUUAUUGCAAUAUUUUGUGUGUGGUUUGGUUUGGGCGACGGAAUCAGAAAGAAAAGUCUCUCUACGACGAGUAGUACAGGAGGUGAAACAGAGGAUCUCUCAUAUUCUCUAACGAGUCAAUAACUCGUAUACCAAAGAAUGAUUCAUUGUCAACAGUAGUUACUUCAAUACGUUAUAAUCUAAUAACGUGUUUUACGUAUAGUAGAACACUGACCAAGCCUAAAAAAAAAGAAGAUGCUAUUUGCAGCAGAGCAGGCACACAUAUGUAAAACGAGUCAAAGACGUUGCGUUGAGAUUUUUUAGUACUACCAAACCAAAGUCUUUUUUUACUGCAAAUAAAACCUCUCAAUCACGUCUCAGUCGUAAUGUGACAAAGCUCCUCUGACAUUACAUAUUUUAUUUUUACACAUGAAUAAUUAGAAACAUCAAUAUGACGAUGACAACUUUUCCUCUGGCAUCAUCUAUUUUUAAUCAAUGAAAAAGGUACAAUAAAAAACAUUUCAAUAAUUCUUGAAUACUAUCGCAUGCGAAAUUUUGUUAAUAGUACGAUUAUUAAAGAUUACCUGAAAUUGUCAGGAUAUAUGAAUUUGUAAGGCCAUCAUUAACGGGAUAUUCUUUCAGAUUUUAAAGUAUUAAAAUAAUAACAAAAUAAUAAAACAGUAACAUAAAAUGUAGAAGUCGGGUUUUGGUUAACAUCUUUUUGGUUGGGAUGUUAGAUGAUAUGGCAAGUACUGAGUGGAUCUUCUUUUAUUAUUCUCCAACAUCUCCUAUUAACAUAUUAAUUUACUGUUUCUAAGCCAUAUCCUCUCAGCUCUCCUGAUAAUGAUGCCCUAAUAUGUGUGCUUUUCAUUUGGUCACUGUUUUAGUCACUACAAUAGUUUAGUUUCGAACUAAACCAUAUUUAGUUAUAGAUGAUAGUUCGUUUGGUUCAAACAAAAAUACUUGUCAUUGAGAAAUGUGUGUUUAAAGUGUUUACACCGAGACAAGAGCCAUUAUGUCUCCUCUUUUCUAUUUUCUUUUUGACAAACCCAAUGUUGGAAAUCCGCAUUUCUAGGAUUUAGUUCCCUCUAUAAAAUGUUGAAUUACCCCAUUUUAGUUUAAUGUUUACCCAAGAGACAAGAAUGAUGAUCAGAUCAUUUUUUCUAAUACUACUACUUUUACUUUGUUUAAAUAUUUUGCAAUGGAUUUUCUUUCAUUUGUAUAGGUCAAUUUUAGUAAAUAAGUCUCUCUGUAAAAAAAAAAUACUGCAAAUGAUAAGUAUGUUAAAAAUGUUGUUUAUUUUUUACCUAUUUAGAAUUGGAUUCGAAAAAACAAAACGAGGAAGAAAAAAUAUUUGUACGUAGAAGAUAAGGCAUAGGGGUCCAGUAUUAUUAUUCUCCAAGUUGCAUGAAAUCCCAAAAAAAAAAAAAAAAAAACAUCAGAUAAAGGAAUACCAAAUCAGAACCAUGAUUACCCAAACAAAAUUGAUGUUUAACUAAAAAUUAAGAAUAAAUAAUGGAUAUUACAUAAUAAUUAGCUGAAAAUAUAUAAAAAGCUUGGAGAAGAGCUAAUGUGACAAUAAUAAUAGAAAUAUACCGUAUGAGUCAAAUACUUCAAAAGGUGUUUACUUUAGACCAACCACUUAAUCACUUUCCAUAUAACAUGUUGGACGGUCAAAUAAUUUCUAUACUUUUUUUUUGGUCCAGAUUUUUUUGUUGGUACAGUAAAACAAUAAAAAUAAAAACUCUCCCUGAACUUCCUUAACCAAACCGUACAUCAUAUGGGCGUAUGAUUAAUUAGUGUUUCUAGUCAAAGUUGUUAGAGAAUUAUGUUCUUGUGUAGACGAUCUGAUUAGAACGUAAAAGUGAGAAGUCUAACUCAAACUCGAUCGACACGUCUAACAAAAAGCUCUAAGUGAUUAUCUUUUUUUUUUCUUGAUAUUCCAUUUCAGUUUGUAGCAUAUCUGUAUUCCAAGGAAUGGGAGUUUAGUUUAGUGUUUGGACUUUAAAGGCUUUGGUGAAAGAGAUCAAAAGAUUGAGUGAUCCGGAAAGGGCAAAAAUGUACAGACAAAUAAUGUGACAACAACAAUUCAUGGGCCUAGCAUAUGUGAACGGCUGUGGUGGUGGGCAGCACAAAAGAUGUCUUUCCACUGGAAAUAUAUAUUAUUUAGUUACUUUAGUAGUAUUACACCAUACAAAGUGAUCCUAGAACCUAGUAAAGGAAUAGAUUAAUCGAUUACACAUGUCUAGCUACCAGCAAGUAUCUAGGAAGUAACAAUUCUACUUUGUAUUGUUCUCAAUAAUAUAGUGUAUAUAAUCUUUGACGGUAAUAAAUAACUGAUGCAAAGUUUAAAUAUUUAAUAUCGUUUAAUUUGUGGUCACACCGUAAUAGUUAAUGCGCAUAUCUUUAAACGUAGUAUUAAAUACGUACAAUUUUACCGAUGUUAUAAUACAAUGAUACUUUGGUCGCAUUAUAGACACAAUUAAAUGAUUCCACAGGAAAACUUUCGGAGGUAAUCUAUAAUAACAUGUUGGCCUAUAGAUAUCAUCCAAGUGAAUUUUUAAUAAAUUCACAACAAAGAAAAGAAGAAAAAAAAACAUUUUUAGCUUUUUUAUUUCAUUAAACUUUUUUCUAAGCCUUUUUUUUAUCGGCAAAAAAUUUCUUAUCCCCAAACACCAAAAACUUUCUCACCAAUGAAACUCACAAAUCUCCUUACGGUUCCCUUAUCCUCCUCCUCCGCCUCAAGAUAAGCAUCUCCGUCACAAAAUUCCUCCGUUGGUUCUAAACCUCCGUUGCAACCAUCAGCUAACUCACUUGAAUUAGAACACGGACAAGAAUUCACAACAGACACACCGAGUCGACUCGGAAUCUCCGAAUCAUCCGUACCAAAGCUAGAGCUAGUAGCAAGAAGUGUAGAAGAAGAAGAAGAAGACUUCCCAGAGCGCUUUCUCCGAUCUUUCUUACCACUCACGUUCUUCUUUUUGUUGCUGUUCUUCUUCUUCUCCAAGCUAUCUUCGAAAGCGUCGAUGAUUUCGUGAAUAAGCUGACGACUCGGUGACGUAUCCCAUCUGACCCAGUAACUCGUGUAGCAGCUGAAACAGUCACAGUGGAAGAGAGGCGAGUGAUGGUCGAAAUGGGCUUUCUUGUGGGCUUUUGUCUUAUCUAGACGAGAGCUAGGGUUUCGGUCGCCGGAGUAAGUAGCGGUUGAUAUGAGAUAAGCCAGAACUUCACGGUCUUCCGGAGAGAGAACCGCCGCUAGUGAGAAGAUAGCGACCGGAAGAAGAGAUAAAAGGUUUUCGUCGGAUUUUAUCUGCGGCGGCGACGGGUGUACGGUUCCUUUCCUGUAGAGCUUCUUCAUAUUGUAGUUUUCUAUGGAAGAGAGAGAAUGAAAAAGGAGAGAGAGAGAGAGACUUGUGUAAGAAGAUGUUAUCGAGACUUUAAAUACCGAAAGGUUUAUUAGGUUUUGUCUGUUUCGGUAUUGUUUUAUAGUUAUUGUCUUUCGUCUUAAAAAUCCACCGUCUUAACGUUUGUUUAGUGGCAAAACUAGGUUUAAGGCUUAAACCAUUCGACCAUUUUUGAUUUUUCAUCAAAUUGGAUAACAAAAUUAGCCAAGUAAAAAAAUGUUUAAAGUUUUUAUUUGUUUCUAGACCAAUUAACCAAUUUUGACGGCUGGCUUUAUAAGACCAAUUUACGAACUUAACUCAUCUUUAUUGGAUAGACAUUAAGUCAUGUUCCGAUUAAUGCUUAUCAAAUUUUUUAAGCAUUAACUAGAAUUUAAUUUAUGAAAUGAUCCUAAACUGGAUAAAAUCGUUAAAUAGAUGAGAAUCAAACGCACCACACUCGAAUAAUCAGUUCAAUGGAAACAUUGAAUGAGAUGUUAAUGAGAUAAGUUGGUCUCCACUUCUUCCGAUAUAGUGAUAUACUAAUAACAGUUGUUUCAUUAUUACAACUCUGAACUGAAUCUCAUAUAAGCUACUUUUCCCGAUCAAGCCUUUGAUAUUUUAGUUUAUCACUAAACAAAUCGGGAGUAGUCUUUUACUCUUUUGAUAUGUAAUCGUGAUUUCGGAAUCUGAUAGAGCCAGGCCAAUAACGGGCCGAAGGUGAAAAGCCCAUUAAAAAUGUUGCCUAAACAGAAUAAUAUAGACCACUACAACUUAAAAUAAGUUGGUAGUAGCCAAACAAACACUUUGUAGAUAAUUGCUUCUCUAAUAAACCCCCAAAACUUACCUAUAUUUACAAAAAUAUUGGAAAAAAACACUUAAACAUCAACUCAUAGAGCCUAUACUUUUUACUCUAGAAUACAAUAUCUACAACCCGACUACACUGUCGUUGAAAGCCACCGUAAGCCGUCCAACCUUCAAACCACUCCUCUUACUCUCCCUCUCUUUAAAACCAUUAAACGGUGUGGUUUUAACCAAUUCUUCAAACCCUAUGCGCGGUCCACAGUCACAGCUCUUAACCCUACUCACCACUUCGUUAGAGGUUCGUUUGUAGUGACCGAACCACUUGGCUUGCAUAUAACCGUUCCUUCUCCAUGGCGGCACGAAAAUCUCCGCUCGCUUCAUUGACCGUCUCAUCUCAAAGCACAUGAUCCUCACAAGCUGUUUCAGCUCCUCAGGUGUUCCCACAAAGACACGCGGCAGUUGAGCUAAGAGGGAGAGGUAUCUUGUCGUUGGCCUAGCAAUCUCGAACUCUCCGGCGAGAUUUGUCUCGACAAUGUAACGUUUCUUAUCUCCUGCUAUCACGUCGACGUACUCAUACUUCCCGGCCGUGUUCUUACCAAAUUUCUCCCACCGGGACUUGCAGAGACCUAUACACAUAGAAUCAUCUUUUCAUUUCAGUAUAUUUGCACAUUUAAAUCCAAAACAUGUACAUAUCAAAAAUGUGAAUAUUACAAGCUUACAACAUCAUAUAAGAUUAAAAAAAAUUAACAUACGAUAAUUGUUCUUAAACAAUCCAAAGAUUUUUUUUGGCACUAAAUCUCACUAAAUUUCAAAUGCUUAAGUGUUAGGAUACAACAUUUACAUCUAUAUAUAUCCUAAUUAGGGAAAAAAUACUUACAGUAACCAGGAACGCUUUAUAAGAAUGAAAUGACAAAUCAACCUCAAAGCUAAAAUGUGCUACUCUAUUGAUAAAAGCGGUUUUCCAAUCUCAAUAUCAAAUUUACUUCUUAAUCAUGUUUUGUAAUCUCUAAACCAAACAUAUUCCUUCCAGAGCUUAUUUGUUUUAGAUAGUUCAAGUACCUAUAAUUAAAAUAGAAAAACUCAAAUGACCAAAACUCUAUGAGCUUAGCUAGGUAGAAGAGUCAACAACCAUAUCUCAAACGGAUUUGAGAUAUCAACAAACUUAACCAAUCCCUCAAAAUCAAACACAUACGAAUGUAAUUUCAUGUAAACAUAAGAGUCAUAGAGAUCGUUUUUAUUACCUGCAUCAAACCCUUUGCCACGUAGAUAAGCCACAAGGUGACGUUUCUCUCCGACCACGAAACGACUAGCAUUAACCGCCUCAUCCACUAUCCUCCGCCGCUCUUCGCCUCCGUGAUUUUCAAGAAUCUCACGAAGCCUCUCCUUCACAUCUUCGUAAUCCUCAUCCGACUUAUCAUCUCCUUCCUCAGGAACCUCCUCAUAUCCCGCUUCCACUUCUCUGUCGAUAAAAGAUUCGACCAUAUCCCAAAGAUCCGCUGUGUCAUCCGGAGAGUGAUCGCUGCCGCUGCUGCUACCGUACGGAGGACGUGCACGCGCCGCCGCCACGUCGAAAGCCGCCGCUGUUCUUGUAAACCUUCCCCCAAUCUCUACCAUAUUUUAUGUCCUUCUCUUGAUUUCUCCUCUUAUUCGUCGAAUUGUAGUGUAUAUUUAUACACUCGAAUAUUAAUUAUUAAGUGAUGUUUUCAUUGUGUUGACAGCGACUUUGACUUUUUUGACGGCGUAAACGACAAAUGGUAAAAAUAUGACAACAGGAUGGUGAAAUGAUGUUGAAAUAGAGAUUAACGGCGUUUUGUUGGGUAACGGAGAAAAUAAUUACAGUUUUUGAGAUGUGCUAGCUUGAUUAACUUUUAGAUUCUCAAUUGUCACCACUAUAUUGGCCAAAUACAUUCGCUCUCAAACGAAUAAUAUUUAAAAAAACACUUAAAUAUUAAUGGUAAGUCUUUUUUUGUUCAACAAAAUAUUAAUGUUAGUCAAUUUUAGUAAAGUGAAUUGUUCUAGUUUCGGAAAAAAGAGAUGGAUAGUUCUAUAAUUGCUACUCGUUACUAAACUCCACUUUCAGAAAUAUAAGUAAAAUAUUUUCUUCUCUGUUUAUUCACUAAAUUCGUUUACAUUUUCAGAUUCUGACCUAUAAAUUAGAAUAAUUUCUACUAUUUGACUAUUUUUGUUUUACUAAACGGAUGCCACUGUGGUGCCACGUGGCGAAUCGUGGUUAGACUUAGAUCUUUGGUCUUGUACUAUUAUUUUUUUUUACUUCUGUAGAUUUUGCUGAUGUAUGUUACAUCUGACGCGGAGACCAGAAGUAGAGAAAACUCAAAACACGUCCAAGUGCAUUGAAUUCGAAAAAUAGUCUAGGUUCAACGUAUCCAAGGUUUCUCUUCGUUCGUUUGGUUUGUCCAAGUUUUAAGAUGGUCAUGCAAUUAUUAGUUGAGUAUAUUAAAUUGUCACCGGUGAUACUUGAUACAGAUGGAAACUUAUCCAUUACACGUGAUGGCACUAGUUUUUGGUUUUGAUUUAUUUUUAGACAAAUCUCUAAUUUUGUAUUCACGUUUAGAGAAUAGAGAUUGAAGGGAAAAAAAAAACGAUUUUGUGGGCUUUUAUUGUAAAAUACAAUAUGUUGGGCCGAACUUUGACUCGUGGUGGCUAUAAUCCUGCUAGCUUUUGUGUCCAUUUUUGAGUAUACUGUAAAUGUGUAACUGUAAUGUGCUUGAACGUUGACCAACGAUCAUAUAUGGGUUUGGUGAUUAGUUCUGAAUUUAGUGCCACAAAACUUUUAUAAUCCUUAAUGAACUGAUCAUAUAGUACUAGUCUAAUUUGUGUGUGCCUUUUUUGUUUCUUGUCUAGUUUUAGUAUAAUAUAACAUGUCCAGAUAUAUUUUACAGUAAUCUCUUGCAUUAAUUGCAAACUUAUACACACUUUGUAUAUGAACAAGGCCUCUGUUGAUAUAGUUCAACGUGAGGGUCUGAGGCUCUUUAGGCAAUGUCAUUGCUUCAGGCGAAGUCAUUGAACCAACAAAACAGAGAAUUGACGAACAAAAAGUUAAUAUUUGUGAAUUGUGGUCAGUGGAGUAAAUCACAUUCAGACAUCACCUUAACCUAAAGACAUGGAUGAAGGCAAUUUUUUCUUCUUCUUUGAUCUCUUUCGAAAAUAUACAAAACCGACAUACUAGUUUCUUAUCAAAUUUACAAAGUCAUGAAGGAAGUAGUUUUGAGUAUAGACAUACUAUAAGUUGAGAAACAGUAGAACCAAUGUACAUUACUCACUGAAUAAAGAAAUAUACAUUUUGCAAACAUAUAUGAGAAAGACUAAUUAAAAUGACCAUUUUCUUUGAUUAUAUCUUUACACUUAUCAAGUUUGCUUGAGUUUAUGAAAUGUUGUUUGUUAUAGUUAAUUAUGGAGAUUUUCAGGGACAAAAAUCAUCUUCUCGAGAGUAUUUGAGACAACCCUAUAUAAACCCUUCAAUAUCACAUGAUGUACAAUUGUCAGAUUUGCUUAUUUAACUACCCACACAUUGCUUAAAUGUGAGGUAUUUAGCUCAAUUUAUAUAUGUCGAAUAUAACCACAUAAUGUAUCUUUUGAUUGUCUUUAAAUUUUUCUUUGAUCAGGCGAAUGCACAACUUUUUCUGUGAUUUCGCUUCGGUGAACUUUUACCCAGGGGGUCACCUAUUUUUAAGUACCACUUUGAGAUUUCUUGGUCAUAGGUAUAUAUCUACGUGGCUUUUAAGACACUAUAAAGAAUGAAAUCAAAUAGUUUAUGAUCACCAUAUAUACAUGAUACUUCAAAUUAUUCUACAAGCCAAAAAAAAGAUAUGGACCAUGCGGUUUUAUGUUAGCAACUCACCUUUAGGAAGACUUGGCAUAACUGAUGAACAACUCUUAUUCAUUGGAUUGAAAGAUCUAAGGAAUGGUUAUAUACACGUUUUGUGACAGACAUGCGUCCAAGUUUUGUUCCCAUUUGGUCGUGCGUCCAGGUUUGUCUUUCUUUGACCGCUUCUAAUUCCAUAGAUCGUGCAGUGCUGUCAUUUUGAGUUAUCAACAUACAUAACUCUAUAUUUUGAAACAUACACCACUCCAUCUUUUAUAUGAUUUAACGUUGACGGCUGAUUAUUAUAUUAUACAACAGCAAAGAAUCUUUAGGAACGUGCAUCCAAGUCUGAGAAACUCAGUGACGAUGGUUAAUUUCAUCUCCGCGCAAAGGUCAGCUCUUUUGGUCUUCUCUACGUUUCCCUCAACGUGUAAACAUGUCACCAAUUGACAAAUUCAGAUUUAAGAAAAAAGUAAGGAAAACUGGAGAGAGAAAGUGAUACGACUUUUUGAAUUUCUAAACUGUUUUAUAAAGAUGAAGCACAUAGAGAUAUUAGAUGUUCAUAAUUAGCAAAAUUGGGUUUCUUGACCCAUAAGCAAUGUUGUUCCCUCCUAUCCGUUCCUUCUUCUUCCUCUUCCUGUUGUUCUCCUCCCUUUGUUUAUCACAGAUCAAAGCAGACGACGACGAUGAAAGCGGCUUGGGCAGUCAUAUCAAAGUAGACAAGCGUCUCAAGUUCGAGAACUCGAACCUACGUGAAGCCUACAUUGCUCUCCAGUCAUGGAAACAAGCAAUCUUCUCUGAUCCUUUCAACUUCACAGCUAACUGGAAUGGCUCUGACGUUUGCUCCUACAAUGGAAUCUACUGUGCCCCUUCUCCUUCAUACCCUAAAACCAGAGUUGUUGCAGGCAUUGACCUCAACCACGCUGACAUGGCUGGUUACUUGGCUUCCGAGCUUGGUCUCCUUACCGAUCUCGCUCUGUUCCAUCUUAACUCAAACCGUUUCUGCGGCGAAGUCCCUCUCACGUUUAAGCGUAUGAAGCUUCUCUACGAGCUUGAUCUUAGCAACAACCGAUUCGUCGGUAAGUUCCCUAAGGUUGUCCUCUCUUUGCCUUCCCUUAAGUUCUUGGAUCUCCGCUACAACGAGUUUGAAGGCAAGAUCCCGUCAAAGCUCUUCGACAGAGAGCUUGACGCUAUAUUCUUGAACCACAACAGGUUCCGGUUUGGGAUUCCCUCGAACAUGGGGAAUUCCCCUGUUUCCGCUUUGGUUCUUGCGGACAACAAUCUCGGAGGAUGUAUCCCUGGAAGUAUUGGUCAAAUGGGGAAGACACUCAACGAGCUUAUCCUCUCCAACGACAACUUAACCGGUUGCUUACCUCCCCAAAUCGGAAACCUCAAGAAAGUGACAGUUUUUGACAUCAGCUCAAACAAUCUACAAGGUCCGUUACCAUCUAGCGUCGGCAACAUGAAGAGCUUAGAAGAGCUUCACGUGGCUAACAAUGGCUUCACAGGAAUCAUUCCUCCAAGUAUCUGCCAGCUUUCUAACCUUGAGAACUUCACUUUCUCUUCCAACUUCUUCACCGGUCGUCCUCCUCUAUGUGCAGCUACUUCGUUAGUCGACGCUGUAGUGAACGGCUCCAUGAACUGCAUCACCGGUUUGGCUCGGCAAAGAUCGGCUAAGCAAUGCUCAUCUCUGCUUGCUCGUCCUGUUGAUUGCAGUAAGUUUGGAUGUUAUAACAUCUUCUCUCCACCACCACCAACGUUCAAGAUGGCACCACAGUUCCGGACACUUCCUCCCCCGGUUUACGUGUACUCAUCCCCUCCACCACCGUCAUCCAAGAUGUCGCCUACCGUCAGAGCAUACUCUCCUCCGCCACCACCGUCGUCCAAGAUGUCGCCUACCGUCAGAGCAUACUCUCCACCACCGCCUCCAUAUUCCAAAAUGUCGCCUACCGUUAGAGCUAACCCUCCACCACCGCCUUACGUAUACUCAUCUCCUCCGCCACCUUAUGUGUACUCAUCUCCUCCACCACCUUACGUAUACUCAUCUCCUCCUCCACCGUACGUAUACUCAUCUCCGCCUCCGCCAUCACCAUCUCCUCCUCCACCGUACGUAUACUCAUCUCCGCCUCCGCCUUACGUAUAUUCAUCUCCACCCCCGCCUCCUCCAAGUCCACCUCCGCCGUGUCCUGAAUCGUCUCCGCCACCGCCUGUUGUAUACUACGCACCCGUGACUCAAAGCCCGCCACCACCAUCGCCGGUAUACUACCCACCAGUAGCACAAAGCCCGCCACCACCGUCGCCGGUAUACUAUCCACCAGUAACAAACUACAGUCCUCCACCACCAUCACCAGUAUACUAUCCGUCGGAAACACCAAGUCCUCCACCACCAUCACCAGUAUACUAUCCGUCGGAGACACCAAGUCCUCCGCCACCAUCACCAGUAUAUUAUCCGUCGGAGACACCAAGUCCACCACCACCAUCACCGGUAUACUAUCCGUCGGAAACACCAAGUCCCCCACCACCGACUGAGUACUACUAUUGGCCAAACCAGUCACCGCCGCCAACAAAGGGAUGUAAAGAAGGCCAUCCACCACAAGCAUCACCGAGUUACGAACCAACUCCUGAAUAUUCAUACUCAUCAUCACCCCCACCGUCUACUCCAUCAUACUCCGACACGUCUCUUCCACCUAUUCCAAGUGUCUCGUAUGAUGCGUCUUCUCCUCCUCCUCCGUCUUACUACUAGUUUCAAAACCAUUGAGAACAAAAAAAAAAAAUGCAUUAACGACUACUCACAAUUAUAUUCUUUUGGCUGCGAGACUUUUAAAGUUGUGUGUUUGGUUGAUUUUUUCUAAAAAAUACAUUCGAGUUAUUUUUCUUUCUAUUUCUUCUGGAUAUUUUGUUAUCUUUUUUCCCCUAACACAGAGCUGCAUUUAGCAGCAAUGGAGUAUAUAGUUUCAGUUUUAUCUAUCGUAUCUGUAUUUGUUAUUAAUGUCAUUAAAAAAUGUUCUGUAUAAAUAAUAAAAAUAAUAAAUACACACUCAUUUAACAGUUUCUUUGUACCUCAAAAUUAAAAAUUCAGUUUUAAUUUAGUAAAAAAUGUAAAUAUGACGUCAACUUCUCAGUGUUCAUCUCAAGAACGGCAGCUUAAAAAAAAAUCUAUACGCUACCUACCACUUCGAAACAACUGUCCUCUCUUUCUAUAAGCUACUGGAAUUUGGGAAUUAGCUUGGGAAACUUCGCCGGAGAGUCAUACAUCGUCGCAUUCUAGUGUCUUCAUGGCGUUGCUGAAGUCCUUUAUCGAUGUUGGCCCAGAGUCGCACUUCCCUAUCCAGAAUCUCCCUUAUGGUGUCUUCAAGCCGGAAUCGAACUCCACUCCUCGCCCUGCCGUCGCUAUUGGCGAUUUGGUACUGGACCUCUCCGCGAUCUCCGAAGCUGGGCUUUUUGAUGGUCCGAUGCUCAAGGACGCUGAUUGCUUCCUUCAGGUUCGUUUUUCUCGAUUCCUAUUAACUCGGAUUACUAUGUAGUAGUUACCUGGGAACGUAUCCGUGGAUGGUUUCAAAUUUGGUAUUUGAAUCAUAUACUUUCUCUAGUUUACUCCACCGUUAAAAUUGGUGAGUAGCUCUGGAUUGCGUCACCGACCAAUUAUUCACUGUAUUUAGCCAAUUUCGUUUAGCUCGGAAAAUUCUGAUGUUCUUCUAAAUUUCUCGUUGCUUCAGUUGGUACACUUUGAGUUUUCUGAUCACGGUUCUGAACUUUUGCCAACCAUGAUUGAUGGGUCUGAUGUGAUAUUUCCCUUCUUUUAUGAUCUGAUGGUUAUAGUUUUGUGCUUACACUAAGCUAUUUCUUUAUAAGGAUGAGGUUCUGUUCAUGUUCUAGUCAAUCUCUUUGUUUGUUAAUGUUUUAAGUUUCUGUGGCUCUGUUUACAGCCUAAUUUGAAUAAGUUCUUGGCCAUGGGACGGCCUGCGUGGAAGGAAGCGCGUUCUACGCUUCAAAGAAUUUUAUCAUGUAAGCUCUGUUUGAUCAUAUUGAUUCGUGUAAAUUAUGCGUGGUUUGUUAUUUGGCUUUUUAAGGUUUGGGUUUUUGUAUGUUUUUGAUGCAGCUAAUGAACCCAUCUUACGAGAUAAUGAUGUUUUGAGGAGAAAGUCAUUCUAUGAGAUGGUUAGUACAGAAAAAAAUUUGUUUCUGCAACAGGCUAGAUGAGAUUGUUUGAAGCUAUUUUACUAAUGAUGUCUUUGUUUGGUGAGGAUUUGCAGAAUAAAGUAGAAAUGAUUGUUCCUAUGGUGAUUGGGGACUAUACAGACUUCUUUGCAUCUAUGCAUCAUGCAAAGAACUGCGGACUUAUGUUUCGUGGACCUCAAAAUGCAAUGAACCCAAAUUGGUGCGUUUAUAUUACUUUUGAGCUGAGAGUUUUCUUCAUGAAAUGGUCAAGAUUAGGAAAGGCUGACUUUGCAAAUUUUACAUGACAUUACCAUGUUUUUCAGGUUUCGUCUUCCCAUCGCAUAUCAUGGAAGGGCAUCAUCGAUUGUCAUCUCUGGGACCGACAUUAUUCGACCAAGGUUAGGCAAUUGUGUGUUUAUUAUCUGUUUUUUGGUUUUUAUACUGAGAAUGGUUGUUAAGGAUUCACAUGUCAUAUCUAAAGUCAUGCAUCAUGCAAGGUUUUAUGCUUUGACAAUAAAAAUAGUUGUUCUUAAUUUGUGAGAAUAUAUUGAAACUGAUUUGGAAAACUCAAUACUGAAAUGCUAAUUCCAGUUUUAUAUUAACUUGUUUUGUAAUCUUCAAGAGGUCAGGGCCAUCCACAAGGAAAUUCUGUCCCAUAUUUUGGACCAUCUCAGAAACUUGAUUUUGAGCUUGAAAUGGUAAGCAUCUGAUGCCUCAGUUAUGUGGAUUCUCUUAAGAAUGAUUCAAUUGAUGCUAGUUUGUGUUACUUAAGCAAAUCUCUCUUUUGUCACAUGAUAUUCAGGCUGCUGUGGUUGGUCCAGGAAACGAAUUGGGAAAGCCUAUUGACGUCAAUAAUGCAGCCGAUCAUAUAUUUGGUCUAGUGCUGAUGAAUGACUGGAGUGGUACUUACUUGAUCAUAGUAUUUGCUGAGUCAUCCAUUUAAGUUGACCGUGCAUGACCGGUUUUAUGAAAUGCUUGUUGUUAACUUGUUAUAGCUAGGGAUAUUCAGGCGUGGGAGUAUGUGCCUCUUGGGCCUUUCCUAGGGAAGAGUUUUGGUGAGAAAUUAGUAUCCAAGCUUGAUAUUGGGCUUCAAAACUUCAAUUUCGUUUACUCUAAUUGGAGUAUUUGAGGAAGGAACUUCAGUGAAUGUUGAUUUGUUGUGUUGUAGGGACUACUGUAUCCCCUUGGAUUGUUACCUUAGAUGCGCUUGAGCCUUUCGGUUGUCAAGCUCCCAAGCAGGUUGGUACUUAGGCAUCACAUUCUUCUUGGUGCAAUGCAAUCAUUGAUUCUCUAAUCUAACAUAUGCUUUUUGCAGGAUCCACCUCCAUUGCCAUAUCUGGCUGAGAAAGAAUCUGUAAAUUAUGACAUCUCUUUGGAGGUAGCAUUCAAUAUUUACCCGUAGAGUUUAAUUUGUUUUCACUAUCAAGUAUCAACUAGCUUAUGGUGGAUUAAAUCAAAAAUAAACAUGAUUUGUUUCUCUGCUUAUAGGUUCAACUAAAACCUUCUGGCAAAGAUGAUUUAUGUGUAAUAACAAAGAGCAACUUCCAAAACUUGUGAGUUCCUCUUACCCAGUCCCUCUAUAAUUAAUCAGUAUGAUUCUAACUCAUUUAAACUUAUGUUGACAGAUACUGGACUAUCACGCAGCAGCUAGCACAUCAUACAGUUAAUGGUUGCAAUUUGAGGCCUGGUGAUCUCCUUGGAACGGGAACUAUAAGCGGACCUGUAAACUCUUUCAAACCUACUCACUUCUCUGCUUAAGGAUGUGAUGGCUAAAAAUAACAAGAAGGAUAUGUGUUUCUUGAUUCUUAACGUAGGAGCCAGAUUCAUAUGGGUGCCUACUUGAGUUAACUUGGAAUGGACAGAAACCUCUAUCACUCAACGGAUCAACUCAGACAUUUCUCCAAGACGGUGACGAAGUGACCUUAUCAGGCUUAUGCAAGGUAUCAGCUAACUAACAGAAGUUUAGUUUUUGUUUUAUGUCCCAACAAUUCCAGAUGAUUAUGAAUUUGCUUGCUAAUCAAAUUACGGCAAUGAAUAAACCGGUUGUAGGGAGAUGGUUACAAUGUCGGAUUUGGAACCUGCACAGGGAAGAUUGUACCUGCACUCCCUUGAUCUGCUCUCGCCGGUAAACAUACCUUUAUCACAUUAAUAAUUAUUUUCCUUAGAACCCUGAAUUAUUGUAUUAUUUAGACCAAAUUUUUAAAAAAUUCCCUUCCUUGCAGGAAAAAUGGUGAAAAAUAAAGAUUUCUGUAAUCACGAUUACGCACUUGGGGUAUGAAUAAUGGAAUAUAAUUAAGUAGAUAACCCCAUCAUCGGAUUAAUAAUAAUAUCAUCUUAAUAUGUUAUUCAAUCUUUUAUAAAGAAAGACAACGGAAUAUUAUUAACUUUCUACAUAAAAAGCUUUAGCAACGGUCGGUCACAAAAACUUUGAAUAAUUUGGUCUUUACUCUUACUACUUACACUAGUGAGUGAGUUAUAAAUUUUUAUUCAACAUUAUCACGAGUAAUAUAUGAGUCAAUAACGACCACCGUCAGAGAAAUUCUCAUCCAUAUCCAAAAAAAAAAGAAAGAAAAAAAUGAGAAGUGCGAAAAAAUUCUCAUCGUCGACAAGAACCACCACCGUUAACCACACUUUUUAUAAUGACCAAAAUACCCCUCCAGCUACAUCAUCCAAACAAGUCCCGAUCGAAACUCCAUCACCGGCGGCGAAAGCCACCUUCAAGACUAACUCCACCCCCGCCGACGCAGCAGCGAGGAUCCAGUUCGGCUACCGCUCUUACAGGAUCCGAAACCUAUACAAGACAAUCGCAUCCGUCAAUCGAGAAGCGAAUCGCGUGCAGAGCAUGAUCCAACGGCAAGAAACGGUCGACGCCAUUAGAACCGAUGAGAAGGAACGUCUUCGGAUGAACGAGACUCUAAUGACUCUGCUCCUAAAACUCGACUCCGUUCCAGGUUUAGAUCCGUCGAUCAGAGAAGCGCGGAGGAAAGUGAGCCGUAAGAUCGUGGGGAUGCAGGAAAUACUCGAUUCAAUCUCGGAGACAAACGACGAGAUCCAAUGGUGGAAUUACAACGAUCUCGGAGGAGUCGACGCCGGGCAAGGCGGCGGCACGUGGCCUUUGUAUUGGGAAGAAGCGGUGGAGGAGGAGAUGUGUAGAGAGAAAGGCGGUGAGGAAAUGGAGAGGUUCUGUGCUCAGUACUUGGGUUUCAGAUGUUUCCAGAGAUUUCUCCGAGAAUGAACUACGGCGGUAAAAGAAACUAAUCGCGUGUGUCGCGGUCUACGAUUAGAUUCUCUAUUUUACUCCGUUUUUGUAUGUAUGUAAACUGGAAUACGUGCCGUCUUUACUACAUUCAUGGAAACGUCGCGUAGUUUUUAUAUAGUUAUUGUCAUGGAUAAUAUACGAAUUACACAAUUACGGUCUCCAAAGUCCAAACUCAAUUUUAGGCCUAUAGUACAUACUACAUAGUAAUGCUAAGAAUUAAUAAAUUUAAUGUAUGUUAGAAAAAAAUUAAGAGAUAAACUUACAUAAAUAUGUGAUUAGUGAUGUUUAUAUGAACUAUACGAAUUGAAGCAUUCAACAUAUAUGAAGUUAAAAUACAAAAGAUCCAGCAGUUGAUACAUUAUUAUUUCCAAACAUAAAAGAGAGGAUUAAAAGUCGAAUUUUCGUUCUUAAGCCGCGCAACUACACUUACACCUAGAAACGCAGCGUUUACACUCGAGCAGUGAGGGCUUGGCCGCGGUGUCGCAUCCGCACGUAGUGGUGCAUGUCUUCUGAGUCACACCACCCCAAAGGCAACGAGCCAUGCAUCGGAGCACCGGCACACACUUAGGACAAACGUAUUUCAUUUGCUCCGCCAUGCAUGUCUUGCAGCUGUUUCGUGACGGCGGGUGCCGGCAGACACCACGGGAACCGGCGGCGGCGGUGACUUUCGAAAUGGAUAGCAGGAGGAUUAUGAGGAAGACGAGAGAAGAGAAGAGGCUUUGAAAUUUGUAGGUCUUCUUCAUGUUGGAUUUUGGUUUUGGUUUUGUGAGAGAGUUGAAUAUUUGAUAGAGGUUUUAUUCGAAAAUAUUUCUGUUGAUUAGGUUCGAGUGACUUCUACAAGAGUUAAAAUACGAGUCUGAUAGUGCAGUACACCAAGUUGCAUUUAAGUGAGACAUUCAUUGUUCUUGAAGUGUACAAUUUCCUUAAAUGCCUUCUUCAAUCUUUUUACAACGAAUAAAAAUCAUGUGUUAUAAUAUUCAUGCUUGAUGAAAACAAAGUAAAAAAUUCAAUCGAUCUCUAGCUAGUUUGCAAAAUAAAAUAUAAUCUGAAAAUAGUAACUUACAGAAAGCCAAACAAGCAAAUUGUCUAUAUCAAGUGAGAUGACGAAUCAUUAAAAAAUAUAUUAUUGAAGAACUAUAUAUAUUUAACAAAUAUGAACUUAUGAAAGAAUUUAAAUUAAAGAGCAAAUAAUAAGUUGAAAAAAAAUUUGAUUAAUAAUAUAUAAAUUUGUUCUCUUCUUCCAGUAAAUUAUAAUGGAUCACACCCAGUUCUUGCGAAUGUCGAAGGUGUAGUUGUUCUCCAAGUAGCAUUUAUUAUCAUCAUCCACGAACUGCAAAAAAGUUAUAAGACCUUUAUUAUAAAUCCAUUCUAAACCAGAGUUUUGAUACACUACGCCUAACAAAAAAAAAAAAAAACAAACAAAACUUAUGUACCUUAGAUUUAACGGAAUAGGAGCCUCUAACAAGCAAACCAGAGGGAGCCGUUUCCUCAAACAUGACAUGAUCGUACGGUUCCGCCUGUGGACUAUACGUCCCUAGCAUCUCCUUUCUACUAUACACUAUUCUCCACAAAGAGAUAUUUAAAACUGUUUAGACAAAGGCUUCUCAAACUUGUGUAGUUAACAAAUGUGUAAAUGACAAAAACUAAUACCUUUGAUUCCGGUUUUCCAAACCGUAUUGCUGUACCGGAGGCCGGACACAAUGUUGUUGGUGACACGGAAAGUAAAUAUGAGAGUGUACUUCGAGCCUUCUUUGAGAGUGAACCAUGGUCCUUUCGAUGUUGGUUUUCCAUUUUCGGGGAUCUUUAAUACCAUGUCUUCUCUGUCCGGUGACCUAAUUGUUAAUGUCAAUAUCUUUACCACCGGAUCCGGAGUCUCUGCAUUCCACAAUUUCUUACUCAAUAUCAAAACAUUACAUACAUAUCUAUAUAGUUUCUUUCAAAAACACAACAUUCAUUGUGGGACAAAACAAUUACACGUAUCUAUAUACCUAAGUCUAAAAAGUGACACAUCUUCAUCUGUUAAAGAAAUGUGGUUACUUGGUCUAAUCGUAUCUUACGUUAAUUCACUCAAAAAUUAAUGGAGGCAAGAAAUGCAUGAAAAUAUGGGACGAAUUUACAGUUUUUACAAUCAUUAGAAAUUCUCUAAACAGGAUCCAUAGCUAUGAUAUACUCGGAUUUUUACCUCCGACCUCCUCAAGAUCCACGCUGCCUAGAAGUUGCUCCUUCCAUCUCCUCAAGCUUUCAUCAUCCUAAACAAAUUUUUAAUCGUAGGGAAGUGAUUAGAUUGUCGUGGAGAUAUUGAAACCCAAAUCCACCCGUUAUUAUACAGGCAAAGAUAUAACAUAUGUGUACUAAACAUAUAUAGCCAAAAAUCGAGGUUUUUGUAAUGUAUGAAAUGAUGAUAGCAGGAGGCUAUGAGAGAUCAAAUUAAACCUUGUCUUUCUCGAGCUGUUCUUUGAGAGCAAUCAUGGGACCAAGUUCAAGUUUCUUGUCUUCCUCUUCCUCAUCAUCAUCUGUUGGACACAUAGAGCUAUGGCUGUUUUUCCUGCUUAGCCCUUGUCCCUUUGGCUCUUCUGAAUACUCUUCAGCUUUCUUCUCCUCAUCUUUGAAACCCAUUUUUUGUUUUCUUGAUCUCUAUUCGUUCUCUGAUUGAAUUCGGAUCUUAUAAAGCGUCUACAGUUUGAUUUGAUUUCCUGGAGAUGGUUAUGCGCAACUGGGUUUAACGAGGAGACAACCAAAAACACUUCAAAAAGGCAGCAAAGAAAAUAGAAGAGGAAAUUAAAGAGCCUAAUUAAAGGAUUUGUUUUUGGUCAAAAGAAUGAGAAGAAAGUAACAAGAAGAGAAAUAUAGAGAACUAAAAUUAAGACAAUGAAAGAGAAAGAGUUGAUACUGUUUUUGUUUGAGGAAUGUUUAAAUAUGGAUUUCGAAGAAAAAGUCAUGUGAUGAUCCUUAAUUAAGACUUGUAGUCUUCCCGUUCACAGGAUUUAAGUUCCUUUUUCCUAAAAAUAAUUUGUACGAUAUAAUUAACAACUAUAUGUACAUGCAUGCACGUAUAGCUCGAUAUAAUUUGUUGGCCCAUUUAGUUAGGCCUCAAGCCCUAAGUCUAAUGGUAUAUGAACUUGGACAUCCACCACAAUCUUGUUGCUACUACAAUAUAUAGCAUAAAAAAUGACAUCAGUUUUUUUUUUUUUUUUUUUUUGUCAACAAAAAAUGACAUCAGUUAUAGCAUAAAACUAUAUUUUUGAGUUUUUUUUUGGCUAUCGGUCGAGCAAAAUCCGAACCAUUUCAGAUUGACACUUGUAUAUAUUUGCCUACUAUAAGAAAAAUGAAAAUUCGAAAAAGUUCAUCACCGUCAAGUCACAAGUGCCAACUAAUCUGGCGACGAUCGAAGAGAUUCCCUUCCUCUAAGAUAAACAUCUACCAUCAGAUUUAAAGCCUCUUUUCAGAAUCAACGGUGUGAAAAUCCAGACGUUAGAGAAAAAUAUAUAUUCAAGAGACACAUAUCCUUCACUUUGUCCAGCUUUAACGUUACACAUGUUCAAGGCAUGGGACGUUUUAUCAUAAUUGGGACACUAAAAGUGAAUUAUUUGCAACUUUCGUUUCAGAUCUACAUCAUAAAGAUUUAUCAAUUACGCUCGAACAACAGUAUCCAUUAAAAAAAAUCUGAACUUAGAAAUAGAUUGAUAGAUGCAUUACUAUUGUGUUAGGAUUGUAGUGUACUACUGUAGAUAUAUAUUACCAACCGAGCGAUAUGUCCCUCUCGGUGUUGACCUAUACCUAAUAUAUCUACUCAGUUUCUCCCUAUGUGUCUACCUAAAAAAUUUCCAAUUUUGUAACGUUCAUGGUUCAUCCCUUAAUGCAUUAUUGGUGUUUUUAAGUUUAGUUUCGGAUACAAUCAAUGGGGUCAACUGAAAUGGGGUCAUCUUAGCCGUCCAAACCCUUUUUACCAGCUUUUCUGCUGUGGUCAUUCUUUACAGAUUGUGAGAGUACGUGGCUUGUGGCUGUAUCUUCACUUUUUCUUCGAAACUGAAAAACCAAAUUCCUAGCUAAUCACACAAUUUGCUCUAUAUAUUUCCACAACUAAAACGUAUAUACAUGUUUUUUUUUUUUUUUUGGUAACAGGCUUAGUAUAUACAUGUUGUUUUUAAGGUUUCAAAACCUAGAAAAUUAUCGAAAGGAUUUAAGAAUAUGUAAUCUAAUUAAUCGGUUACUGCUUGUUGGCACCAUUAACAACGUAACGAACAUAAAAUAUACAGUAAUUAAUUAGAGAAAAACAUCAAUCACAUAAUUUGUUUUUUAUUUUACCAACAUCAGUAUGUUUACAUAAACGAAUCAAUCUUUCUAACUGACUGAAUAUUUAAGGUAAAAAGAUGAAUAUAAUUUAUAUAAAUGUAAUAUGUUUAAACUAUAUACUUAGCGAGAGACAACAAUGUCGAAAUUAAUCGCAAGUAUAUUUUUAUUUUCUGCUAUUUAAUUAUAUAAAUUAGGUAAUUAAUUUAAGAAUAUAAUUUCAAUGUUUAAAAAAAAAAAAUUAACAUAUUAACAAUAAUAUUAGUUAAUAUUAUAUUUCUGUUUUUUUGUUAGGCAUAUAGAUACCUGUUUAUAUAAAAGGAAAAGGAAACUAAUGUACAAGGAAGGGUCCCACAUUCACGACGAAUCCUACCUGGCUCACACUCACAUGGGCCCGCGUUAACUUUUAGCCACGUCAUCAUUUGUCAAAUAUAUAUAGUACCAAUUUAGUAGUACUAAAUAAUUUCUUUAGAAGGAUUUUUAUCUAUUUUAUUCAUAGAAAACACUUUUGAAUCGUCAAAAAUUUUAUUGACUCUAAUAGUAAAGAUUGCAUUAUCUUUCUCAGACAAUAAUCAAUCUAAAUUCCUUAAACAUGAUCAAAAUGUUGAAAAGAACAUCAUUAUAUAUAUACACAGUUAAUUCAUCAAGUAUAGUUCUUUAUACCUGUUUCUUACGUGGCAUGCUAUUAAACCGUAUGAUAAUGGUGUACGUAGAGUUCGAACGUCAUAGGAGAACAUUGCUCAUGAUUUUGGAUGAUCAACAGAAUAAAAGAUGGUCCACGCAUGCAGGCGUUUAAUACUUGCUUUAACUGAUGGGAUUUCUAAAAGAGGUCAACGUUCACAAAAGAGAAGUUCUAACGUUCAGUUUCAUAGGAGUUCCAACGUUAUUUACAUGAUAUGUUUCUUGUAACGUUCACCGGGCUAUAUAGGUCGCAGAAUAAGAGGAAAAAAAAAAGAACUUCUCCAAAAGUUCUUUUGCAGAUAAAUUUUUCUUUUUUGGUAUAAAAUAAAUUUAAAUUUCUUAGUUGAUUUUUUUUUUUUUAAAUUACAACUUGGUACGUAAUGGUUAAGUGAUGAUGUUCUAUGUUUAUGUGGCAUGAGGUGUAUAAUUGUACAAUUUGUUUUUUAUAUAAGGAAAAAAAAAGAUUCUUUCAUGUGCAAUACUCAUUAUCUCGAUAUAUUAUUUAAUGACAUUUAUUGUAGACAAGCAAAAAAAAAGAAACUAAUAAUUAAUAUAUAUUUUGUAACAAACAUUAUUGUAAAUCAUUUUGCUUCUACUAUAAAUACCACUCUCCCCUUGAUCAAUUCUCUUCACUCACCAAAGCAUCACAUUCACAUACACUUACACUUUCUUCUCCCCUUCUUAUUUCCCUCUUAAGCUUUUUUUUUCAUUUCGAGAUGGCCACCGUUGAGGUAUUGUCUUUACAUAUUAGUUACUUUAUAGUUCAGAUUAUAAAUUUAUAUCCGUACGUCAUAAUUUUCUGUAUUACUCUUUUUUGCUUAACGAUCAAAUUAUUUUAAGCUGAUCAUAAAAAACGACAUACAGUUUUUGUGUUUAAUGAGUGUGUUUUGGUUUACAGGUUGAACAAGUGACUCCAGCAGUCGUAGAGAACGUUGAGGUACCAACAAAGACAGUCGAGGAGCCAGUGGUGACCCAACAACCUGAAGAACCCGUCACCGCCGUGGCAGAAGAAGAAAAGGAAGCACCAGCCGUGGAAACGAGCAAAGAAGUGGUUGUGGAAGAGGCAGAGAAGAAAGAUGAUGAAACAGAGAAGAAAACAGAGGAGGAAGAAGUGAAGACAGAGGUGAUCACGGAAGCCCCCGCAGCUGUGGAGGAGGAGAAGAAAGCAGAGGAAGUAGUAGAGAAGGAGGAGGUGACAGAGGCUACAGCAGUUGUGGAGGAGGAGAAGACUGAGGCGGCGGAGGAGAAACCAACUGAAGUUGCGGCUGCUGAGGAAGUUGUCGUCGAGAAGGCCGAGGAGUGAAGAAGAAGGAAGAAGCUUUAAUUGAUGACCUAUAUUUGGUCUUAUAAGUUAUAUCGUUUUCUGCUAUUUUAAUUUACUUUAUCAUAAUCUCAUAUAAAUAUGUAAUUUCCAUCGUUUAUUUGGUUUGUUAUAAUGAAAUCAGAUGUUUGGGACUUUUUUAAUCAGAUGUUUACAUGCUUGAUCGUUCAUAACAUAUAGCUUCAAAGUAUAACCGAGAACAUGGAAGAUUAGAAACCGUUUCCGGUUGCGUUAUAUGUACAAGCAAACAAAAUAAUAAUUACAUAAACCUUUUCAAAAUAUUUACAUAAACAUUUUCAAAAUACAUAUAACAUUAUUCAGUUGUUUCAUAGAACUGUAUAUACUUGUCUUUAGCGUUUAGGUUUGCUACCAAUGUAAAGUUUUUAAGAUGUACUAUAAGAUUGUGAUUUUUAUUUGGAAAUUUGGAAAUAUUUUCAUAUUAAUUGUGAACGAUAACAAUGUUCCUAAAAUCGUUUGUUUCUAUCCCAAUUCAUCAAGAGAAUCGUAAGAGAAUUUCAAAGAGGUCAAUGAUGCAAUCUUGAAUGCAAAAGAUCUGAUAUUCUUGGUUUUUAAAUAUGAAUCAAACAAUGAUUAUAUUGAUGAUUUACCAAAAGAUUUUAAAUCUAUAAUCUUAGAGACGUCGACGAAUUAAAGUUAACUCUACUAGUCGAAACGUUUUAAAGCGACAUACUUACAAAAGAUUGCAGUAGAAUUAGUCAAAGACUAUAAAAUAUAACGCACAGUCAGAAUCUAUAUAAUGCGUUAUUGUUGUACCUGUCAGAUAGAGGCACACAAAAGAUGAUAAUCGUUUAUAGAAUUCACUUUGGUGUUGUUGGUUUUAUAUUGUUUGGGCCUUUACUCGAUCUGUAGGCAAUAAUGUUAUAUGAGCCUAGCCCACCUUAGCAUGCAAUUUCAUGGAAAUUUGCCAUAGAUUUCAUUUUCAUAUGUUCUAAUUCAUUUGAGUAAAUACAAAACCACAAUAAUUACAGAUCUAAUUGGAGAUGUGAGAAAAUGAUCUAUACACACACUCACACACAUUUAUUAGUUUAUCACAAGUGUGUUGAGCCUAUAUAUCUACAGUCACUGAAAUCUUGUGCUAUCGACAAAUGAUUAUAUUCAAAAUAUAUAAUUCACAAAUCACAAGCCAUUGCUUAAAGAUUGAACUCUGUUUAGCAAUAAUGAAAUCAUUGCAAAAACUUAACAAAAAAUGUACAUACGCAAAAAAAGAUUGCUCCAAUAUCCCACUAGUUUGUUUUUGGAAUUUAGCACAUCCAUGAGAGACAUGAAGUUCAUGAUUCAAAAAUACAAAAAGAUGGAGAUUGCUUCUAAAACUGUAUCUUGCUUAAUCGAUAUAUAAUUCACAUUAUAAAUGAUUUUGGAGAUAUUAUUCAUUGAACUAAGAGUAAGAAGAAAACAAAGAGAGUUCACGGGCUCAAUAUGCAUCCACCGAAAUUUAUUUAUAUAAUUGCUCCUUUAGGGACCAUCCAAGUCUGAAAUGACACGCAAGACAUCGUGACAGCAAACUGUUAUGACACAAACUCACAAAAAUGUAAUUAAGUUCCUUUGUUUUUAAAUGAAUAGUUUCUGUAUAUAUUUGAUUAAUUAAUUGGUUAUUGGAGUGCUAAAAAUAAGUGACAGAACGAUCGUGAAAGUGAUCUCUAGCAAUAUUUCCCUAGCAUUUUUUUCUGACUCUACGAACUAGCAUCGUAUCUGUUCCUUUAACUCAGAUAACGAUGAGAUUAAUAGUAACAUCAUUAUUUGUAUCAACACUAAUAAAUGAUAUAUAAUUGUUCUUCAUUUUUAUUUCUUUCCGUUUGAUGUUUUUAUUUUUUUUGAAAAAAGUCAUGAAACUAAAUUAGAACAAUGUUCCUCCGAAUUGGCUUAUUUAAUAGGCUCAUUUGAGUUGAUCUUAUUAAACAGUUGAACAGGAAAAAGAAAAAAAAAAUUUCUAUAGCCUCUAUAUAUGGCCUUGGUCACAAAACAUUCCUCGUCGAUUAUGACAUCCACUAUAUGUAUUAUUGUAUUUAUUCAACAAUUGACGGCCAAUUGCAAGCUGAACUCCUAAACGUCACGUUAAAUUACAACCGCAAGAGAUUUUAUAUAUAAUUAAUUUGUCCUUGAGAUUAAUUAGUACUUUAUAUUAAUUUUGUCUUCUUUGUUCUUUUUUACGUUUGUUUGCUUUGAUUUUGAUUUUUGAGGUUAUAAAUGUACAUAAAAAAACUAUCUUAAAACCCAAAAUAUUAGAUAUAUGAAGUGAAAUAUACGACCAAAAUCCGUUGUUGGAUAACGUUUUACGUACCGUAUAAUGAUACCGGAUUUAUAAUAAUUAGUCUUAAUAUAUGUACGUAAUAAUCUUGUAGCCAAUCAUAUAUAUACACAAACGAUUUUUUCUCCUUGGAAGUGCAUGUGGUUAGAGACCCAUACGUUUUCCCUUUGUUUAUGUACCUCAUUAUGUGAACUUUGAGGCUGGUUUGUUUUCCUGUAACUACUCCUCCAUGGCUGGAGUUUGAGCUUCUUUAUUAAAAAUGUUGGUUUACAAAAAAAAAAAAAAAAAAAAAAAAAAAAAAAAAAAAAAAAAAAAAAAAAAAAAAGAGACCCAUACGUGGUCUGGAAUCUUUCAACUUUAUUGAAGUGGUUACUACUUGCUACUAUCCCAAAAAGACGAAACAAAACAAAAACACACCUUCAUGUUUGUUCUUUAGGUCCUUCUUUCC
rnacentral:lncRNA from 1 species